AAUAUAAUUUAAGUUUAGCAGCUCAGAAUCUGUUCAUUUUCGUCAAAGCCCUUCUGAAUGUCCGUUUGUGCUCAAAUUUGACAGUCAGGCUCAGUUUAAGCUAAUAAGAAGAAGGAAAUUUUAAUCUUUCAGUUUUGACCAUUUUUUAUUACCGAAAAUCCUACCGACUAAAAUCUCUAGUAGAUAGGAAUCGGAUUUUAUUUCUCACUUUUCGGGUGUCAGAAAAAUAUGAAACUUUAAAUCUAGCCUCAUAAAAAUAAUUUCAACAUAUACCCAGACUUUCAUAAUUUUCUGACACUCUGAAUUUUCUGCUAAAAUAUCAGCCCCGUUUCUCACAGAGAAGUCUAAAUCUUCUGUUUUCGUUUCGAUUUCAACACAAGCCAUUCCAGACUUAUAUUUUGUUUCUUUAAGUCCAAUAAAAAUAGUAUCUUACACUAUUUUUAUUUACACUUGCUUUUAUAUUAAAAUUCGGUACAUCAACAAUUAUAAUGUUUGAAUAUCCUUUUCAUUUAUUCUACACUAUAUUUAGAAUGCUUGUCAGUUGGCUUGGCACCGACUAUCUAUGCCACAUUCAUGAAAAGGAUAUUCAAACAUUAUAAUUNGAGCGAGCCGAUCUCGAGCUCAUUUCGAGCCGAACACGAGUUGGUUCGCGAACAACGAGCUGGAUUGCCACCCCUAGUCACCAUAUUGAUCAUGUACGUGUAUAUAUAGAAAUCAUGCAUUGUAGGGUUAAAUAGUAGUAUGCUUAAAUUUCUUGUAUGUUGCUAAAGUAAAGAUAAUGACGUGAAUUGAGAAUGGAACAUUGGACACAUGAAAACUCUAUAGAUGUAUAAACUAAGAUGUGAAUAUUGACAAUGUAGUAAACAUGGUGACAUUAUGACUAAAUGAGUUGAUUAGCACCUUGAAGCAUUGAAUGCUAGAGAAUGGUACACUUUUAGUAUUAUGACAUUAGUUGACAUGGUUUUCUCAUGAUUAGAGGAUUGGAUCAUACUCACAUAUAAUUUGAUGUACUUGAGGAUGGUCGCUCCACCUCAAGCGGUGAGCUUCGGAGUUGUCACACCUGGGCGGUAGUGAAAUUUUUCCCAGCAGAUGGUCCCAUCGGGUUGUAGCGGAAUUCUCCCCGACAAAAAAGAAUUUGGUUUGGUGAGUUGGACUCAACUUAUGGGUUAGCCGAGAUGAUUGGGUUAUGGCAAUAAAAAUGACAUGUAUCAUGAGUAUAAUGGUAUAUUAUUUUAGUUUCAUGUUACAGAUAUAGUAGCUGUAUUUGUAUUAAGUUAUAUAUAAAUAUCCUUGCUUUUUUACUUACGCCUAAUUAGACCUAGUGGAAAAGUCGGCAGAAUCAGCGGUCAAAUUCACUGGAAACUUCUUUUAGUUCUCACCCCACCAUUUUACAGAUCCUAGCGCGAGUGGAGCGAUCUAGGAUCGCGGCAAGGACAUAGAACCCUAGGUAGAGGACCUCCUUGCACUAGUUGUACCCUAUGUUGUCAUCUUUUGUACUUGAUGAAAAACUUGUAAAGGGUGAAUUUGAGAGAUGAACAAUAUAUGUAAUGAUAUUUGGGUAAAUGAUGUAUUUUGAGUUAAUGUAAUUAAUGUUUAACUGUUGGAUGUAGUAGUUAGUUAUUAUUCUCACUCACUCUUGUAUAUUUACCUUGUGCAAAUCAUGCAUAUUGUCGUUUUCUUGGGCAAACUCCUUACGCAUGCUGUUGUUGUGGUUGAGCCUUGGGCGGAUAGGAAAAACUAUGUCUGUUCGGCUGUCUAUGUGCGCGCCCGAACCGACCAAAUAGGCGGUCCUAGGGCGUGACACAACGUGAUCUAGGGGCAGGCGAGCAGCAGCAAGCCGCUCAAGAAGGAGCUUCUGUUUGUGGAUGUGACCCUCAAUAGGAGAGCCACUCGGGCGCUCAUAGACACUGGAGCAACCCACAACUUCAUUACUGAAGCUGAGGCCAAGCGACUGGGCCUCAACCUCGAGAAGGACAUGAGAAAAUUCAAAGUUGUCAACUCGAUGGCACAGCCUAUUGCAGGGGUAGCCAAAGGGGUGAUGAUCACUGUAGGACCCUGGAUGGGUACAGCGAGCUUUACUGCCGCGACCAUCAAUGACUUCAAAGUUAUCCUCGGCAUCGACUUCCUCGCUUCGUCGAAGGCAAUUCCGAUGCCGAAUCUCGAGGCCCUAAGCAUCAUGGAGGAGGCGGCCCCAUGCAUGGUCUUGGCAAGCUGCGGUGAGCCAGCGGCAACUGACACCCUUUACACUCUACAGUUGCGGAAGUGGGUGAAACGCAGAGAAGUUACUUACCUUGCAGCUAUCCGCAAAGUGAGAGAAGAGGACCUCGAGGAGGAGGGCCCUCCAGUAGAGAUUGAUGCGAUUCUGGGAGAGUUCAAGGACGUCAUGUCAUAGGAGUUGCCCAAGAAACUUUCACCUAGGUAGGAGGUAGACUAUAUGAUCGAGCUCGAGCUCGAGCCAGGAGCUAAGUCACCAGCGAAGGCACCAUACCACAUGGCCCCGCUAGCUCGAGGAGUUGCAACGUCAGCUAAAGGACCUCAUCGAUGUGGGCUUCAUAAGGUUAUCGAAAGCACUCUAUGGAGCACCGGCCUUGUUCCGAAAGAAGAGCGAUGGAAGCCUGUGGCUCUAUAUUAACUACAGAGCGCUCAACAAGGUGAUGGUAAAGAACAAGUAUCCUAUUCCCCUGGUUGCAGUUUUUUUUUACCAACUUAGCGGAGCGAAGUUCUUCACAAAAUUGGACCUUCGCUCGGGGUAUUACCAAGUCAGGAUUGCGGAGGGUGAAGAGGAGAAGACGACAUGCAUGACGAUAUAUAGAGCCUAUGAGUUCCUCAUCAUGCUAUUCAGCUUGACGAAUGCGCCGGCAACUUUCUGCACUCUGAUGAAUAAGCUAUUCCACCCUUACCUCGUUCGCUUCGUGGUAGUGUACCUCGAUGACAUCGUCGUGUAUAGCAAUACUCUAGAGAAGCACGUCGAGCUUCUUCGAACGAUCUUUCAAGUACUGCGGAAAAAUCAACUUUAUGUCAAGAGGGAGAAAUGCUUUUUUGCUAAAGAGGAGGUGCACAUCCUUGGCAAUUGGAUUGGCCGAGAACAAUUCCGCAUGGACAAGCAGAAAGUGUGGGUAUCUGUGAGUAGGAAGCACCCACGACGGUGUCUGAGUUGCGAUCCUUUCUCGGACUCGUCAACUAUUAUCGCUACUUCAUCGGGGGCUACUCUACUUGAGCAGCCCUAUUGAUGGACUUGCUGAAGAAGACCUAGUCAUGGGAUUGGACCCCUUGGUGCACGAAGGCAUUCGAGGACUUGAAGCGGGCGAUGACAAAGGACCUGGUGCUACAUCUUCCUGACUGCAACCGCCCAUUUGGGGUGCAUACUGACGCCUCGGACUUCGCUAUCACCGGUGUCCUCAUGCAGGACGGGCACCCCAUCGCCUAUGAGAGCUACAAGCUCAACGACACUGAACAGCGGUAUACGGUGCAAGAGAAGGAGAUGACCGCCAUAGUGUACUGUCUCAAGACUGGCGGCACUAUCUUCCUUGGAGCAAGUUUGUUGUGCGGACAGACAAUGUUGCAACGAUCUACUUCCUCACUUAGAAGAAGCUAUCACCUAAGUAGGCGAGGUGGCAGGACUUCCUAGCGGAGUUUGAUAUGGAACUCGUGUACAAAUUCGAAAAGGAGAACCAUGUGGUGACACACUCAGCUACAAAGCAGAGUUGGCAGCAAUGUGCCAACUCCAAGGCGCGAUUAGAGAGCGAAUCCACGAAGGGACUUGCGAAGACCCUGUGGCCCAAGAACUCGUGUGACUCGUCAAGGAGGGCAAAGCGCAGCGGUUCUGGCUUAGCGAUGGGCUACUCCUCACCAAGGGGCGUCGCAUCUAUGUGCCCAGGUAGGGUAAUCUUCGUCGAGAACUUAUGAAAGAGUGUCAUGACUCCAAUUGGGCAGGACAUCCGAGGCAGAAGCGGACCAUGACACUACUCGAGGCCGCCUACUAUUGGCCUCAUAUGCACGACGACAUGGAGGCGUACAUGCGGAUCUAUCUUGUGUGCCAACAGGACAAGGUGAAGCACCAGAAGCCAGGGGGCCUCCUCGAGCCCUUGCCUACACCAACGAGUCCAUGGGAGAGUGUCUCAAUGGAAUUUAUCUCUGCCUUGCCCAAGGUAAGGUUGUUAGGGUCCAUCCGCUUGGUGGUGGACCAAUUCUCCAAGUAUAGGACCUUCAUAGCGGCACCAGCGGACUGCACGGUGGAAGAAGUGGUGCGCUCUUCGUCAGCAACGUGUGAAGCUUUAGGGCAUCCCUGAAAGCAUUGUGAGUGAUUGCGACCCUAGGUUCACGAGCAAGUUCUGGACGGAAGUGUUCCGGAUCUUGGGGUCGAAGUUGCUCUUCUCCGCUAGCUUCCACCCGCAGAUGGAUGGUCAAACGAUGCGGGUGAACGUGUUGCUGGAGAAGUACUUGCGGCACUAUGUUAGUGCCAACCAGAAGGACUAGGUGCAUCACUUGGACGUUGCCCAAUUCUCUUACAAUCUGCAGUGGAGCGAGUCAACAAACUUUAGCCCGUUCGAGUUGGCAAGGGAGAACGUAGCCACUCACUCUACAUUCCGCUACUAAGGCGAGCAGGGCCGCAGCCCCAUGGCCCUCCAAUUCACCUCUCAUUUGCAGGAGAAGGGGGACAUUGCGAGGACCUAACUUGAGAAGGCGGCCUGCCGAAUAAAGAAGUGGGCUGAUGCAAAGCGGGGACCCUUAGAGUUUGCUGAGGGGGACUGAGUUUUGGUCAAGCUGCAAUCGCAACAAUUCAAGACCUUUCAGAAAGUGCACUAUAGGCUUUUGUGGAAGUACGAAGGGCCUUUCACCAUUGUGAAUAGGGUGGGCAAGUCAGCCUACAAACUGCAACUCCCCACCAAUCUGAAAAUCCAUCCUGGCUUUCAUGCUAACUGCUUGCGGCCCUACCAUGAAGACGCUGAAGCCCCGAGCUAGGGCGUGUCGCAGCACGCUCCCGCCACUAUGACUACUACUAUCGACAAGGAGGUCAAAGCCUUGUUGGACACUCACACCAUUCGUCAUCGUGGCGUCCCACGGAGCAUCGAGUACCUUGUCAAAUAGAAGAACCUCCCGCAUGGCGAAGCAAGCUGGGAGAAGGCUGACACUUUUUGGAAGUAUCAGAAGCUGAUUAAUGACUUCCAACACAAGCGUGCGACGAGGGCGACUGCGCAUUAGGUGGGAGAGGUUGUCAAGACAUAGAAAUUUUCUCCAAGAUUUUUUCUUUGCAAUCAUUCAAACUCUAACGCUGAUAUCUGUCAGAGGUUUUGCCUAAAUCUUUUAGAAACAUCUCUACGGAUCUUAGGAUGGCGCGAAAACCAAGAAGUCUCUUAGAGUUUUUAUAUUUCUAUAAUGUGUAUUUAAUUAUUAGGACUCUUGGGAGCUCGUAGCCUCCCCUUUUGGCUUGUAGUUUCAUGCCACUUGGCUGGCAUAUUUCUAUUUACUUUAUAAGCGGCGAGUGGACUUUAAAUAGAUAUGGCCUCUGCCCCCUCAACUCAGAAUCUUCAUUUGUAAUCCACUUCAAGAGUAAUGAAGAGCUUUCGUUAUCUCUCUCUCUUAUUCUUAGUCUAGAGCGAGUAGGUCCUAACUUAGCAAAUAGAGAGGUAGGCUUGCUCACUUCGCAAAGGAAGACGAGUGCCACACGGGCUAAACAAGCGAUUUAGCUUAAAUCCAUGACAACAAGCUUAAGAUCCUAUGGCUUGGAUUCACUUGCUAAUUUUAUCAAUUUAUUUUUAAUACUAGAAAUUUCAAGUGAAUUUUUUAAUCCCUUGGAUGUAACGGUAUAAGAUGUACUUCCAUAUAUGAGAUGUAUAAUUAGCAUUUUUUUAAGUGUUAGUCUUACACCACAUUCAUUUUAUAGUCUAGACUUAUUUACUUAUCUUAUCACUUUUUUCUUCUGUACUAAAAAUUCAAAAUGAGUUUUUUAAUUUUUGAAUUAUCGAGUGUAAGAUGUACAUCCCAUAAUAAAAUGUUAAAGUAGCAUUUUUCAAAAGUUUAAAGUGAAACAUAAUAAACACUUUUUAAAAUUUUAAUAUUAAAAAAAUGAUAAAAUUAGUGUGAAGGUGUUAGUCCUUAGAUAAGUUAUAAGAUUUAUAUCCUUAUUUUGAAUGCACAUGUUGCAUUAUUUGAGCAAUACAUAAUAGGAUAUUAAAAAAAAUUUGCUUUUUUUUUCAAAAAAUAAAAAAGUAAUGCUGCUUGUACAAGAAAGUAAUUUUCUCUAUCACAGUUUUAAUACACUAGAUUUGUAACAUUCCUUCAAAUAUCAUCACAUUGCAUAAAAGUAUAAGAAAAAAAAAAUUUAAAGCCUCAUUGCCUCAUUUCAAUAUGUGUAAAUAUCAUAUUGCUUCUGAUUAGAUUAUUUUUCGCCAACUUAGUACAAUACAAUUAGUUCAGAACAUAUCGUAAGUGUUAUAACUGCUAUAGAGAAAAAAAAGUUUUGCUUGUACACCCAAAAAGAGUAUAAAUCUUAAAUCUUACCAUCUAUAGGUUUAAACAAAUUCCUUAGUGUGAAAAAAAUUAACCGCGAAUGCCGUGUACAAGUAGCACCGCUUCAUUUAAAAACACCUAAUUUAAUAUUUUAAAGAGUUUAAAAUUUUAACAAUAAUGUAGAUUUUAGAGAAAAAUAAACACACACCUCCUCAAUUUUAUUAUAUAGCACAAUAGAACCUUCAACUCAUAUGAAAUUACUAAUUAUACAGUCAUUUUUAUUGUAUGCCUUAUAUCAUAAUCUUAUAAAACUUUAAAAAAUGAUAGAAAAAAUUAUUUCUACUCUAACACACCAAAAAAAAAAAAAAACAACACAAGUCGAAGAUAGGUUAAGUUUGUUCUUCAAUUCCAAUACUUAAUUUAAAAAUUGGAAGAGAAAAAAAGAGGUUUUUUAUAUUUGAAGUCCUACAAAAAUCAUGUAUAAGUGGCGCGAUCAAAAUAAGGCAUACAAUUAAUAAGUUAAAUUAAGAAGAAUAUAUCAAAUUAUGUGAUAAAGUUCAAAAUUGAAGUUUAUGAUAAACAAAACUAAAUUUAGGAGAAUUUUGCACUUUGUCCCGCUAUAUUUUAUUUUGUUUAUGAUAUAAAAUGAUGGUAGAUAUUAUUACCGACGUCGAGAACUCUUUCAAAAUUUUUGAAUCUUCUAAAAUAUCAAAGCGAGUGCACUUUACAUGCUAUAUUUUUAAACUAGGCCCACAAAAUCUACAUAGUCCUACUUAUGGAUGUAAAACCGAACCGGUGGCCCAUUGGCUGCCCGGCCCGGCAGGGCUUAGGGCCCAGCUUCAGCACGGCACGAGUACUAUAGCGCCUGGUCGGCCCCUACCGGAACUUUCGGGUUGUGCUGGCCCUUGAUCUUUGGGCCCAAUGGCCCGGCAUGGUUCGACCCGAAAAGGGCCUAGGCCGCGCCAGGCCGAGGAUAAGCCCGCAGCGCCGCACGGCAUGGUCCGCUUGGGCCGGGCAAAACGAGUCAGCAUGGCCCGGAUCCCCAAGGCCCAUGACAAGUUAGCUUCUGGCCCAGGAGCUCUCCUUACAAAGUCUGUCAAUGCAGACCUUGGGAAUAAUUUUGUUCCAAUGGACCAAACAAUUUUAGCCCAUUAAACCAAAAAUCCAUAUUCUUUUAAAAAAUAAUAAUAAUAAUAAUAAUUUAUAAAUUUUUUAUAAAAAAUUAAAAAUUUGCUAUUUUAUAAUUGUUUUUAUAAAUUUUAAUUUUUUAUGAAAAUAUCAAUUUGAAUGGAAAUAAUUUAUUAUUUUUUAAAAAAAUUUAUAUUUUUUUUAAAAAAAUAUAAAAUUAUUUUUAUAUUUUUUAAAAUUAUUUUUUAUGAAUUUUAAAAAUUAUUUAUAUAUUUUUAAGUACUCUAAAUUAAUUUUAACCAUUCUAAUCAUCAAUUUGAAAUUCCUAUCAUCUAAAACGAUUUAGGAGGACAAAGAAUUCCAUCCUCCUAAAAAAAAUGGUAGCUCAACUCUCUCUCUCUCUCUCUCUCUCUCUCUCUCUCUCUCUCUCUCUCUAUAUAUAUAUAUAUAAGCUUUUCAAGCCUUCGAUUGAGCCUGGUAAUAUUCAAACUCGACUGGAAAUAAAUUUUUUUUUUUUUUCUAUUCAAACUCGUUCAUUUAAUUUUGAGUCGAGCUCGAACGAGCCAAACAUGAGUAGAACAUGAGCCGGCCCACUCAUUUGCCAGCCCUAUCCAUUGAUGAAGUAAAAAAUAUUCUUUUAAGUAAUUUCGUUACAUAUUUUUUAAGCACUGUUAUUAUAAAGAAAUGUUACCUUCCACUACUCAUAGGGGUGGAUAUCAUACAAUUCUUUUGUUUGGAGUAUUUGUUUUUUUAAAGAAAUUAAUAAAAUAAGUGGAUUAAUAUAGAUCAAGCUAUGAAUGCCAACGAAACUACCCACUCAACGCCAGAAAAUUACUAUCAUCCUAACUAGGGAUCACUAUCAUCCUAACCUGUGAUCACUAUUAUCCUAACUGUACAUUUCUUUAUCCAACGGCUGAAAACUUAUGAGUAUGAAAGAAUUUAUACUCAUAAGAAUAUAAUAACUCUACUCUAUUUAUAAUAUCAUAUUUGAUUCGCUCAGAUAUAUCUGUUUAGAUAUAUAACUGCAACCAAAAAAAAUUGUAGUCAAGGCAUUGGUAUUCCACCUAAAUGGAGUAUAAGAAUAUAUAUAUAUAUAUAUAGAGAGAGAGAGAGAGAGAGAGAGAGAGAGAGAGAGAGAGAGAGAGAGUUGAGCUAGAAUACUAUUGAUAGCAAACGGGCUCCGUUGCCACCAAUUUGUUUUCGAUGACGGAGCCUCCAAAUCGACGAUCGGCAGCAUUGAACAUGAUCUAUACCACUUGAAGUGUUUAGAAAUCAAAUUUCAAAUCUUUUCGACAUCAUUUACCUAAUGAUUAAAAGGUUUCAAAAUUUGUAAUUUUAAUGGUCGAUAUGAAACGUUUUCUCGUUUAACGACGUAAAGAUAUUCAAAUCAAUUGAAUUUUUAUUAAAAAAUUCUUUAAACUAUUUAAAACAAGAUCUAUACUCAUGAUCUUGAUUACAAGACUGCUAUCAUCAUUUUUUAAAGAAUAUUCAUUUUUAGCCGUUCAUUUUUGUGUGCACUCGAUGGAUAAGAGAACAAUGUCGAAAAUAUAUGAAAUUUGAUUUCUAAACACUUCAAGUGGUAUAGAUCAUGUUCAACGAUGCCGAUCGUCGAUUUGGAGGCUCCAUUAUCGAAAACAAAUGAGUGGCAACGGAACCCGUUUGCUAUCGAUAGUAUUCUAGCUCAACUCUAUAUAUAUAUAUAUAUAUAUAUAUAUAUAUAUUUAUUUAUUUAUUUAUUUAUUUAUUUAUUUAUUUAUUUAUUUAUUUAUUUAUUUGUGGCUCUAUAGUCCUUUGUGGGAGGACUGGGCACAUAGAGGUAGAAGAGUCAAAGCUCCCAGAUAAUCAAUAAAGACAAAGAGAAAUGAAAUUACAAGCAUUCUCAAAAAAAAAAAAAAAAAAAAAAAAAAAAAAAAAGCAAAAAAUAAGUACCGGCACGGCACAAUGCCGCGGCACCCAUCUGCGUAUUGCGCGAGACACUCACCCGCGUAUGGCGCUGUCUUGUGGGAUACAAAGGUGUGUGCCGCGGCACGACGGGGNAUACUGGUUUAUGCUACAUUAUUUACCUUGAAGCUCUCUUCACUUUAAUUUGAUCCCUUCCCGGAUGAUAUAGCUUGCAGCUCGUAGUGUACAAUUGGGAGUAAUUUAAUCUUCGAUGCUCUCCAAUUGUCCACCUUUGACACUAGAUCCAAUAUAUAUGGACACCUAGAAGAAAGGAAUAUCCAAAUCGGAAAGAAUGUAAACAAAGCUAAAAGUCGAGAGUUUUUAAAAUUGUUAGGAAAUGAAGAUGUUAUCGCAAUAACAGUUGUAGUUUCCUUACCAAUUUAUAGUUUUACUUGCUUAAGCUGUCCAAAGAAAGCCCUAACUGCAUCAAGAUAUAAACAGUCUUCUCAAUAUAGAUCAGUCUCUUUACUAGUAUGCAUCAAAUUCUACUCCAAGACAAUCUGAGUAUACGGCAAAAAAACCAUCAGAAGCAUGUUAGUGAAGGUUAUUGUAAUUAUUACAAUCUAUUAUUGGAAACUUAAUCCCAAAUAUAAAGGGGUAAUUUCCAUGCUUACUAGAUUGGCCCGAUAGACAAGUGAGAACUAGUUUAAAUAUCACUGUUGUGGUCCUUGAAGCACUUUGACUAUCUCCUCGGCUCUUGAUUGGAUGCCUUUAAGAUACUCAAUCAGGAUACGCUGUUGGUAAGAACCUCCUUCCUGUUGCAAAAUAUCAUUUAAGUUAUCCAAAAUUGAAAUGGUAAAAAGGCACAGCAUGAUAAAAGAUAUUCGGGGGUGGUGGGGACUCUAACAUUACCGUGCGAAUUAAUAUUCUCUCUAUUCUUUUCUUGAUAACAGAAUAAAGAUCUUCAGGUGGAACUUGCCCCUUGCCAACUGUCAGUCCAUCGAGCAACAACUUAUUCCAAUUAUUUUCAGGAGCUGCAUUGGAACAACAGAGUGCAAGCAGAUAAAUAUCAAUCCAAGACAAAAUGUAGUGAGAUUAUAAAUAAGCUAUAUCUCAGGUGAAAAGGUAAUGGCCAAACAUACACGUGUUUCCUUGGUUAGCUUUUCAAGAGGAAAAACAAUGCACACGGAGUUAAAGUUUUCCUACAUCAUAGGUAAGAUCGGACUACAAUGUGCAGGAAUGCCCUUACAUCUAAUCCAGAAUAUUGCUUCAAGGUUUAUUAUUCAUUCCGCUAUGCAAAGCCCGCACAUUCAAGGGCAAAAAAUAAAGCCGCAUCAACUACUAAAAAGUUUGUAAAGCCCUCUCAAACUCAAAUUUCGUUGUUCACCAUAGUGAAGCAGCGAUGGAACAGAAGUUUGAUGAUCAUGUUAAAUGCUAGGGUCAAGCAAUAAUUGUGUUUAAAAACAACGAAAUAAAGAAAAUAGGAGAUGUUUUUUUUUAAUGCCACAAAAUAGAUGUUCUAUGCUUAAUAUUUGCCACAAAACAGAUGUUCUAUGUUUAAUAUUUGACUAAACACUACAAAAGGAGGUAUUCAACAGCCGCUCUAAGACACAUGAAGUAAGACCAACAGAUAAUCAACAUUGGAAGCUAUUAAUAUUGGUUCAGGACUGGUGAACCACGCCAAUUCUCACAAAAUCUGCUUCUUAUCGACCCCUCAGAACUAAUCUGCCGUUUCUUGUCAAAGAAGUUGAAAAUUUUCAACUUCAAAAUCUAUAAGAAAAUAUCUCUGAUUCAACUGGUUAUUCUUUUUGUUCUUCACUUCCUACAUCCAAACCCAAAAUGAACUGCUCAUAAGUAGAAAGCGAGGGUGCAAACCAACAAAAACAUUGUUCAGCAUAGAUAUAGAAGCAUUCUUCUUUGUUUUUGUACAUAAAUUGGAAAGAGAGGAUGCGAGCCAACAAAAAGCUAAGUAUUCAGCAGGCAUCCACAAUGUAUGACAAAAAAGUAAACAUACAUAUAUUGACUAAUUACAAAUAGAAGGUAAGGCUUGAGAAGGUUAAGUUGAUAAAUACUCUAGUUAAUAAAGCAGUUUCUAAACCAUCAAUAAUAGAGCACUAAGUUCAAAAUAAAGUGAUAUUAUCUCACUCACCCUCAAUUAUCGAUUCAAGGAAUUUUUCUGUCAUCAACACUUCUCCACCUGCAAAUAAGGAAAUGAGUAAGAACUGACAAGAAAUAGACUUUGACUUGAUAUCUACUGUGUACUAUCAUGUUCAAAGGGCUACUUGUUAAAAGAAGAGUAUGAUAUUCAACUGAGUAAUAGCCCAUAUACCAAAGAAAAUUAAAGAGAAAGCAUACUACUAAUUUUCACCAUCUACGAGUAUAAAACCAAGUAGUUGUAACUAUUUAGUAUAUGACAUGGCAAACAAGAGUUGAGCGUAGGCUUAAGAGUUCUUCAACGAAGAAGGUAACAUUGAAUCUACAAUUCCAUAACUGUGACCAGAAUAAGAAAGUAUAACAGUAAAAAAAUACGGAAACUAGAUUUAAAGAAAUAUACAACACUUCUCAUGAACUUGAAGUUUCAUUAAAUGGGCCUCGAGUCUCGACUCCUAAGUGAAAGAAAGAGCUUACAAUGAGAGAAAACAUGUACUAUAAGUAUAUGAAACUAACCUAACAAAUUAUAUGCAGAAUGAAAUUUACAUAAUAAUAUGCGAAAUUCAACAAACUGAAAAUAUGCAAGAAGAAGAAAGUGUGUUACCAUUGAUUCUGCUAAUGAAAGGCCCCUCUUAACCAACAAGAAUUUAAGAAACAUAAAAUUUCUUUCUCAGAAUGAACUUCUACAGUAUUGACGCUUUAAGUAAUUCUACAUGUAAUGAAGCAACUAUGGCUUUAAUUAAGCUGAAAGUAUGUCCUGGUUUAUACAUUUAAUAAGUAAAAAAGCUAGUGCUUCUUCCAGCAUUUAACUAGAAUAGGACAAAGGAUAGCGGGCAUAACACUCUGCCCUGUAAAGAUUCUGAAUAGCUGGUCAUAACUAUUAUUUGAGAUUAUCUUUCAGGUUAUGGCAAAUCACCAAAAGCUCUUCAACAGUUCAUGUCCUGCCACCAAGGGACAAUGUUAAAUAUAAUAGUUCGAUCAUCUGACAUUUCGAGUGUCUACAACUCUUUAUGACAUUCACAUGUAGUGCCUAUCAAACAUAGCAAUCAUCUUAUCAUCUAUAGCUGCCGGAGUAACGUGUCAUUGAAAAAACAGAGAAAUGCAAUUCAAAAUAAUAAAAAAUGUCGAAUAUCCUGACCUUUGUAAGCAUAGCUACGUUUUCGAAGAACUCUGGAAGCAUAUAAUUGCAAGACCUUUUGCAACAUAGCUUCAAGCCCAGGUUUAUCUCCAUCUUCUUUUGCCUGAAUAGACCAGAUCAUUGCAAUGUGGGUAUGCAACAUAAGCAUGCUGGUUGUAUCUAUAGUAGCCAUUAGCAGCCAUAGUAAAGUGCUUAAUAGUAGUAAUCAGGAAAAUCCAAAGAGAUCAUUCCGUGACCAAAGAAUGUUUAAGAGGAAAUAUAGCUAUAAUACAUGAUAUCAUGGUUUUGUCCUUCCACUUUCUCCGCAGCCUCCAAAUAGUUUCUGCUUACUUCAUCUGGCACAAAAUCAGCUCAACAGUCUAAUUACUCACACAAGCAAAAGAUCCUCUCAAUUCUACAAAAUACUCACUCAAAUCCAAAAGCAACUAAAAUCCACGAGAAAUUUAAUCAAAACUCCUGACCAUCUGCAAUAGACAAGUCAAGGAAAGAGAAAAAGAUGUCUGGAUAGUGAUGUCUACUGAACAACCAUUGGCACAGCUAAGUUUAGGUUAGAAGAGCAAUUUUCUGUCGUUUAUGAAUUUUAAAUGCUUGAUGCAAGUUAAAUUUAACUUUCAUAUGCAGAACACAAUGACACAACCGUCAAUUCAGAACUUCUAUAAUAUUUGUUGGGUUUACAACAUUGUUGACCUCAUAUAAAUAUUCAAAAAGCAUAGAGCAACCAUCACAGAUUUAGUUUGCUGCUCGAGUGAACAGGGAUGAUGAACUCAAAUCAUCCAAAGAAUAUAUCCUCAUGAAACUAUGUAAUCUUACAGAAUUAAGUAAUCAAUUGAUCAAAAUUAAUCGAUGACAAAAUUUUUUUAAAGGAUGAGUGCAAACUUACUUGACGUAAUUGGGCAUUAACCUCUGAAAGAAAUCCUUCAUCUAGUUGUCCUUCUUGUUCCCUGCUCACUAAUUCCUGACCAAUCAGAGGAGGCAAUAGUAAAUUCUUCAUGCAGAAGGUGCAGCUCAUGUAGCAAAGAAUAGGCACACCAUAAAGGAGUUCUUACAAGUAGGAUUGCCUCAUAUCUCUUUAAUUAGCAUGAUACAAUUAGUCUAGACAUUAACAACAAAUUAGAACACUAUGUGACACAAUUCCAUAUAUUUGAUUAUUUCCAUUAGGAUAGAACCUUCUAAAACAGAACUGACAAAAUGUUCUCAUUGGAACCAAAGACAUAACCACUUAACCAGAAAUAGAUCGACAAUUUUAACUUUUGCAUCCUAUAAUAAAUUCCCUUAAUUGCGGAGAAACAUUCCUCGACAAAGGCUGCAUCACGAACUACUUAUUUAACUAGAAAAUAGAAAAUAAAUUAACCACUUUUCACUAACUUCAUGCCAAUUUUAUAGUGCAUAAGGUUUUAAUUGCUAUUACCUUUUGCUUUUAGGUUUUAGCUGCUUUUAGCUUUGCUAUUAAAUCAGAGCAAACGGUAUUUAUGAAUACUUGAGGGAAAAAAAAAAAGAAAUUCCCGGGCAGCAAAUGUUGUUUGCCAAUAUGAUUUGUGAAUGAUAUCUGAUCAUACAGAAGUAGAAUAUUGAAUCUUGCCUUAACAUGUAGAAUAAUUUUGUGAAUAAGGUAAAGGUUCUACUCAACAAAAAUAAAAAGGAAGAAGGUAAAGGUGAUCGGUCUAUAAGAUAAAAGCCAUGCAAAUAUCUCUAUAGAACAUUGUGAAUAUGAACCGUUAACAAUGUCCCAACAAAAUAUCAUAGGUAAACUUAGUUGAAGAGAAAGCCAUCUGAAACUAGGUAAAGAAACAUUAUUUCAUGUGGAACUACAGAAACAACUGAUAGUGCUUGAUGGGGAUUAAAAGCACUGUUAUAGUGUUACAGAAAACGUAAUUUUAACUUGUUAAUCCGAUCUGAGUAAAUCCUAUUAUAAUAUUUACUUUUUCCAUCAGUUUGAGAGCCUCUGGGUCUCUUGGAGGCCAUGAAAUCUCUUCAUGUUCAUCCAUCACAGGAUGAAGAAUCGCCUUGAGAACAUCAGUUGCAGACUCUAUCUUUUCCUGAAAAGGAAAAGAAGAACAAUUGAAAAGCACUUCAUGAGUAAUUGAGGGGCAGAGUUUCUGCACUUGCAUAACUAGUUAUUCCAAUCUAAUCAAGAAAUAACACCAAGAAGCACAGACAGGAUCUACACAGGUAACAGGCACCAAAAGUGUUCAAACUACAGCACUUAAUUUAUUAAAAGAAAACCUCAGACACUAGGCUAACUAGUUACUGCAAUAUAGAAAUACAUACAUGAAAGAAAUCACGAAAAUUUUGAAAUCGGUUGUCAGGCAAUUACACAGUAAUGCUUCACUCACAAACAUAACUAAUAAAGCUAGAUAGCAGAUGUGCUACUUCUCCGUGAUAUAGUCACUGGCAAUUUGCACUUGACACUGAGCAAUUGUUGGCAGUUGCAACACUACAAAUGUAAUGCAUCUAGAACAACCCAACUAACUUAUUGAACAAAAAAACAGUAGAAAAGCUUUCUAUUAGGAAACUUGCAUUGGUCUUAUGAACAAGGCGAUCAACUAUGCUCAUGACUGACAAGGCCAAUUCUUCAUAAUCUUUCUGCAACAACCAAAAAACAGAGCAUAUCAAUACACAGAGAUAAAAUAACUGAAGUUAGACGGUAUAAAUAACAGAGAAUUCAGCAAGUCGCAGUUAAAAACCGUGCUUUAUCAUCAUCUGAUUUGCAUGUAUCAGUUCUAGCAGCAAGACGAAUCCAGAAACCCUCAUUGAAUGCUAAUAUAUUUUCAACUACGAGUUGUUCAAGCUGCUCAAAAAGUAAGAAAGGUCAAUCAGUAGUAUAUGUCCAACAAAAUAAAAAUUAAAAUGCUAUAUAAAAAAUAUAAAAGGUGUAAAAUUCUGUCAUAGCUUUCUAUCCAACAAAUAAAAGAGCUUGUUUGGUGAUCCUGAGAGAGAGAGAGAGAGAGAGAGAUGACAAAUGGACAAACCUAUUACCAUGAUAGCAUAUAGUUAAUCAACAUGUGCAAAUGUGAACUAAGAAUGAAUCCGUUAUUCGGACGAAUUCCAGGGGGGUAUUUUCUUUUGUUCUCAGCUUACUGCUAUCACUGGAUUACCAAGAAGAGAGUUAGUUUUGUUUCAGAGGUUUCACAGUAAUUAUUAAGGGUGAUUUUGUGGACUUAUUUGAUCGUCUUUACAAACGUAAGACUGAGAAAGACAGGCUAUAUUAUGCUUGCAUAGCUGUUAUUCUAAUAAUAAGGAGGUCAAUGCCCUGUAAGUUCAAAGACAUUAUCUUGUCGAAUAGUGUUUAUAAAAUUGUGGUGCAAGAGCUUGCUAACAAAUUAUCUCCUAUCAUGACAAAAUGAUGUCAGUCAAGUUUUGUUAAAAAACAGAGUCAUCCUUGAUUAUGAGGAAUGAGCUCGAGGAACCAUAUUGAAGUGUCAGGAAGAAAGCAUACGGCAGGUUAAACUUGGACUACAUGUGGGACGUGUUAGCAAUCUGGAUAAAAAUGGAUAAUUGGAUUAAGGUGCUAAUCAGCUCGUGCAAAGUCAGUGUUCUGUAAAAUGGUAAUCACAAAAAUGAUCAAUAAACUGAAGACCAGAGAGUGCAUUUAACUUAUCCACUUACUUCUCUAGGAUUUGAAUCCCUCAGCAUAUCAAUAAGUCUGUCCGCUUCGACAGUCUUCUUAAAAGAUUUUUCAGCAUCCUGAUCAACUGCAUAGACUAAAGUACUCCUGUUUAAUGAAUUCAGAUAUAUCAUGAUAUGGUUUGGCAUUCUAAUCCAUCAAAACUCAAAAUUGAAAAACAUCUAGAAUCAAAAAAAAAAAAAAAACUAAAUAGUAACUAGUUUUUGCUACUAUUGCCAACUACUAUAGAAAAAAAAAAAAAAAAAAGAAAAAAAAGAAGCAAAGUUUAGUGGACAAAAGAUUAGAAGAGUGCACUUACAAACACAUAUCUACAUGAUUCGAAAUAAAAUUAUUGACCUGCUAAAAACUUUUAUCUCUAUGUAUUAAAAUACUUAAGCUCACAUUAGAAAAUAUUUUGCACAUCUAAAUUUUUGCGGCUUAGAUGGCAACACAUUUGGUUCAACAAGCCUAGCUCUUUGCAAGGUCUUUGAUAAAAAUCCUCCAAAUUCCUUGAUAAUUAGAUUGUAUUAUUGUUCUUCCAUAUUCCUCAAUCUUCACAUGGUUUCAUUGUCAUUUUGCACAAAUAAAAUAAAAUAAUAUAAAAAUCCUAGACCUCCUUCAAUUGGUGAAGUUCUUGGCUGAAACAAAGCCAAUGUUUGAAUUUCCACAAUCAAAACCUCACAAUAGUCUAUGUAAUACGCCAUAUAAUGCCACCAUUUGACACCUACAAUAUUUAAUUCCGAUAUGAGUACCUUAUUCUCUUUUUUUUGUACCAACGUAUUGUUUAGAAAAAGUUGCAAAAGUCUAAUCUGCCAUUUGAAUUUCUUGCUCCUCAUUUAGAAACAUGUCUUUAACCUCACCAGUACAAAAACUCACACCAAACUUAUCUCCGAUCCCACAAACCUGAAACUCCAUCGAUCAACGGGGUUGUGAACUACUGCUACAUCAUUAAAUGCAAGAGACUAAAGACUAAACGAGAAUGCGACCUGCCACCUAGAAACCCUAAAAUCAAUUAAGAUGACACAAAAUCUGAAAUCAAAAUACUCAAUACAAAAUAAUCAAUAUACGAUAAUCUACCAAACAUUGCAAGCUUAUAGAUGAGAACACAAAUUUAAACAACAUUCCAUAAUCAAGAAGCUAAAUAAGAUUAAGCAAAACCACCUUCCACGCUUCUUGGGAUGGAUCAAAGGGUGACCCUUCCACAAUUCCGCACUAAAAUCCACAAAACUCCCCUGCUUCCAUCUGCGCAAUCUCUUCAAGAACAAAGUGUAAACAACAAAAAUUUGAUCAAAAACAAUAUUAGGGCUAAAACAAAGAGAUAUCAAUUCGUCUUCUACAUGUAAUCUUAACCAAAAAAUAAAAAAUAAAAAAUAAACUACCGAGCUAUGAGAUUGUGAUCGGAAUAUGGUGGCGGCGGGAGCUGCGGUGGUCACCGUCGCCAUUGGAGAGGCGAGGGUUAAUGGCGAGAUGCGAACAGAGAGAUAAGCACGCCUCGUCUCCUCCUCUUCGCUGAGGCGCGGGAGAUGAUGUUCACACGAGGGGCUCGAGAAAUGAGAUAACAGGGAUGAGUGAAAAUACAUAGAGACCCCUCUAUUAGAAAAUAUUCUCAAAUGGCCCCUUCGGCUUAUAUCCUUUCCGAAUUAAAUUUGAGUUUAAAUUAAAAUUAAAAAAAUUAAAUUUUGAGUUUAAAUCAUGAAUUAAAUUUAAAUUGGGACAUCAAAGUUGAAUUAACCAAUUAAAAAACUUUAAUUAUAGUGAAUCAAAAUUAAAUUUUAAUCAAUUUAAAGUUAUAAAUUUUGGAUAUCAAAUUUGAAUUAAUAAUUAAGAUAUUUAAUUACGGUGAAUCAAAAUUAAAUUUUAAAUUUAAAAAUAAAAUGUAAAUUAAAUUUUGAUGCGUUUAGUUUAAACAAUAUACUUUAAAUUUUAAAUUUAUCAGAAUUCAAAAAUAUAUAAAAAUAUUCAAUGUAUAUAUUAAAAAAAUAAUAUAAAAUAUUACAGAUAUUUUUUAAUAAAAUAUAAUAUAUAAAAUUUAUAAAAUAUAAUUUUAUUUUAAAUUUUUGGAUAAAUAUGAUGUAAAAUUUUAUAUUGAUUUAAAAUAAAUUAAAAUAAUUUUUACGUGUAUUUGUACAUACACUCAAUUAGUGUGUGUCUAUAGAGAGAGAGAAAGAGAGAGCAGGGCUAAUGUGCUAUUAGGAGCACAGCAGUUCUUGUGCUUCUAACUUUCUAAUCACCCAUCAAAUUUGAUUAAUAAAAAUAUUUUUUUAAAAAGUAUAAUGUGCAGGUAAUCUCAAAGAUCUAAUGUUAUAUUAAUCGGGAGACACUAGAUAAUUUAUGUGACUUUUAUAUUUUAGAUAUUUUUUAAAAAUAUUAAGGUUAAAUUACAGAAAUUUCUUUUUAUAAAUAUUUAUUUAAAAAAAUAAUUAAAAAACUAUAUUUUUACCCUAUCAACAUGCCAAGUUCUUGUAUGUAACCUUCUCCCUCAAGGUUCCAACACUGUUUCAUCCAUUUCUCAUAAUUUAUACUGAAAAUAACUUUCUAAUUAAUAAAAAUAUAUUAAAAAAUUAUAUUUCUUGUAGAAAAAAUAAAAAUAAUUUAGUUAUUUUGUUCCCUCUAGUAAUUUCAUAUUUCUGAAAAUCUUUAUGAUAUUUUAAGAAGGAUUAAUUUCAUAUACAUCCUUAUAAAUAUAAUGAAUUGUAAAUAUAUUCCUACAAAGUUCAACUUUAAUAUGUUAUUCUUGUAUAACUACUGAUGUUUUCAAAUAUGUCCUUCUAAUUAGUUAUCGUUAAAACACUAUUUAUUUUAUAAGUGAAAUGACCUUUUUGCCAUUACAAAUAUGUCGCUCAAAAAGUCUCAACUGUUAAUUGAAGAGAGGUAAAAAGAUCAAUCCACCUUAUUAACUAAUUAGGAUUAAGUAUUUUAUCUAUGGUUAACUAAUUUUUUCUAACGGAUCCUCACGAUAGGAACAUAUUUGAAAACAUCAGGAUUUUUACAGGAAUAAAACAUAAAAGUUGAAUUUUGUAAGAAUAUAUUUGUAAUUCACUAUUUUUAAAAAUAGGAACAGUACAAAAUUAACCUUUUAAAAAUACAAAAUAAGAAAUUUUAAAAGGCCAAUUUGCAUAAAAAAUUCACAAGUUUUAAGGUUUUACAAAAAUGGGCCGCCUUUUUCGAUUUUACAGAUUCGGUCCAAAUUUUCAACAAACUGACCAAAAUACCCUUAUAUUUUUUCUCUCUUCUUUUUUUCUCACGUUUUUUUUUUUCUCGCCGAAGAAGUNCGAUUACGCCAAGGCCGCGCAGCGACCCUUUUUUUUUUUUUUCCUCUCUGACCCUCCACCCGCCGGCCCCACCGCCGGUGACAAAUAAGAAGUGCUUCUCGGGGCCCAGAAGCACGCCAUCGAGGAAGAAGGAGAAAAAUAGUUACACUCCGGCGAGAACGAUGGUUGCGAUAUAGAGUAAGGGAGAGGUCGUUAUAAAAAAAAUUAUAAAGAGAAAAAAAAUAAGAAUAAUAAAAAAUAAAAAUAAAAAAAUAAUUUACAGGAAAAACUAAAAAUCAUAAAAGACUAAAGAAAAUGAUGAAAUUGCAUUGUUGAAAUAAAAUUGCACUAUUUUUUAAAAAAUUUGUACUGUUUUAUAUGAAAGUUAUAGUCUUUGAGACAGAUAUUAUACUCUUUGGAUAAGAGUUACACCUUUUAGGUGAACGUUGCACUAUUUGGAUGAAAUUUAUACUAUUUCUUAUUCUCUUUUUCUUCUUCCUCCUUCUUCCCCUCCGUUUUCUCGUCCUCCUCCUCCUUGUUGCUUUUCCACCUUCUCCGCCACCGUCGCCGUCAAGCGCCCCUCGAUGCCCUCCUUCUCCACCGGCGCCGCUACCUCUCUUCUCUGCCGGCGUCGAAUUCACACCCGAGUUUCGGGAGGAUAGCGCCCACGCCCAUGCCAGGAGCACGCCCUCGACGCGGCUGCCUGCUGGUCUGGGGCGCGUCCCUCACGAUGCUCCCCAUGCUCCGCGCUUUGGACGUGGCGGGAAACGCGCUGGAGCCGACUGGUGGCGGAGGAGGAUGCGGAUAAGUAUGAGAGAUAGGAGAAGGAGGAUAAAGAAGAAAAAUAAUGUAAAUAUCUCUUAAAGGGUGCAGUUUACAUCUCAAAAAGUGCAACAAGAGGAAAAAUAGGGUAAAUAUCUCUCAAAAGAGUAUAUCUUUUAUUUAAAGAGUGCAACUUUCAUCUUAAAUGAUACAGUUUACAUCUCAAAAAGUGCAAUAAAAGAAAAAACAAUAUAAAUAUCUGUCAAAGAGUGCAAUUAUUGUUUAAAGAGUGUAACUUUCAUAUUAAAGUGUGCAAUUUAUAUCUCAAAUAGUGCAACUUACGUUCAUAAUAUGUUCUUUUAAAACAAUGCAAUUUUAUCUUCAUUUUUCUUCUUCUAUAAUUUUUUAUCUUUGUUUCUUUCUUCCUUCUUAUACAAUUUUUUUUUUUGUCACGCCUCUCCGCCAACGGCCACUGUGCCGGCGACAACGCCGCUAAGUACCCCCGUUCCAAGGCUGCGGCGCUGCAGCGACCUCCGCAACGUCAGCAUCGGUGUUGUCGUUAGAGGCGGCGGAGGAGGCGGAGAAGGAGGGAAAAUGAGAGGGCGAGAAGGGCAAGGAAGGACGAGAGAAGGCAAUAGAGAUGUCGUCAUCGAAGAUGGUGGAAGAGGGUCGGAAAAGGGAAAAAAAAAAGAGUUGCGGCGUGGUCUCUGCGAGGUCGGAAGCGAGGAAAAAGGGGGAUGCAUGGGCGAAGGCGAGGGCUAGAGCGAGAGCAUGAGAGUGAGAGGUGAGACGGGCCAUUUCUGCCUCCGCCUCUGCCUCUGCUGCCUUCUUCGGCGAGGGAAAAAAAAAUGAACGAGAAAAAAAAGUGAGAAAAAAUAAUAAGAGUAUUUUGAUAAGUUUGCUGAAAAUUCGGACUGAAUCUGUAAAAUCGAAAAAGACAAUACAUUUUUACAAAAGCUCAAAAUUUAUAAUUUUUUUUAUAUAAAUUGACCAUUUUUAAAAUAUAAAAUUAAAAAAAUAUAUUUAUCUACCGUUUGGUUCGGGGUUAAGGAAAAAAUAGCUAUUCCAGGAAUAUGGUCAAGUUCAAGGUUAAGGUGGGGUUAAAGUUUUUUUAUGUUUGGUUGGGGGUUGGAUUUAGUCUAGGAUAGUGAUAAAUAGUGUUUGGUUGGAGUAGGUAGGAUAAGAAGAAUAAUGAUUGAUAAAGAGAGUAAAAUUACUAAAAUACCCUCACUUUAAUCAUUUGAAUUAAAUAAUUUGCUUUUAUUUUAUAAAUUCUUUGAUGGCAAUUAGUUUUAAUGAGUAAAGUAAAUUUAAUUAUUUUAUAAAUUUUUUUAUUUUAUAAAUUCUUUGAUGGCAAUUAGUUUUAAUGAGUAAAAUAAAUUUAAUUAUUUUAUAAAUUUUUUUAUUUUAUAAAUUCUUUUAUUGCAAAUAGUUUUUUGUAGUUAGUGUCUCCUAAUUUAAAAUCUCCCUAGCGUGCUUGAUUAAUUAUGAACUGAGAAUAUAUGUUAAAAAAGUAAGUUGUUGGUAUAAACUUAUUAUAUUAGCAGUUAAUUAUUCUAAAUUUAUUUAUUUUAUUAUAAAAUAUUUAAUUUAUGCGCUCCCUCUCCUCCUCGCCCCUCUUCCGACAAUGAAACCCUAACCCCGUCCCGGAACUACGUCGUCCAGUUCACGGACUACUUACCGGCGCGUGGCGGAGCACCGCGCCUACCUAGAGGAGGAGCUCCGGGCGCCGCCGGGGGCGUGGCAAUGGAUCGAGCAGCGGAACCCCGCCGCGGCAUUCCCCACCGACUUCGGCGUCCUCGAGAUCCGGGAUGCGCGCCGGAGGGCGGUGAUCGGGGCGAUCAAGGGGCUGGCGCGGGUGAAGGAUGUGCAGGAGCUUCGAGCGGAGGUGGAGGAGCUUCGAGCGGACGUGGAGAGGCUUCGGGCGGAGGUGGAGGUGGAGGGGAAUGAGCUUCGGGCGGAGGUGAAGGGGAUCCGGAGGUUAAGCUUGGGGAGCAAGACGUGAAGCUCCGGGGUGAGAAUAGGAAGGAAGAAGAAGAAGCAACAGAGAAGAAAGAGAAAAGUGGAAUCUUGGAAAGCGUGCGGGAUUAAAGAUGGGAGGGAGGGUGGGGUUAGUAAACCCCACCCCUUAAGGGUGCGUUUGGUUCGCGCUAUCUUUUAAAGAUUCCUAUUAAUCCAAUGAAAAUAAAAAAAUAUAACGGUGUUUGGCUAAACGCACUAAGUAAUCUAGUUGGUAAUAUUAGAUUCACUUGGGAAUAAGAUUCACCCCAAAGUGCUAAUCUCAUUUUCUUGAGGGAGGAUGGGUAUUCUCAUAUUAAUGGAUUGGGAUAAUCAUAAUAUGUCUAAUCUCUUUCUUUCUUCUUACCCGCCGGCUAAUUGAUAUUAUUUUUCUUUACAGUCUAACCUUAUUGUUCUCUCUAAACUUAUUUUUCUCUCUAAAAUUCAACUUUUUUUUUCUCUCUCUAAACUAAGCUUUCUCUCUCUCUCUCUCUUUCUAAAAUUUCAACUCUCCAACUCCCUCUUGUUUCGACUAUAUUUUUCUUUCUAUUUUUUUAAUUAUGCUCUCUCUCUAACUUAUACUCUCUCUCCUUUUUUUCUAAAAAGAUGUUGAAACUUUUGUUAACAUUAUCUAAAAUUAAAUAAAUAAAUAAAUAAAUAAAUUGUAUAUUUUUUGUAAUAUUAAAUAACAUGGCUAAUUAAUAUUACCGUGCAAACCAAAUACAGGAAUUCCACAUUCUUAGUAAUAGGAUGAAUAUGAAUAAGAUUCUCGAAUAUCUUUUAUUCCUAAUAAUCUUUCAUAAUGCGAACCAAACGCACCCUAAGGCUGCGUUUGGUUUGGGUAUAAGUAAGAACUGUUAGUUCUAGGGAUAGGUACAAGUUCAGGUAUAAGCAGGAAUUAGACCAAUUUUGCGUUUGGAUGAAAAUUGGGUUGUUCCUAGGAAUAAGGUAAAUAGUGUUUGGAUGGUUAGAUUGGAACAAGAGGAAUAAGAGUUAUAAUUUGAAAUUAAAAUUAUAUUAUGUAAUUAAUUAACAUCAAAAUAUUAUUUAAAAAUAAAUAAUAAAUUUAUUAUUAAUAAUUAAUUCUAAAUAAUAAUAAUUAUUAGUAAUUAAUUAUAAAUAAUAAAUUAAUAAUAUCGAUUAUCUAUUUAAUAAUUAUUAUUAUUAUUAAUUAUUAAUAAAUAAUAAUAAUUAUUAAUUAUUCUUAUUAAUUAAUUAUAAAUAAUAAAUUAAUAAUAAUAUUGAUUAUCUAAUUAUUAAUAAUAAUUAAUAUUAAUAUUUAUUAAUAAAUAAUAAUAAUUAUUAAUAAUUAAUUAUAAAUAAUAAAUUAAUAAUAAUAUCGAUUAUCUAAUUAUUAAGAAUAAUAAUUAUUAAUAAUUAUUAAUAAAUAAUAAUUAUUAUUAUUAAUUAUUAAUAAUUAAUUAUAAAUAAUAAAUUAAUAAUAAUAUUGAUUAUCAUUAAGAAUAAUAAUUAUUAAUAAAUAAUAAUAAAUAUUAUUAAUUAUUAAUAAUUAAUUAUAAAUAAUAAAUUCAUAAUAAUAAUUUCUAAUUAUUAACAAUUAAUUAUAAAUAAUAAAUUAAUAAUAAUUAUCUAAUUAUUAAUAAAUAAAUAAUUAAUUAUUUAAUUAUUAAAGUAAUAAAUAAUAAUUUAAAUAUAUUAAUUAGAUUAAUUAAUAAUUUACUGCCAUUAAAAUUAAAUUUAGAUUUUAAUUAAUAUUAUUCUCAUCAAGGAACAAGCUAGUUCCAGAAAGCGGGUGGAACAACAGUUCCAACCUUAUACUAGCUUGUUUCAGAAAUUCGGGAACUACUAUUUCCGGAAACCAAAUAUAUCGUUUGGAAAAAAAUAGAAGACCAAAGGCUUAUUCUUCUUUUUGUUCUUGAACCAAACGCUAUCUAGUAUUUGGGUAUAAAUUGGGGGUUAAGGAAUAACCCUUUAACACCAAUCAAACGGUGGCUUAAAGUAGGAAUUUUAUAAUUUAGCCAAAAAUGGGUUGUAUGUACCGUAACUCUCAAGUUUUUUCUCGCGUAGUACAACUGUGUCCAAAACCUGGCAUAGUGUACGGCACACGCACGGUCACAUCACUGCGUGGCUGUUAAUCCCAUCUCCCUCCCUCUCUCUCUCUCUCUCUCUCUCUCUCUCUCUCUCUCUCUCUAUACCUUCACAUCUCCAUUAAUGGAGCAUCAUAACGCCUCCGCCGGAUCUCGCAGCUACACUGACCGGCGUCUUUUCCGAGCUCCUCCUACCCCACCUCAUCAUCAUCAUCAUUCCGUUGUUUCCAUCACAUCAUGCCCAAAAUUGUGCCCAAAAGUGCAUAAACCCAUCGACACUGGAUCACUGAUUCACUGCACCCGUAAAGAAAAAAAAAAUCAAAACAAAAAACAAAAUAGUACUUGCGAGUGUUAUUGUCUUACUAAUGCAACCGAAAAAGAAUAAAAAAUUUUAGCAUUUCUUGCAUAAAAAAAUAGAAAGAAAUAAUAUUUAGCAUUUCACACACACACUGGCACACACAAUAUAUAUAUAUAUAUAUAUAUAUAUAUAUAUAUAUAUAUAUAUAUAUAUAUAUAUAUAUAUAUAUAUAUAUAUAUAUAUAUAUAUAUAUAUAUAUAUAUAUAUAUAUAUAUAUAUAUGAGUUGAGUUAGGAUACUUUUACAAGUAUCACCCCACUGGUGCUAUUAGGUUUUUAACUAUUGGAUCUACUUCUUGAUUACUAAUAGUUCUUGGAUCAAAUACUAUUCUACCUACCACCAUCUACCACCAUCAUCUCAACCUCACAUCUCUUCAUCCAAGGGCUAAAAAUACUAAAGCACCAUGGGGGUGAUACUUGUAAAAGUAUUCUAGCUCCACUAUAUAUAUAUAUAUAUAUAUAUAUAUAUAUAUAUAUAGUUGAGCUAGAAUACUAUCGAUAGCAAACGGGCUCCGUUGCCACCCAUUUAUUUUCGAUGAUCGAGCCUCCAAAUCGACGAUCGGUACCGUUGAACAUGAUCUAUACCACUUGAGAUGUUUAGAAAUCAAAUUUCAAAUCUUUUCAAUAUCAUUUGCGUAAUGAUCAAAGGGUUUUAAAAUUUGUAAUUUUAAAGGUCGAUAUGAGGCAUUUUCUUGUUUAACCGUGUAAAGAUAUCCAAAUCAAUUGAAUUUUUGUUAGAAAAUUCUUUAAACUAUUUAAAACAAGAUCUAUACAAUUGAUCUUGAAUACAAGACUUAUAUCAUUAUUUUUUAAAGAAUAUUUAUUUUCAGCCGUUCAUUUUUGCGUCCACUCGAUGAAAUAAGAGAAGAAUAUCGAAAAUGUAUGAAAUUUGAUUUCUAAACACUUCUUUUUCUUUUUCUUUUUCUUCGUUCUUUCUUUUCUCUCCGACCUUUAUCACCUCCACCACCUUCGCAGCCCUCAACGACGAUAACAAGAGCGGCGCAACCUUUUCUUCCUCCAUCUCCUCCUUUGCCGGCGUUGGCGGCCCUCGGCGACAGUAAUGAGGCAGCGCCGCCUCCUCUUCCUCCAUCUCCACCUUUGCCGACGUCGGAGAAGGAGAAGGAGAAGGAAACCUCAGAGCGGGCCCAAGUGAGGCGGAGCGAACAGAGGCGAUGAAAUCGUUUUUAUGUUUUGAGACUCCGAUGCGACGCGCGGAGUAGAGAGGCUUGCGUUUGUGAGGAUGGAAGUCGGAUCAAAAAGGAGGGCAAGGGAAGAGGAAGAAGAAGAAAAUAAUGAGGCGAUGAGGGUUGAAAAAUAGUGCAAUUUUUUUUUUUCUGAAAUAGUAUAAUUUUCGUCGAAAGAAUAUAACUUUUUAUUUCAAAGAGCGUAAUUUUUUUCUUAAAGAGUGCAACGUUCAUAUUAAACAGUUGAUUUUUUUGUAAAACAUAUGCAAUUUAACAGUACAAUCUUCAUCUUCUUUUCUUUUCUUUGAUUCUUGCACUUUUCGAUAGUAGUAACAAUAUAUAAUAAUUUUUUUAAAAAAAUUUAUUUAUUUUACUUUAUAUUUUUAUUUUUUUCUACCCUCUACAUUUUUGUUCGUCUCUUAGAGAUGGACACGUUUUUUUUGCCUCACCCUCACAAGCGACGAGCACGUUUUUAAUAACGACCUCAUUGUCUCCGUCCGCUCGGCACUCACCCAAGCCCGUUUUAAGUUCUUCUCCGGCGUCGGUGGAGGCGAAGAAAGAAAAAGCGUAAGAGUUAUGUAAUGAGUGUCAGAGAUAGAAUGAGUGUCAGAGAUAGAAGAUGGAAAAAGAGAUGACGCCGCCCUCAUUACGUCGGUGAGGCCGCAAAGACGGUGAAGAAGGUAAUGAGUGUCAGAGAUAAAAAAAAAUAUAAGAAAAGAUGAAAAAAUAAAAAUACUGUGAAUCAGUUGGCUAAAAAUUCAAUCCAAAUCUAAAAAAAAAAAAAAAAAAAAAAAAAAAAAAAAAANAAAAAGGCCCCAAAAGCUAAAUUUUUAUACAAAUUGGCCAACAAAUAACUUACUACUUUUUUAAAAAAGAUUUUUUUUAAAAACCACGGGAACAUUAAUUUGAGGUGCAUAAAGAGCCCAUCCCUUCCUAAAAUUGUAAACGCACCAGCAGCAGUACAGCAGCCUCUUGCACAAGGCUAACGUCUAACGUAUGACGCAACAUUCCUUCAAAACUAUCUCAGUGAUGGAUAAUACAAAACGUUGCCCAUGCCAUGCUCACUCUCAACUGUUCUAAUUCAUACACGUACAACUCAAAACCCUAGCAUGGUGUACGGCCCAAGCAAGGUCAAAUCACCACUCCCUCCCUCUCUCUCUCUCUCUCUCUCUCUCCUGUAUUAAUAAGCCAUAAAAGCAAAAGAGGCCAUGUUCAUUCCUUCACAUCCCCAUUAAUGGUAAUGGUAAUGGUAAUAGUAAUGUCCCAACAAAAUAAAGCGCCGGAUCACGGUGCUACACUGGAACAGCACCUUUUCCAAGCCCGAUCAUUCCUUCCACUCCCAUCAAAUCGAAACCACCGCAUACAAAACAACAGUGUGCAUAAAGUGCGAGCAAAUAUCAUAGAGAAGAUACAACAAGUCACUACAAUAACACUACAUAUGCAUAGUACAUUCUAGUAUGUAUAACACUGGUUAUAUAGCAAGCUAGGAAGCGUUGGUGAAGUUCGUAACUUAUACUAUCAUAAUAUUACACACUCUCAUAGGAAGCGUUAGUUUAGUUCAUAACUUAUAUAUCUAAUAUUACAACAUAGGGUUAAACUCUCUAUUAAAUAUAUCCAACCUUUCUCCCCUUCUAUCCAUCCAUCUCUCUCUCUCUAUAGUUGGAUAGAAAGGUAGAUAGGAGGAGAUGGCGUCGCUAACAAAGACCAAGUAUGCAUAUCCUAACUAUUCUUCACCCUUUUUCCUCCCUUUAAGGCCUGCAGGAGGCAGCGACGUGGGCGAAAGCCGCUUGCCAAUGAACUGCUGCUCCGGCCGACGGACGCCGUCGCGAGGAGGGUCGAAGGAGACAGGAAGGAACUCAUCGUAGCCGCAGAUGAAAACCGAGUUCUUGAAGUGCCUCAGAAGAGCCUCCAGGCCCUGGCAAACAUGAAAAAUUAACCACUACAAAUUUGAUGCACUUAUAGAGAAAUGCAAACUAGUACGAACAAUUUUGAACCGUUUGAAUCGAAACAAUACCUUAGAAGCACUCUCAAUACCAUUACUCCGCUGAAACAAAUAUUCACUCUCAAAGCCUAAAAUUUGCGAUCUAGCAUGAACUGAUCAUUCAAAUUCAACACUCGCACUCACUGUUUUUGAACUAGAAAAGAACUGUUAACCUCAAAAGGUCAUUUGAACUUGAAAAGAACUGUUAAACUCAAAAGGUCAAAUUAAGCUACACAAUUACAUAAAACCUAACUUCAGUUCGAGCACUACUCGUGAAAACACAAACGCGAGAAAAAAACAAAAUAAAAAAAACGAAUUCCCAACCACUGAAUGAACCGCGUGUCAAAACACAGCAUUUUAAUCAUUUACGUCCGCUUAUAGUGUACUCAACACCUCGAUUAUCAAUAACUUGUAACAAAUGAGAGAUCACUUUGAAUCUAUUACACGCCGAGAACACGCGUACGUUGAACACCCAAAACUACGAACUAAAUAGACCCCCUAAAAACAAGCACGGAAUUAGGAUUCCUUUUGAACAGUGCACGUACCUGAAUCCGAGCGUAGGUCACCUCGCACACCUUGCGGGAUCCGUGGAGCUUCCACUCGUAGUUGUGAAGGAACCUAUGCAACCUCCACGCCGCGGCGGGGGUGGUGAAGUUCACAAACGCGUACCCCAAGUUGCUCCCACUCCUAUUUCAACAAAUAUCGAGCACGAAUUUCAACGCAAGCAACGUAACGCGCGGAAGGAAUUAUUGGGUUUUUUUUGUCAUUAAUUGCUACACCUGAAGUCGAUUGGGAGGUAGAAAAAGUCGAACUCGCUGGAGUCGUUUUCCAGCGACCCUUCGCCGUCUUCCCCGCGCUUUAAAUAUCGCGACUUCUGGUUUUCCUCCACACAGUGCUGGUCCAGUAUGCAAAUCAACUUCUCCUUCCUUCAAUUUUUUUUUUUUUUUUUAAGAACCCACGGUUUAUUACAAAUGAAACUAUGUAGAGAGAUUAAUAUAAACAUCAAAAAUAAAUACUCUUACGUGAAUUUGUUGGGCAGGUUCUUGAUCAUGACCGUGGUCUUGUUCUCUUCAUUACAACCGAACUCGAAUUCUGCGCACGCCCUCCUCUUCUGCAACAGUGGCACGGAUGAAUGCAGCAGCUGCGGCGGAGAAGCCGAAGAAGGCUUCCGCCGGCUCUUCGGCUUCGGCUUCGGCGCGAAGAUCUUCUUGCGCCCGAAGCACCCGUAGCUCCUCACUCUCACAUCCUCCUCCGCUGCGUUGGCGGUGGCGGUGGCGUUGUCGCCUGCUGUGGUUUGAUGAUCCCUUUCCUUGAACUCUUCGAUAAUGGCUCUCUGGCCAGGGAACGAUAGGGGGGGUGAGGUGAAGUGGUGGUGGUAGUAGCAGGAGUAGAGGGUUUGGGGGAGCGGGUGGUAGUAGUAGAAGGGUUGAGGGGGCGGAGAGGAGGCGUAGAGGAGGGAGGUGUGGGAGGGGGUUUGGUGGUACUCGAAGUAGAAGGGUUGUUGUUGCUGUUGUUGUUGUUGUUGUUGUUGUUGUUGUUCAUGGAAAGAAGGGUUUGGGAGGAGGAGAAGGGGUUGGGAAGAGUACAAAGAGGAAGGUGGGUUGUAGAGCUCUAGCGUAGUAGGAUGGUAGAGAAGCGGCGAGGGGUAGUAAACUGGGGCGUUAGGGUUUAGUGAUGCAGUAGCCAUGGUUGUGUAGAGAAAGAGAGAGAGACAGAGCGAGAGGGAGAGGAGAACAGACAACGAGAAAAAGGAAACAACACAACGAGAAAAAGGGAACAACUGAAGAGGGAUAUUUAUAAAGAAGGGUUUAAUAUACAGAAGGAGAAGGAUUAUGAGAGAGAGAGGGGGGGGGUGGGAGAGCGAUUGGAGGGGGGGAGGGGGGGUGGGGGAUGGUUGGAAAGGGGGGUGGGGUGGGGGAGGGAUUGGAAAGGGGGCGCAAGUCUCAUUAGCAUGUUUUAAUGCAUGGAUUCGGGCUCGGAGAUCAUGCGCAUGUUAGCCUAGCUCUCCUAAGGGAAAAUUUUUUUUUCUUUUUUUUUUCUUUUUUCUUUAACUUUUUUUUAAAAUUUUUGGGUGUAGUUUAAUAUAGUAGUAGUACCUGUCCUAUAAUCUCAUACAAUUAUUGGUAAAAAUAAAUAAAAUUUGUUUUAAUUAUAAAUUAUUUUUAAUUAAUUAUCUAUUUUUUUAAAAAAAAAUUUAAUUUUAUUAUUUAGUUUUUCAAUAUGCUUGAUUUAACCCGGUUAAUAAUAUUAUAAUAAUACUCUAAUUUCAAAUUUUAAAUACGUUGUAUAUCAUAACAGAUUAGCUAGUAUAUAUACAUUGUAUAAUUUUUUCAACUAUAAAUUCUUUAUAGUAGGUAUUUUACUUAAAUUUUGAAGUGAAAAUCACAUUGGCUAACUCAAAUCAAAUAAAUUUAAAAGUUAAAAAUAAAAGCACAAUUUUAAAAGAUUUAAUAGCAGAUUCAAAAUGGUCACUAGUUCAGAUAAAUUAUGUACAUUUUUACUUAUAUUAUUUUAAAAGUAAUACUAUUUGUACAUUUUUAUAAUAUAUAAAUAUAAAUUUUAUAAUUUUGUCUCUUAAAAAUUCAUAUUUAUUUAUUUAUUUAUCUUUUCAAUCUCUUUUUACUCUUUUUUUUUUUUGAAAAAAUAUUUAACUCUUAUAUGAUAAUAUAAGUAUUAAAUAUAACUAUUAAACUAUCUAAAAGGUUUAUAUAAAUGUUUUAUAGUAAUGUUGUCUUUAUUUACAUUUCUUGACAGGGUAUAAAUUAUACACCCCACUCCUCCAAAAGACUUUUUUUUAUUUUUAUCAACUAUUUUUUUACUAAAAUUUAUAUAAAUUAUUGUGAAUUCUAGAAUAUAAAGAAUGUAAAAUGUAUAUCUAUAUUUACAUUUAUGGAGAGUAUUUUUUAAUUUCUUAUAUCGUGAUCAUGUGGAUUGAAUAAUGGCUCUUAAAGAAAAUUCUAUAUUAUUAAUUUUUUUUGUAAUCUUGAUAUUUUGGAAAUAUAUUCUUCUAAAAAAGAGUAGAUUAUCUUUUGAAUAGGUAAAAAAUUAUUAUAUAUGACAAAAUUUAGAAAUUAAAAUGAUGCGGUGACAAGAACGUGUUCCAAUUUGCAAUAGGUAUAUAGAUUGUCGAAAGACCACCGUUGCAAUAUUUACCGACCGUCCUUAGUGUAAGUAAAAAUGAACUUGUUGAUUGAUACCCGAGAUCCCAAGUUUGAAUUCUAAUUGAUUUAUAUUUCCAGCUAAGUUUAUUUCUAAAUGAAUAAAUAAAACGAGUAGCAUGCUACUUAUCUCUCUCAAAGAAAUAUAUAUAUAGAACUAGGCUACUAUACUAUCGGUAGCACGGAGCGCUUCGUGCUACCAAGUUGUUUUCGAUGAUGCGGUUUCCAAAUCGACGAUCGGCUUCGUUAGACUUGAUCUACACUAUUGAAAGUAUUUAGAAACUAAAUUUCAUAAUUUUUCGAUAUCAUUUACCUAUCAAACAAGUAGUCUAAAAUUGAACGGCUGAAAAUAAAAAUCUCAUGAAAAAUGAUGAUAAAAGAUUUAAAUUCAAGAUCAGAUAUACUGAUCUUACUCUAAAUAGUGAAAAGAAUUUUCUAUACAAUUUUCAUCGCAUUUGGAUUGUUUUACACCGUUAAACUCACAAACACACCACAUCGGCCAUUAAAAUUGUCAAUUUUGAGAUCUUUUGAUCACUAGUCAAAUGAUGUCGAAAAAAUCUGAAAUUUAGUUUCCAAAUACUUUCAAUAGUGUAGAUCAAGACUAACGGAGCCGAUCGUCGAUUUGGAAGCUGCAUCAUCGAAAACAACUUGGUAGCACGGAGCGCUCCGUGCUACCGAUAGCAUAGUAGCCGGACUCUAUAUAUAUAUAUAUAUUUUUUUUCUUUAUUUUUGGCAUGUUUUUUGGAGCCUAUUUUUUUUUUCUUUAAAGGAGAACCUUUUUUUUUUUUUUUUUUUUUUUUUUUUUUUUUUUUGGCGUCGUGCUUUGUUUCACAACUCUUGCAAUAAAAAGAGAACUCGGUUAGAAGGGAUUGGGUGGUGAAGGGGUGUUUGCGAUCUCCUCUGAUUCUGAUUUGCUGCUGCCUCUUCAAGUGCUUUUCUUUAAAAGCAGUUGAGUCCAUUGAAGGUGGACCAGCGAAAAUAAGGGGAUAUUGUUAAUGUUGCUGUUACUUUUUUUGUAUUUUCCAAUCAUGUAACAUUAAUGAAAAUUCCAAUUUCUUAGGACUCAAUAAUUGAAUUGCUAAAAAUAGGAAUUGCGACUACGAAGCUCUUUAUGAAAUUAAGAUUAAAAAACAGAAAAGAAUUAAAAAAAAAGAUCAAAAGAAGAAAUAAAUAUAAAUAACAUCAUGAAGUUUAUAUUGAUAUGAUAUACUAAAUAAAUAAGUAAGUUUGAUUUUCUCUUUUGUACAAUUCAUUUCUUCUUUUUGAUAAUGUAGAUUUAUCAAACUUUUUUGAUAAUGUAGAUUUAUCAAACUUUUUAAAUAAUAAUUAAGAGAGAAAAAUAAAACAAAAGAAAUCUGCUCAUAUAAGGUAAAAUUUAGUUUCUUACAUUAUUCUUUCAUUUAUCUGGAAAAGCAAAAAAAAAAAAAAAAAAUUAUAAAUCUGGAUGAGGCUAAGAAUAAUUUGUAUUUUGAUUUUUUUUUUAUUUUUGAUGAUUAUACUAUUUUUUUGGGGGGUCCAUAAAGAAUUUUAAAAAAUGAGAUAUUGAAAAUUAAAAAUUUAGGCCCAAUUUGAAUGUAUAAAUAUUUUAUUCAGUAUAUCUUAUUAAUUUAAUUAAGAAAUAGAUUUAGUAGAUGAGAAGUAUCUAGAAUUGAAUAUAUAUUUAGCUUUCAAAAUAUUUAAUUAUCCUAUUAAAUUAUAUUUAUUAAAAUCUUUAAAAGAAUAUAAAUCAAACUUAUUUUUUACAAUUAUACUAAAAAUUUCUUAUAAGGAAUAAAUUAUUCCUGAAUGCAUUAAUAUCUUAUUCUUAAUUGAUAAAAAUAUGAUCAAAUAUUUUAAAUAGAAUAAUAUAUUGGGUCUUUUAAGUCAUUUUUCGAUUGAAAUAUUUAUUAUCUUAUAAGUAAAAUAUAUUAUUUUACCAAAUAAUAAAUAUUAAAAUUGUUAGAUUAUAAGGUUUUUUUUUUUAUGAAAGGUUGUGUACUAUAUGAAAGAAUUUGUCCUUUCGUAAGGUUAUAUUUCUUAGUUUAAGAUUGCGUCUCUUAGCUUAGAGUCGUCCUUUAGUAGAAAAAUUCUUGUUUUAUUGAAGAGUUGUGUUAUUUCGUACUCUAUAAAUAAUGAGUACGUUAAUUGUUGGAGUUAUGUAGAUUAAGUUAUAUUAAUAAAUUUUUGUGUAUUAAAAUUUAGAUAUAUUUAAUAAAGUUUGUUGUUUUAGUAUUAAAUACUUUUAUAUUUUUUAAAUAAUUUAUUUAAUAAUUGAUUAAUAAAAAUAUUUAAAAAUAAAAAUAUUUUUUUAUAAUAUUAAAAAAUUUUAUACCAAAUAAACUAUUCUCAUUCAGCCUAUGCAACCAAUUAUUACUGCUCAAAAUUGAUGAUUCGAAAUUCUCGUAAAAGGGACUGUUAAUUAAUAUUAUCUAAUACAUUUAUUACAUAGCCAUUUUUACUCCCGCGUACAAGUGAAACGACUUGUCCAUGAGAUAUAUAGGUAGAGAGAUCCAAACGAGUACGUGCAUGCGCAAGGAAACAAAGAGCUCUCUUGCGUGUCACUCUCGGUCUCCUUUUUUGUGUGAUCUCACUCGAUUGUUUCCAACUUACGAGAUGGGGAAGCUCGAGAAACAAAAUGAGUUUAGAUUUUGUAUAAAUAGAGAGAGAGAGAGAGAGAGAGGUGAGAUGAAAAGUUAUCAUCAGCUGACGAAUUUCCUCAUAAUCUAUUUAUAUUUUUAUGAUUGAGUAUCCGAACAUAAUAUAUACUAUUUAAAAUAUGUAAAAAUUAAAUUACAAAUCUUGUUGACAUCAUUGAUGUUAUGAUCAAAGAGUUUCUAACUUUAUAAUUUUAAUAAUUAUAUGAGGCGUUUUCUUGUUAACGUGGCGCAUAAAGAUAUACAAAACAUUUGAAGUUUAAUUACAAAAUUUUUUAAACUAUUUAAAAUAAAAUCUAUAUUCUAAAUUUUGAUUACAAAAUUCAUAUCAUCACUUUUUGAGAAAUAUUUAUUUUCAAUCGUUCAUUUUGGUAUCCAUUUGAUAGAGUAGACAACAAUAUCGAAAAAAUACGACAUUUAGUUUAUAGAUGUUUCAAGUGAUAUAGAUAAUAUCUAAUAAUGCCGAUCAUCGAUUUGGAGGCUCCAUCAUUGAAAAUAAAUAGAUGACAACGAAACUUAUUGGCUACAAGCAUUUCGGCUCAACUCUAUAUAUAGAGAGAGAAAGAGAGAGUUAUAUUUCUAUAAUAUCUAUAAUGUGCGUGCUCUAGCACUAUUAAAUAUAAAAAUAAAAAGAUAUCAUUUUUUACUAGUUUAAGUUUUCAGUGUUCGGUUGAAGGAUAAAGUGGGAAUAGACCAUUUUAUCCCUCUAAUUCAUCUAAAUACUAGAGGGGGGAAUAGGUUUAUUUAAUCCCCUCUUAACGAAAUAAUCUGAUAAGAGGGAGAAAUUAUUGUUCCACCAUUUUGGGGAAUAACGAUUUCUUUUUUUUAUACCUCUACUAAUUAAAUAAUAAAAUACUAUUUGUUAAUAGAUUAUAUAUUAUUUUAUUAAUUAUUAAUUAUCUAAAUUAAUAAUUAACUAAUUUAAUAAUAAAAUAUCAGGCAAAUUAAUAAUUACUAGUGUAGAGACCCGCGCGAUGUGGCGGAUAAAAAUAUUUUAGUAAAAAUUUAUAGAUUUAAUAAACAUAUUAAAAUGUGAAAAAAAUUUAAUAAUAUGAAAAACACAGAAAAACUUUCAGAACGAAAUUACAAUCUCACGAAAAAUAAUGUAAGAAACAAAAAAAAAAGUAAAAAGUAUAGGAGUAAAAAAAUAAUUAUAUAAAUAGCCUGAAGAGAUAUUUAGAAUAUUGUAAAAAAAUAUAACAAAUAAUAAAAGAUAAACUGAAGAGGCUCAAAUUUAUAUUUAACUACUCAUAUAAAAAGAUUUAUCUAUCCUAUUCUCUUUCUUACCUAAAAUCAGAUUUCUUUUAAACACCAACUAUUAUUGCGUUUAUUUGUGAACAUCAAAAUUUCAAUGCCACUAUAGAAUUAGUACAGAAUGCAAGGGAAUCGAAGAAAAAGUAGUAAGAAAUAUAUGACAGCCAUGUAAAUAAAUUUUAAAAAUAAUAAUAGUUAGUUUUAACUAUCUAAAUUGUAAAGAUCCAUUUUUAUACAUCCAUGAACCAAAUAACCUAUAUAUUAUUUUAGUCUGUCGAUACAAUAGGACAAUUUAAUCAAUGCUCUUAUUAAUUUUACUUUGUCAAUUUUUAUAUAACUCAAAUAACUUAUUUAUGAAUGGUAGUGUACAAUAAAAAAAAACUUAAGGAAUAAAUUCUUCUUUCUUUAAUUAUCACUUAUUAUGAGGCAACGCUUCGUAAAAAAUAAAAAUUAAUGAGCCAGUAAGCCGAAGAGGUAAUGAUUUUACGGAGGAGACGAACGGGCACACUGUGGAGAAGCGAACAAAGAGCAAAGUGAUUAGAGCAUAACAUUUAAUAAGGGGGAAGUCGAAAAGGCAACGAUGCUACGGGGAAGAUGAGCGGACACACUGUCGUGGAGCGAACGAAGAGUAAAGCGAUUGAAGAGUAGAAAUCGAGAAAGGGAGAGACUCUGGAUGUGAGUCCCAUGGGCAAAACUUAAGGAAAGCAAGCCACGUGGAUUAAGAUUAUGGAGAUUAAUAGUGUUUUAUAGAUAUGAGGCAACGUUUCGUAAAAAAUAGAAAUUAAUGAGCCAGUAAGCCGAAGAGGUAACGAUUUUACGGAGGAGACGAACGGGCACACUGUGGAGAAGCGAACAAAGAGCAAAGUGAUUGGAGCAUAACAAUUUAAUAAGGGGGAAGCCGAAGAGGCAACGAUGCUACGGAGAAGGCGAGCAGAUACACUGUGGUGGAGCGGACAAAGAGCAAAGCGACUGAAGAGUAGAAAUCGAGAAAGGGAGAGACUCUGGAGGUGAGUCCUAUGGGCAAAACUUAAGAAAGGCAAGCCACGUGGAUUAAGAUUAUGGAGAUUAAUAGUAUUUUAUAGAUUUAGUGUGCUUAUACAAUAACUAAUAUCUAUAUUGAUUAGUCAAUUAAUAUUUUAACCAAUAUAACUAAUUAAAUAAAAGUGCUUAAUUAAUUUCUUACUUUAUUGAUAUAUUAAUUUAUUAGCUUAGUUUGUUAACUUAUCAAAUUAUUUAUAGUUAGUUAAUUUAUUAAUUAAUAUUACUCGUGAUUAAUUAAUUAAUGAUUAAUUAAUGUCCUAAUUAAUUUAUUAAUUAACAUUUAUGACUAUCUAAUAAUAUUCAUGAUAAAUUAAUUAAUUAAUUAAUUUAUUAAAUAUCAUUUACUUAAUAUUUUGUUGCCGAUUAAUUAUAUACAAUAUUAUUAUUUAACUAUUAUAAUUACUCUUAUUUCUAUUAUUUCUAUCUAACUAUUCAAACACAAUUUUUCUUAUUCUCGAAAAUAACCACUUUUGAGCCAAAUAUAAAUUAAAUUGAUCUUUAACAACUAUAUAUUCAUAUAUUUCAAUGAAAGGUUAAUUCAGGGAUAUGCGCGCAUUAUGCAUGGACUUAAAAAAAAAAAAAAAAAUCCCCAAACCAAGUGAUACCUCAUACCUCCCACGUUGAUUCCAUUCGCAGAUACGUGAUAUAUCAUAUUCUGGAACUUAUAUGGGCCUGCUUUGGACCUAUAACUCUCUAACAAAACUGUUGUUUGUUUUGAUGUCCUCAGGCUUCACCCAAUCAGUCGUCGAGCCUAGGUAAUCCGGCCCAAAAAGACUUCUUAAUUCCUUACCUUCUGGUGAGUCCGGCUGGGAUACUAUCGAUAACACCAAUGGUUUGAUAUUAGCGAGUUUUCAACCGUUAGAUUUAACUCUUUAAUUAUUUUUACCAGUUAGAUUAUACUAUUCAACCAACCAUCCACUCAACCCUAGUGGCUCCAUAUCAUCCUAAUCGCACAUUUCUUAAUCCAAGAGCUAAAAAACUAAUAGCACCAAUAGCUUGGUGCUAUUAAUAGUAUUCCAGCUUAGUUCCUAGACCUGGCAAUCUUGACCCAAACUCGCAGAUACCCACGGGUUACCCACAAAUUUGCGGGUAUGAGUAUCAAUUUUUCCAACCCAAAAAAUUAUGGAUAAAACGGGUGGGUACCCAUUAAGCAGUGGGCAUUUUGGGUAACCCGUGGGUACCUACGGGUACCCGCACAUAUAUUUUUUAAUUACAAAAUAUAUUUUCUUAAUUAAUAUAUAUUUUUUAUUUAUCCAUCCUAAAAAUUUUAAUCCUAGUUUCUUAUUACGUGUCUUUUAUAUUAUGAAAUAUUUUUGUUUUAAAAUUUUAAAUAUUUUUACUGUAUGUUAUAAUAUUUUAAACAAUGAGUUAUAUUACGCUUUUAAAACUUAUAUAUAUGUGUUUUGCAUUUAAAAAAUAUAAGAGCCAAAAAAAAAAUUUGCGGGUAACCCCCAUACCUACCCGCCCACCCGCGGGCGGGUAUGGGUAAAGAUGUUGACUACCAAAAAAUUUAUGGAUAAAUUUUAUCCAUGCCCAAGUAAACCGCGAGUACAAUAACCCGCCCGCGGGUUAUCCAACCUGCCCGUUUGCCAGAUCUAUUAGUUCCCUUCUAGUUGAACUUCAACGGGUAUUCACUAAAAUAUUUUAUCCUACUAUGUUCAAACACACGGUGAGUAUAAGUUUUUCACUAUAACAAAAACAGUAUACAGCGAUACUUUUAAAUAUCGGUAUAUGUCAAAAAAAACACUGUUGGCUAAAUUACCGACACUUUUUAAAAGUGUUGCUACAUAUGCAGUUGCUAUAUAUGGGGUCACCUUGAUGUCUGGCACCUAGCGAGCUCGGUGGAGUUGGUUGAAUAGAGAAACUUUUUAUUUUUUGUUGGAUUGGAGUUUAUAUUUAAUUAGAGUUUAGUAGUUUUUGUUUAAAAAAUUUGGCAUAAAUGAAACAUUUACAUAAAAGUGUCCAAAAAAUGUAUCCCUAUAAUCUAAUUCUGUUCUAGUAAUUGACAAGUUUGGCCGAGUUACUAAGUGUUGAGUACAAAUGCAUUUAAAUGAGAGAAAUAUAGUAUACUAUCUGUUCCGUUCUUUUUUUUUUAGAAAAAUAAACUCAAUGUAAAGCAAUUAUAUUUGGAAAUUGAAAAAAUCCUAUACCAACUACCAAUUGAUGAAUGUGUUCAAAUGUUACUUGCUAAUAGUUUUAGGUUUUUGAGACAAAAAUUUUACUUUAUAUAUUGUUAGAGUAACAAAUCGUUGGUUCGUUUCAUUUUGGAAUUGUCUCAACUAAUUUUCUUCAUUUAUUUCAGAAAUUUACAUGCAUGAGUGAGAGUAGGGUGGCAAUCCAACUCGCAGUUUGUAAUCUAGUUUGCAGUUUGCGAGUCAGCUCAUAUUCAACUCGAAAUGAGUUUGAAAUCGAAUUGAUCGUUUAGUAAACAAACUGAAUACGAGCUUAAUUGUGUUUGGCUCUUUAAUAAACGAGCCAAGCACGAGUUGAAUUUUUCGGCUCGAUAUUUUAAUGAGACAGCUAGUUUUCUCCACAAUAUUUGCUUAAUAAUCGAGUGGUUUCAAAAUUAAUCGUUUUUUGUCACACAUGGAUGUAUAAACAUCUUAUCUNUUAAAAAAUACAUCCCAUGAUCCGCCCCGCCUCGUAACCUGCCUCCCGCCGGCGCUCCGAAUCCGCCUCGCCAACUAAUAUUUUUUAUAAAAUUAUAAUAUUAUUAAUAUUUUGUAAAAUAUAAAUUAAUAAUUUUUAAUACUAUUAUAUAUAUAAUUUAACAAUAUUAAUUAUAAAAAUAAAAAUUAUCAAUCACAAUUCAAAACAAAAUUCAAAAGUUUCAAAUACAUUAGAAAUGAGAGUACUAAGUUAUUUGUAUUUUGAACUUUUUUGUAAAUAAAUUAUUUUUUAGGAAUAUUUUUUUAAAAUAUAAAUGAUUUUCGGGGCGGAUUCGGGCCGGGUCAAAAUUUCUCCCGUUUCGUGUCCCAAAUCCGUCUCGAAUCGUAAAAUUUACCCCGUUUUCCAUCCCGAAUCCGUUUAUUUUCUCCCAUUUACUACUCCGUCAGGGCAGAUCGGGGCGGGAGCUCCACCAACCCGGAUCCGUUUGCAUCCCUAAAUACGAGCCGGUCCAAGCUCGCUCGCUGGUUGAUGCCCCCAGUGGAGAGCUUCUGAUCAAAAUUUUGAUGGCUUUAUAUAUACUGAGCCCCUUAACGUGACAUAUCUCACUGGAAGCGUUCCAACCAAAAAAGAUCUAAGCCUCUAGCUUGUAAGUUAUCAACAUAUACCAAUUAUGUAAUAAUCCUUCAAUUAUUAGUCUCACAUACAAAUUUUAAAUAGGGGAAGUGCUAAAGUUGAACAAAAUGGCCUUUUUUUUUUGAGAAUACAGAAGUUGUUUUAUAUGUAGUUUCCAAACGACUCUUUUGAGAACAUAAAAUAAUAGAUUUGAUCAGCAACAUCUAAAAUAUAUCUAUAAUUUAUAAAAAGAAAAAUUGUAGAAACUUAUUAUUUAGACACUAAAAUAAGCUUUAAUCAUUUAGAUAUUAAAUUGUUGGAUUAUAUAAAGUCAUGUUCCGAGUCGAUAUCACGGUGGAAACGUCGAAGAUUUGAGGUUUCUGGAUGUUGGGUACUGGUACUUGAAGUUUUAGUACCGGUACUAUUGAGUACCUCAGCAGUUACUCAAAAUUUGAAAGCUGAAAAACUAUUUUUUGUAUUGAAUACCGAUACGCAACUUUGAGUACGGUACACAAUUCCGCGAUGGGUCGGAUAUGUAGAGUUUGACUCUAAUUAGAUAUAAUCUUGUUCCAAAAGAUUCGGAAUGGUAAAAGUGGUUUCUUAGAGGAUAUCGACGAUUAGAUGUGAAUCAGAGACUCGGAUGGAAGGCGGAGAUCGUUUCCUACUAAAAUUAGAAUUUUAGGGUUAUAUUAACUCUUGUAAUUAAUCUUUUAGGUUAUGGACUUCAUUAAAGACACCUCAAUUGAGAGGAAAACUUGGAGAGCUUCUGAGAGAGAGUUUCUUGUAAUCCAAUUUACUUCUUUGUACUUUUGUGUCGUAGAUUAAUUGAAGAAAGCAUUGAGGAUGGUAUACCAUGGACGUAGGUUGACUCAUCGUUGGCUGAACCACAUAGAUUUUGUGUUCUUGUGAUCUUUUACUUUCUUUAUUGCUUUGCUAUCUUCCUGCUUAUUUUUCUACCAUCAUUAUUGUCUCUUACGUUUAUGAAAGAUUCUGUUUCUGCUACGCUCAUGUGUUGUAUGGAUUUGAGUUGUGCUUGGUAACCCAACGGACGUUCCCUUCAUAAAUCUAUAUCUAUACUAUAUAUAAAAACAGAUAGAAAAUUUUCAAUUGACAAUCGAAUUUCUAGAUAUAAUAAUACAAUGUUCCAUAUACAAAAGGAAAGAAAAUUUUAAGUAAUUAACUAGCUAAUUAAAAAUAAAUAGGUUUGAAAAAUAGAAGGAUUUAAAAUAGACCUAUCAAAUCAAGAAUUUUUUAAAUUCAAAUAAUGCAUUUAAAAUUAAAUUCAAAUUUUGAGUUUGAUAAAUAACUUUAAUUUAUAUUUUAAAAUUAAAUUCGAAAUUUUAAUUUUUGAGUAUAUAUAAUAAAAUUGUAUGUUAUGGAGUACAUAUAAAUAAUAUUUACAGUGUAACUAAAUUAAAAACAUACUUAAAAAAAAAAAAUCAGAUUUACAAAAUAAAUCAAUUGAAAAAUAUACUGUGCCACCUAUAACCAUUUAAAUUCAAAAUUCAGGUCAAAAUUUAUUUUCAAUUAAAAUUCAUAUUUAAAUUAAAUUAAUUUAAUUUAUAAAUGUGAUGUCCAUCAUACGAAUUCUAUAACUAGUAAUCCUAAUAAAGUUGAAGGUGUAGGAAAAAACCCCUAUCUGUAACAUUAAAAAGAAGUAUGGAAAAUUUAUGAAUUUUGAUAUAUAGUGCCUAGAAUGUGCAGGUCACAUCAAAUUAUUAUCAUUAAAAUUUUAACUUAUGAUAAUCUUCAAAAAAAAAAGUAGUUCGUUAGGCGAACAACUCUGUAUCUUUUAUGGGAAUGAACCUGAAAUAUGUGAUCACUUGUAGUAUGUCAAUGAGUACAAAUAUCUGCGAUCUUAAUUACUUGAACUUCAACGCGAAUAUGAUUGUGUUUAACUGAUGCUAAAUGGAUAUAUUUUUAAUAAUAGGUAUAAAAAAGUUGACAGAUAUGGGAUCAAAUAUGAUUUUAUCUGUAUCCGACUCGAACCUAAACAAAAAUGCCAAGGAUUCAACUAAUUCGGAUUUCAAUAGUCCGGUUUGCAUUCAAAGUUUUAAAAAUCUCUUCCGAAUCUGAUCCGUUGGCAUCUCUAAGCACUUGUACGCAAGGAGUACAUAUACAUAUGGUUUAUACUCUCAUCUGCUGAGACAAAGACUAUCAUAUGCCAGAGAACACAAAAGAAGUGCAAGAACUAUGGAAAAGUUGACCUUAUAAAGAGAAGUAUAUAAUCAAAAAGAGCCCCACUACAUUAACGGCCACUUAACAUGUGAUUUAGUUAAAAGGGAACCAAGGGGCCAGCAUUCUGCUCUGUGGCAGUCAGACUGGAACGAGUUACGUUCGCAAGGGCGUAAGACUGAUUCGGCCGAAUUACAAUCGAGAUCCGUAAAAACUGUAUCUAUAUCCUUAAGUGAAUUGAUUGCAUUUUUUUAACAGCUCAAGCUUUUAGGACUAAUGAUUAGCGCCAAUGAUCCAACAGAUAAUUUAAUUACUAUAUUAAUUCUCUCAAAAUUCGAUUUUCUAUUUCAUGUAAGAUACACAGAAAAGUUGUAACUAGCCACCACAUGCAUAUCCACACAUAUGAAAACAGUGGUUUCUAGAUUUUUCAAGGUCUACAUUCUCGAAUUUUAGAUGAGGAAUCCAUGAUGGACCCGGUCCAUGCAAUAAUUCACAGCAUAAGUGGGUGAUGAGCAUGUGACACCUCUCAAGUACCACAACCCCAUUAUCACAACCCCCACUCUAAUGGCCUAAAAUUAUUCCCAAAGAAAGCCUACGUUCCUUAGGCUCUUCCAUUCCUUUAUAAAUUUUCCCUCUAUCAUGGAUGGACGAGGACAAAGAAAGAACAAAGAGAUGGAACCCUAGAGACCCUACGUGUCUAUUAGCAUUAGCAUAAAGUAUGAUGUAGGUUUGUUAGGAUUGCAUUUUUUUUUAUUUUUUUUAUUUCUUAAUAUCAUCUUUUCCACCUUAGGGAGUGUAAAUAGCUGCAUAUGGUUUGCAACAGUGUGAUCUUAAGUGGUCCACAAAAUCUAAAGUUCCCACAUAUAUACAUUAUAUAUUUUAGAAUCCUUUCCCCAUGGUCCUGAGCUCUAUUAUUAACAAUCACCAAUUGCACACAAAACAGCAAAAAGCAUAACUCAGGUAGUCAUUUUUUAUACUAUAAGCGAUUCCGAGACGAUAUGAGACUACACGGGACUUGGACAUAUCACGAACAAAAUAAUUUGCCAAUUUUGAAAAAAUAAAAAAAAAAAAGAAUUUGAACACGAAAGAAACACAGCAUUUUGAUGUCAUAAAUGAUACAUGCAUUCUCAUUUUCUUCUAACAAAUAAUGUUCUAACUAUUGUUCUAUAGCGUCCAAAGAGCACUUGAUCUUCUUCCAUAAUCAACAGACAAUAAAAUUAAACAUUUAUAUUCAUUUAUUUAAAACAUAUCAAUCUCAGUUAAGAUUUAGCCAUGGAAUGUAAAGUAACACAAAAUUAAUUUAUAUGAUCACAUAAAACACUAUGUAUACAAAAUUUAUAUACAUGUAUAAUAUAAAUAUAUAUAUUUUUUGCAUGUACUGCAUACAAAAUAUAUCUACAAGUAAAACCCAAUGCAUACAAUGCAAAUGCUGUUGCACUAAUGGUAAUGAAAGAAAGACACUAUAGGAGAUUGUUUGUGCACAAAUACGAUACUGGGAAAACUUUAAAAAACAGCAUUUUUUUUUAUCUAAAUGACAUUUUACUUAAAUGUAUCCACUACAACAGAAUUAGGUUAUAAAAACAUAUUUUUGAAACAUUUUUUAUAUAAAUUACCCAUUUAUGCUAAAACUUUAAAAAAAUUCUACUAAGGCCUAAAUAGAAAGCCCAAUCCAACCAAAAAUAAAAAAUUACUCUACUCAACCCACCCCACCCAACCCACCCCACCCAGCCCAGCCCAUUUGUCCCGAUUACAAGCAAAAAAGAAAAAAAAAAAAUAUAUCGAUCACCAUCUCCUCUUUCCCCCUCACUCAAUCCACUAAAACUCUAGAUGAAAAGCCCCUUGCUCUCCUCCUCCGCGCUGCAGUCGAUACUAAAUGCUAAAUGCUUAAAUAAGUGUUGGUAAAUUAGUAUCAUUCUUUUUCAAUUAUACCGACACUCUUAAACUGUUACUAUAUGCCUAGCGACCCCAUAUAUAGCAAUACUUUCUAAAAGUGUCGGUAAUUUAGCUAGCAGCAUUUUUUUUUAUCUGUAUCGACAUUUAAAAUGUUGCUACAUACCGUUUUUGUUGUAGUGAUCCAUCUCAAUUCUGCCAAUAUUGUACUUCAUCAAUCUAUUUAUUUAACUUAAUCUAAGAAAAUUUAAAGUGACAAACAAGUAACCAAACCAUUAAACAAAACAAAAUCAUCUCAACAUCUUACCAUACAAAUGUAUCAAUUUUGAUCAGUAAAAACUAUGCAUCAACUUCUCUUUUCUGAUAGUUUUUGUAAAAUGUGCAGUUACCAAUAGUAUAUAUAACAAAUAAAAUCAUUUCACAUAAUCACAGAUCAAAUCAUCAGUUUCCCGUUAAGUAAAGCUAGAACUGAUGAUUUUAUAAUACUAAAACAACCAGGAUUAAUAGCAGUCCACAUACACAUUAUCAAGCUUCCAGGGAAAAAACAUACAGAUAUACCUUUCCAUUGUGCUGCUAGCAUAUAGUAAUUUUCAAUUUCAAUAAUUGUGAAACAUAAAUGAUCGACGCUAAACAUUCGAUUAACAUUGUUAUUUUGAUAACAAAGAGACAAUGCAUAUAUCCAUUGCAAUGUUAGUAAUCACAAAAGGAAAUUAGAGGAGAAUACUACACUCGAAGUUUUAACUUGUUGGGCAUGAGUUUUCACCAAAGGUGGCUUGUAAUAAAACACGCCAAAAACAAUUGCAGAGCUAUUUGCAUAUUACCUUCUACGAAGACCUAUAUCUUGAUAAACAUAUAUACAAGAGAACGACAAGAAUAACGAUCAAAGUACGAAGGCUUUCGUUGCCUUAAAGGACACAUCAUUGAAUGUAUUAUAGAGAGAAUAUUAAUUGUUUGAGUCGGAACUGUUUUUAUGCAUCAUGAAAUAAUAAGGUAGUACUACACGUUGAACCCAAACCAACAACUUGAAAACUCAUAGAUGCAAUGUUCCACCUAUAAUACAUAUUGAGGACUUUCUCAGCAGUUGGACAUAGCCCUUUGCCCUUUAUAUUCUAGCAUAUGUAGAAAGUUUGACAUGAUAUCCAUUCGGAAAUUUACUGAUCACAAAGGUAUUGACGUUACACAAUGAUAAUAUGUUUACAGUGCCUAAUAAUAGAACUUAGUGCAAUCUAUGUACUAUAUGAUUACAAAUAGCAAACAAAUCGUGGCGCAUGCUAAUUUCAAUCCUGUGCUUUUACUGUGUUAAACAGCUUGGGACGUACAAACAACUCGCAGCAGUAAGACGACAUUCAUAAUUUGUAUGGUGAAAUGUCAUAUAAUAACAAGGGACCAAUCAAAAACUUUAAUGGUGAAAUGUCAUAUAAAAACAAGGGACCGAUCAAAAACUUUAAUUAAUCAAACAGACACAUACUAGGGUACCACAUACACACACUGAGCCACCCGAAAUUAAUGACUUUGAAUACAUCCAUCUCCUCCGUACUUCAUGACUUCUGAAGGAAAAAACUAUCUGGCAUGAUAAUUUUAAUAAUCGCUACCGAGACUUGUGCUAUAUGAAAUGGAAAAUUGAAAGUUUUCAAAAUCAUUUCGGCGAAAAAUGAAAAGAACAUUAGCUCUAAAAGAAAUCUCAUUAUUGGUAAAGAGGAGAAGUAGAAAACUAAAUGCAAGGGCUCUAGCUAUUCUCGCAAAUUACAACAAUGUUGAAAUUUUGUUUUAUUGUUUUUCUCUUGUGCAAGUAAUGUACAGCACAAAGUUGUGUUAGUCAGAAACUUACAUGACAGACAUGGAACCCUCCUCCAUUUGCAAGCACUAACCAAAAAUUGAACUUAUAAUGGACAGUAAUAUAUACAAGAUUAAUACAAGAUGAACUUUCCAAACAUAUAUAGUUGUAGCAAGUUUAAUUGACUUCGCAUAUAGUUAACUUCGGAUAUCAUUUUUUCGCAUACUGAUUAUUGAACAAAAAAUCAGUUUCAAACAAUCCACAGAAAUUCACUUAUUAGUGAGUGGAACAACAAAAAGAUCUGUCAUUAAAAGCCACAAAAUGUUUUUGUCACAGAAACCAUAAAUUUUUUUACUCAUGAUGACUACUAUACACUAUGUAGACUAGGGCUCAAUUGUUUCCAUUAAUCUAUGAGCCCUCAAAUUAUUAUCCCUACAUAUCCGUUACAAAUAGACACAUACCAAUUUGCUGAAUAGUAAACUAUUAUUUAAAAUAACGAAACUAGGUUUUUGAUCCGUUCAAGCUCUAUAUAACAGCUAAUUCACCAUCAUUAUUAAUUUCAAUAGUUUUACUUAGAUUUGUUAUAUCCAUGAUAUGGUACAAUAAUACAUGUCUCUCUAGCACACAACAUGUGACAGAAAGAGGUGCACAAAUAAUUUAAGCUCUAUUUUGGAUGCUGUCUGAAGAAUAUAUAUAUAUAUAUAUAUAUAUAUAUAUAUAUAUAUAUAUAUAUAUAUAUAUUCUGACUAUAGAAUGUAUGGAAGAAAUGUGCAUAAAAUAUAUUUACACCAAAGCUUGACAACUCAUUCCUGACUUAAUUUUGUCACAAGAAACAAUCCAUCUGCAAAACAGCUAAAACCACAAACAUAUAUUAAAAUAUGCAAAGCAUAAAGAUUACUUAUAUCUAUUAAUAUGUAUUAAAUGUGUCUCCAUGAAAACAAGCGACAGUUACCUAGAAAAGUAGGAACAGUAUCAUGACAAACACUCAGUAGAGAGAGAGAGAGAGAGAGAGAGAGAGAGGAGGCACGACAUUUCAAGGGCCAGGGAAACAAACCGUAGGCAGGCACUGAGGAGAUGUGAUAUAUGUGGUAUUAAUCACGUCCUACAGUAUGAGGAUUUGACAAAUUUCAAUUUUGUUUUUCCUUAAACAAUAAUAGGAAAAACACAAUAAAAUAAGUUGAAAAGGAACACAAAUUAGACUUACUACUGAUGAACAAACAAACCCAGUUGUUUUCUUCCCCUAGACAUGUAAUACGCCAAAACAAGAGAGAGAAAAAACAAAAAAAAAAAAGGCCGAGUCAUAUAUUAAGCAUGUGAUACAAAGUCACAAGUGUAGAUGAGAAACACUGCAUGAGAUGUUUGAGUCUCUCUCUCUCUUAAAACUGCUAUAGAGCUAAUACCCAUUCGAAAAAGAAAGAAACCAUUUUUUCAGGCGAGGAACAGAAUUUAAAGGAAAAAAAAAAAAAAACAAACUUAUAUACUAAAGAGUAUGAUCUGAGUAGUUAGAUUCGCUUUAUAAAUUUGUAAGACUCAUAGGAAUGAUGAGAUUAUAAUAAUCUUUUAGUUGUAUAGUAAUUCAAUUCGUUGGUUCCAUAAACAUGUUUGAAGAAGUAUAAAUUAUUAGUCAUAGAAUAAUCAAAAGAACGCAUUGGCACCGAGAAAAAGGAACGCUAUCUGUCAGGUUAUUCAUUGCCGAAUGAAAGAUGAGAAAGAUGCGGCAGUUACUAACUUACUAUCCCCUCUGUCUCGGUUCAAAAGAUCACAUUCGGAACGAGUCUAAUUAAGUUAAGAAAAAAAAUAAUAAUAAUAGUAGUAGUAGUAGUAGUAAUAAUAAUAAUAACGGUGCACGAAUUCAUGAAAAGCAUGAAAAUAUACUGUAAAAGCCUAAUUAAAGAGAAAGCUCAGCGAGAAAUUAAAAUGAACCGAUCUGAGUUGUUUUCAGGAUCUUGGGUGGUGGUGGUGGUGGUGGUGGUGUUGCUGAGGGAAAAACUGCGUCCCCGCCGCGAACGCGCUCAGCGGAGUCGGGUAGGGGUCCAUCACCGCCGCCGGCGCCGCCGCUGCGGAAGCCGACGUUAUUGCGGCCUCCGCAGAAGCUGCUGCGGCAGCGGCAGCGGCAGCGGCGGAAGAAGAGGACUCCCCGGGUUGCGGUGGUUGGGUAUGGUAAUGGUAACCCGAAUACGAAUAUGAAGAAAGGUCGGGGCCUUGGUCGCGCAGGAUGCCCUUGAACACGUGGCCGCCGAUGCUGACCGUGGCUUGGUAGGCGUACUCGUCUUCCGCCUCGUCGACGGGCCCGAUGCGGACGCAGCGGAACACCGCCUCCGAGCUCACCUCCGCCGGGAACCGCGCUUCCACUGCACCCGCCCCUAGGCCUCCUCCUCCUCCUCCUCCUACACACCAGCAGCGCAAACGAAUUACGAGAGACAGAUAAAGGGGAUCGAACAGCAGCAGCAGCAGGUAGCUAGCUAGCUUGUUCUCCAUCCUCAUCGAAACACGCAAAUGAUUUGCGGCAACAGUAGCGAGAUGAGAUAGUGAACAGUGGUAGUAGUUAGUAGUAGUGGUGGGUGCAGUGAUGAUGAUGAUGAUUGAUGAUGAUGAUAAUAAUUGUAGCAGUAGUAUAGUAGUGGUGGUGGUGGUGGUGGUGGUGGUAUAGUAGCUAGUACGUACCGGAGGUAGAGGGAGGGGGGAGGGAGGAGCGGCGGUCCCUAGGGCGGCGCUUGGAGGGGUCGGCGGGGGAGGAGGAGGAGGGGAGGGCGGCGAGCUGGAGCUGGUGCUGAUGCUGGCGAUCGCGGCGCCUGGCGGCGGGGACCCACGUGCUCUUGACGUGCGUCGCGCAGUGGAACCCCCGGCUCUUGCAGCACGUGCGGCACCGCUGGUGCGCGCAGUCUUUCUUCGCCUGGUUCCCGCAGUCCUGGCAGCUCACCCCACUCCCGCCCCCGCCUCCGUAUCUUCCGCCCGACUGCCCCGACCCCGACGCCGACGCCUCAUGAGAGAAGCUCAGAAUCGCGCCGCUCGAAGAAUAGAAUUGCGCCUGCUGCUGCUGCUGCUGCUGCUGCUGCUGUUGCUGUUGCUGUUGCUGCUGCCAUAGCUGAAAACCGCUGGUGCCGGUGCCGCCGGCGCGGGCGUAGAGGAAGAAGGUGUCGGGCGGUAGCGGAUUCUGAUCGUCUCGACUCGUCGGGAUAUGGCCGCUGCUCCCUCCUCCUCCUAGAGGGAACCCAGCCAUUCCCCCCAAUCCAUAGACCUAUUCUCCUCUCCCCCCCUCCCCUCCUACUCGCAUCAGAUCUCAAUAAUAACAAUACCCCCAAAAACAAUCCUACCUAGUCCUCUUCUCUUCUUCUUCUUCUUCUUCUUCUUCUUCUUCUUCUUGAAUUUUGUUGUUUCUUUUUUCUUUUCUUUUUUUUUUUCCUUUUCGGCUCUUUUAUUUUGCCCCUUAUUGGUUUAUAGUAGCAGCAGCAGCAGCAGCAGCAGCAGCAGUAGCAAUACUAGUAGUAACUCGUCUCUGCCCCUUCAUAAAAUUCCCCCCCCUCUCUCUCAUUCUCAAAAGAGCACAGCUCUAGAUACAUAUAUAAAUAUAAUAUAUAUAUAUAACAUACAAGAAGCCAAGAGGAUCAGGGACCGCCACGCCGCCAUGGAGCACGGCUAACGCUCGCAAUUCCAUUUAUUACUACUACUCCUCCCCCCACAACCAUCUUACUUAAUCCACCCCUUAACGUCCCCCCCACACCCCACACCCCCACAAGAAGGCAAAAAAAAAAAAAAAACCCUACCCAAUCAAGAAGGAGAAGGAGAAGAAGAUUAAAUAAAAAAGAAAAUAAAUAAAAGGAGACAUUAAAAAAAAAAAAGAAAAGAAGAGAAAAGGAGGAGGAGAAGAAGGAUAAACGAAGGGAAUGGGAGAAAUAAAGGCGCGUGUCUUUCUGCGGCUUCUGCUGUGAACCUUUACGGCUAGAAAUCUAACAUUAACCUUUUCUUCGCGAGGUCCUGUACGCGGGGCGAUCGUGGCCGUCCGUGGAUGGUCGGACGGCGGAUGGGGGGGGGAUGGGGUGGGGGUGGCUCAGCAUCCGUCACCGUCUUCGACCGCCAAAAACCGCCUGCUUUUUCGUGAACCCUCCCUACUUAAUGUCGCUGUUCCUGCCACGUUCAAAGUCGUCGAACCAAUAUUAUGCGUGCGCCGGUAUAUAGACCCGUUUUACGUGCAGCACCGAAAACUCUCUCUCCCUCUUUUUUCUUUUUUCUUUUUUUUUUUUUCGGUAUCAUUGAAGGGAAAUAGCUUAGAUCAUUUGUUUUCUAAUGGUAAAACAAAACUAUCUUUUAAAAAAAAAAAAAGGUUGUGUAAAAGUUCUGAGUUUGAGUUUAAAUAAGAAGGCUCUGGUAACAUCGUAAAAAGUCAAAUUCUUCAUUCUCAAAAAAAAAAAAAAACAAUUGCUCCCACUACAACAUAUUACAUGAAAUUUAUACCUAACCAAAUCUAUUUAACCAUGUGAAAAUGGUAAAGAAUAUCACUAGGAAUAUCUGUGUAAAAUAAAUAACUAAAAUUAAAGCAAUUAUUUAAACCUAAUUAAUACAACACUUAGAUUUCAAGUUUUAAGAAGAUUAAUUUUUCAAAACCCUUGUAAAAGGGUGUAGUUUCAUAUAUGGCCCACCAAAUUAGAAAGUAUCGUUAACAAUAGUUUUAUAUGUUUAGAAAAAUAUUGAUAAUAUUUAGAUUCUUGAGGGGUAUCUAUGAUAUUUUAAAGUUUUUAGAGAAACGGGUUUGAAAUUGCCCCAAUUAAGAAUGACCUUAUUCUAUUAAGAUAAAUAGUCAAUUUAUGUUUAAUUUUUGUUUCUGUUUACUAUCUAGAUAAUAAAAUUUAAUACAUAUUCAUGUCAAGUUUGGGAAUUAAAGACAAUUCACAUCAAGUUGUUUAUAUUUAAAUUUUUAGGCUUCUAAUUUAAAGUUUUCAAGAUAAAAUUGUCUAUGCAACUGCCACUUUUAAAACAUUUAAUUUGAAAAAGACUACUUAUACUUUUUAUACACCUAGUAAUAAAAUAUAAGAUUUAUACUCCGUGUUUCAGAAAGUAUAAAUAAUCUUUUANAAGACUACUUAUACUUUUUAUACACCUAGUAAUAAAAUAUAAGAUUUAUACUCCGUGUUUCAGAAAGUAUAAAUAAUCUUUUAAAUUUUUAGUAUUAAAAAAUUAAUAAUAAAAUUAUAUAUAUUUUUUUUGAGAGAAAGAUAGUACGUUACCCGCUUCAUUCAUUUAACAAAUAAAUUUAGCUACAGGGGUUGAGACAAUGCGGUCUCGAAAAAUAUUGAAGGCAACCAAAACAAAAAAGAUAAAUAAAAACUAAAAUAAAAAACUAUAAAAAAUUGAUAUUUGUACUCCUGACUCAAAACUAAGAUAUUAAGAGCUACAAAACUCAGUUUAUUUUCUGCUCACGUUUCGUAUUCGUCUAAUAGUUUAAAAAAGAUGGAAUGAUUGGCUUGUAGAUUAGCACGGUGUAAGAUUCAUAAACCCUACAACGUACAUGUUGCACCAAUCCUUUUUAGUUUUUAAUAGGAUUAAACGUUAAUUUCGGUCUAUGGACCUGGUCGAGGAAAUAUAUUCUUGUGUGAGAGGGUUAGAGAAAACAAGGGUCUUUUUCUCUCUCAUUCACCCAAAAGUAGAUACGCGUAUUGAAUAGGACGUGUACGAUACUACGAUCUCCUUAUGCUAAUCUUUCAUUUCCAUUUUAAUUUGAUGGGAUAAUUUUAUUUGUAUCCUUGAGAAGUUCAAAAUUAUUGUAAACGCCUCUACAAAAGUUGUAAUAUCAAAAUUAUCCCCGCAAAUAUCUAUUUAGUUAAUCUUAAUUAUAUUAUAGUAUAAUGAAGGUUAAGAAUGAAAUUAUCCACUUUAACAUGGUAAGGGGCAUAUAUAUUGAUGUAUGUGGCCCACUUCUUUUUUUUCUUUAAUUUUUAUCCAUUCAAAUUUCAUUUAUUUUGAUCUCAAAUAUUAUAAUUAGUUAAACAAAAAAUUUAAUUAAUAGGUUAAUUAGCUAUUAAUAAUUAACUAUUAAAUGAAUUUAUGCUAGUUUCAACUCAAAAUUAAUUAGUCAAGGAUAUUAAAUUUAAUAGAAUAGUUAUCUUACCUUGUGAAAUUUUUAUCUUUUCAAUUUAUUAUUUAAAAUUAUUAUUUUCAUGCAAAGUCCAUUGAUUACGAGAAUUUAGUUUGUCUUUUCAUAAUGCAACUAAUUUUUUUAUUUGAUUUCAGAUCUUAUACUAAUGUUGUUCUUAGUUAUAAUAUAUUCAUAACAACAAAUUUUCUCUACACUAAGUAGUCAAAUAAAAGUUGUUUAUUACUUUACAAUCGGUGCAGCAAAAAACUAAAUAACUAAAAUGAAUUAUCCUGUCAUUCUGACAAUAAAGCAAAAUAAAAUUUAAUUUAAGAACAAUUUAUUCCAAAUAGAAAAUUUUAUUUAAUUGAAAUGAAUAUAUUUUUUUCAACUAAAAUCAAUUGAAAUUUACUAAAUUUUUAGUCUAUAUAAAGUUUAAUUACUUUUGAAAUAUAAGGGAGGAUAUUUAUGAAAUAAAAUUAGUAAUUGAUCAGGGAUAAAGUUGAAAUAUAAAUACUAUUAACUUUAAUAUAGAUGAUCACUUAAUGGCAGGGUUAUUGUUGAAAGUUUCUUAAAUUUGAGGGGUUACAAAUGAUAUUUUAAUUUUAAAAGGGGUUCUUAUAAAAUUUGAUGUUUUUAGAAGGGUAUAGGGAAAAUUUUCCCUAAUUUGAAUAUAUAUAUAUAUAUAUAUAUCCAGUGAGAUGAGAACGGGAAACAGUGUGGAGUAGUACCCACGGUGUUGUGCACCCACUAAUUUCUUUAGUACGGAAUUUUGCAUACUAAUAAAACCGAAUUAAAUUGAUUAAUUGUUCGAGGGUUCAAUAAUCAACAACCAAGUUUCUAACAAUGUUAAAUAUAAAUAUUUAAAAAUACCGUCAUCUCAUAACUUAGAUUUUUUAAAAAAAUAAUAAUUUUUUAUUAUUUAAUAUGAUAGGAGAAUAGAAAAUUAUGAUUUUGAAUCGCGUUGGUUUUCCAACAAAAUUAAUUUUUUCUUAUUUAAUUUAAAUCUAUGUCAUAGGCCAGCUAAAAAUAUUGUUCUUUUUUAUCUUAGGCUUUUAGAAAAAAAAUGAUCAUUUCAUUUAAUUUACUACUAAGAAGAAAUAAAUUUUUUGCGUAAUAUAUGGAGAUUUUUUUCACCAUACACAUUAAUAAUAAUAAUAAUAAUAAUAAUAAUAACCAUAAUUUCAUGCGCAUAGGAUCAGUUGUAAUUAUCUAUUUGACUCGGCUUUUGACAUUGCGGUGUUACCCACAAUAGUGAGAUAGAAAAUUAAGCUCCGAAUUUGCAGGUUCAUGUAAUAGAAAAAAUGUGUUACGCUAGAAGGCAAGUAAAAUAGGUUUAUAUAUAGGCCUAGUUGUCUCGACCUUUCAUGCAAUUACUGCAUAUGCUUAUAACGCAAAUAAGACAUUUUACCUCCGAAUUUGAAUUACAGGGUUGGUUUACUGUUACAAAUUAAAUACUACGUACAUUUCGUCACAGCACCUCAUGAUAUGGUGUCUUUACUCUCUCUCUCUCUCUCUCUCUCUCUCUCUCUCUCUCUCUCUCUCUCUCUCUCUCUCUCUCUAUAUAUAUAUAUAUAUAUAUAGAGAGAGAGAGAGAGAGAGAGAGAGUCCGGCUAAUAUGCUUUUUAUGAAUAUAUUUUUUUGUAUUCAUAAUUUUCGACCGUUAGGUCUACUCGUUUGACCAUUUUCAUUCGUGAAAUUAUACUAUUCAACGAACCACCCGCUAAAUCCUAUGAAAUCAUUAUCAUUUCAAUCGGGGACCACUAUCAUCCAAAUUGCACAUCUUUUCAUUGAAUGAUCGAAAAUUCAUGAGUAUCGAUCGAUAGUAUCAAACACUUUGUACUAUCGAGUUUUCCGCCGUUAAAUCUAUUCUUUUGACUAUUUUCAUCCGUUGGAUCAUGCUAAUCAACCAACUAUCCGCUCAACCUUAAGGGGAAACACUAUCAUCCUAAUUGCACAUCCCUUUAUCCAAGGGUCGAAAACCUAACAGCACAAAGUGCCUGAUACCAUCAAUAGUAUAGUAGCCUUAAGAUAUGGUCGGGGUGCUGAAUUUAAACUUACCAGAUUAACUUUUGGAUACUAAUUAAGUAGACCUGUAUUAACAGUUUUGGAAGAAUAAAAUUAACAGUUUUAAUCACUUCAUAAUAAAAUAAAAUUACUGAUAAUAUCUAAUUAAACUUUUUAAUUUAAUAAAACUUUAACAUAUACUCCUAGAAUGACUCAAACAAAAAAAAUAAAGUUAAAAGAGGUUUAAAUUAAGAAAAAAGGCGGAAUGUGUUUCAGAGACGUCUAUAGUUGAGAGGUAUCCAUAUAUUUUUACCUAACUUUUAAUAAUGCGAGGGAAUGAUACGAACAAAUUAGAGCGCAUUUGGUUCAAGUUAUAUAAUAUUACAGAGUGUUCCGAUAUAUCCAUAUUUUUUAAAUUUCUAAAUGAGAUUAUUAUUAAUGCUGCAUUAGCGUAUUUGAUUUAAUACAGUAAUUAAUAUAAUGCUAGAUUGAAAUAUUUAUACUGGAUGAACUAAACGCAAUAAUUCUAUCAGAAUUACUUGUAAUCCUGUCAGGAUAAUUCGAAUCAAACGCAUCCUGUUGUACAAGGGGUGGCCAUAAUAAUAAGUUAAUGUUCCAAAUAAAAAGUAACACGUACAUUUUGUUACUCAAGCGAUAAGAUUUUUUAAGUGGGAACUGUGUAUAAUGAUUUUCACAGUAGUUGCAUUUUGGGAAUCUUGUCCUGUCCAUUUAUCUGAACGAAAAAGCAACAUGCAUAUGCUAGGACUCUCCAGCUGCAGAUCAUUUGUACAUAAGAUCCCCGAAAUCUAGGUUAGGAAAUUUUGUCAGGUUCAUUAACCAAAACCAGAUUCAUAAAUUUUAAUAUAUAAAAUUUAAGAUUAAUUGAAUGUACGGAUCCUUAAUUUUAGCGCAUGCAAGCUGGAAUUUGAUUUCAGCUUCCAGUUGUCUAAUCACCAAGCUACUGAACUAUUUGAUAGAUAGCAAAAUUGGUUCAAUAACUUAAGUUGGAAGUAAUACUACGAAGAGCAUUCUGUUGGUUUAAAGGAGUCAGUGUUUUGCCCGGCUGUGAGAGAUGAGAUUAGGCCGAGUCACGUUCGAAGUUUGAAAUAUAUGGAGAUCGGAUUGGCUCGAGUCAUGUUCAAAGCGGCAUGAGGCUAGAUGGUUCGAGUCAUAAUCGAAAUUCGUGAGUGCUGUAUUUAUAUGCUUUAAAAUUAAUUGAUUGUAUCUUAAUUUGUAAAAGUUUGAGCUUUUGAAAUUAAUAGUUAGCGUCGACGAUCCGGCGCAUUCAACUUCUCAAUAAGAAUAGAAAAUAUAAUUGGAUUGCAUUAGAAUGGAAAAUAAAAUGACAAUCAUUAAAAAAUAUUUUGUUCAUUAUUAGAAUAGAAAUCAGAUUGGACAUCUAGAAUUUUGAGAGAAAAUUUUGAAGAGAGAGAGAAAAGUGAUGAAAGGAGAGAAGAGAGAGGUAUUUGUGCGAGAGGAUUUUGAGUAAUUUACUUUGAGAUGGCAAAUCCAAAAUUCAAAUUCGAAUUGGGUCACAAAUAGAUUUAGGUCAUUCCUAUACUAGAGUGGAAUGAGAAGCAAAAUCCAGUUAUCAUAAAACAAACAGCAAUCAUCGGAAUAAAGGAAUCUCAUUUCAAUUCCACAAUCUAAGAUAAGUGAACCACACGAAUUCUUAAUAUCUUCCAAGAAAAGAAUUUUAUACAUUUUAUUUUUAUGUCACCUCAAAUGCUAACAGUGAAUCAAGAAAUUGAGAGAAAAACCAAGAAAUUGAGAGAAAAAAUAAAACAAAUAAAUAAUUUAUGUUGUUCAGCUAGUAACCUUCGUCCACCGAAAUAGAUGGAGCGAAAAUUUCUAUUAUUAGAGUACAAAAGAAUGGAUCUAGCUUUAACAUACAUCAAAUGCUCCUGCUCCUCCAAAAUACUACACAAUAUUAUACAUGGCAAAUUUAAAAGAGAAGAGCUAUAUUUAUAGAAAUAGCCAAGUGCAACUAGAAACCAAUUCCAAUUGGGUCACAUAAGAUAGAAAAGUAAGCUGAAUUCAUAAUCCAGUUAUUCUUAACUUUUGUUUCAUCGGACACAAAAUAUAUUUUGAACCAUCAGAACGUACUGUCAUUACCAAUACUAACCUCUACAAGUUUUUCCAUCACGAAUUAUGGGAACUAUCAUUAGCAACACUAAUCUCUACAAGUUUUAUUUUUUCCUGCUCUUACUGUUCUUCUUUUUUUUUUCUCUUUAACUUGAAACAUUCAGAUUUGAUAUGUUCUUUCUUCUUAUAAUAAUUAAUAAAUCAAAUCCUUGUGUUGUGACUUCGAUUUUAAUCUCUAUCAACUAGUGUCAAAAUCCCUAUAUUUGGGUCUCUCUUUCGCAAUAAGGCCCUUUGCAAUACCUUCACUCACAUUAUUAUUAAUUUGCUUAUCAAUCCUUUUUUUACAAAGAAGAGAUGACUUGAUAUCUUUAAUAGGUAGGGUCCUUUUACCAAAGAGAAAAAUUUCUCUAAGGAGCUUAUAUGAGGAAGCUAAAGAAUAUAACAAUAGAAAGGACAUCAUUUUCAUCCUCAAUCUUUACAUUUAUGGACUAUAGGUCUAUAAUAAUAAAAUUACAUUCAUCAAGAUAAAAUUUAAUGUAAUAUAUGUAUCUUUAGAAAUGCGUAGAAUAAACAAUUGGUGCUUCACGUAUAGCUUAUUUAUGGGAGACUAUUCAUCAUAUAAGGGGGACUCAGAGUUUCAACCUAAAGUCUCAGUAGCCUUUUAUUGAGCAUUUCACGUAAAGUGUCACUAAAGAGACACAAUUGAAACGCUAUAAGAGCUCUAGAAUCCAUAUCUUCUUUUGCUCCUCCGUCAAAAGUGUUGAACAUCAUUUUUUUUUUUUUUCUUUUUCCCCAAAACCUCUUUCUACAACCCCUAUUACGCUAAAAUGGUACACAUCAUAUACACAUCAUAACUUGCUACAUAGUAACUGCGCGCUUGAGUAAUUAAUCAAGCUUUUUGAUCUCAAAUUUCGUUGAUAUUUUACAUACCCAAAGUAAACUCCCAGGCCAAUAAUAGUUGUUAGGACAAAUGUCGAAAAGAUUUAAUUUUGUUGGGUGAUAAAAAAUAAAAGAAAAUCUAAAAAGAGAGAAGAAAAAUAAAUGGCACAGAUAAGUAAUAUAAUUCAACCACUGGCCUAUAUAUAUCCAUGCGCACAAAAAUAGAACAAAAACCUUAGUUAUAACUAAAGUGGAGUACAAUAGAAUGCUUCUCUCAGAAUAACCUAGCUAGUCCCAAAAUGCAUCAGAUACUCUUUCUCCUCCAAUAUGCUAUAAUAUGUUACACUACUAUACUACACACCAAAUUUAAGAGAGAAGAGCAAUAUUUAUAAAAGUGGCUAAGUUUCAAUUGGACUAGAGUGGAUUUUAGUUUAAGACUAGGAAUAAUUCUACUUUAUCUAAAAUCCCACUGGGGCUAAAAUUAUUUCCAAAAUGAUUAGACAUAUCUAAUUCCUAUGAUACUAAAAUCCAAUGGGAUUAGGAAUAAUCGCAGAUUAAAUAAAUAUGUUGGCCAAAAUAGAAUAUAAUUAAAAAAUCUUUGGACUUCAAAACUCAAGAUACAUUUAACAGUCUCCAUUGAAACUGUUGCAUCUAUUCGCAUCAAGAAGACAAGGAGGUGAACUAAUGAUCAGUUUCUUUCGCUUUUUUCUCGACUGCUACUUAAGAAACUCUUCUAUAAAAUCUCCAAUUGAGCCAAACAAGAACAGUACCUGCAAACACUGGACAUGAUGAUACAAUAUUAAUUCCUACUUGUUGAGAAUUGGACAAUUACUGAUUCUUUGUCAAUAAUUGUUUGAUCUCCAAAGCAAAUUAAAUCAUCUUAAUUAGUAUCCUUCUUGCCCUAUUUUAAAUAUUUCUUGUGCAACCAAAUUGACAAGAAUGAUUUCUCUUUUCUACUUUGGAAAGAAAGUGAUAUUUUUGGAGGCUAUACCUAUCUUUUCAAGUGAAAGAACACAACCAACACUGUAAGGGCCAAGUUGUGACCUUGGCAAUCCGGGACCUGCUCAUAAUGGAAUUGUCACUGUAGCCCCCCAAAUUCAAUGUCUUGCUCCAUUCAUGCUCAACUUGGAUUUUAAUACUCAACAAUUAAUGCCAAAAACAUUAUUAGUGUGUAAGAAAAAAAACUCUAAAUAUAGGAAAAAAUUAAAGCUUGACUAGCUAGCUACCAUCAUCUGCAAAGAGCAUGGUCGAUCGGAAACCAACACAAAAUUAAGGUCUCGUUUGUUAUCAUUGUUGUUUCUUUAUUUUUAAAACAUUAAAUAUUAUGUAAUUUAAUAUAUGGGGAAUUAAACUUUCUUUUAUUGUUAUUAUUGACUAGAUUAUAAUACAUUCUGACCAAGUAACGGUAGAUGGCAACUUCUAUGAAAAUUUUAGAAAAAAAAAAAUUUACCUCCAAAGUUUUAUAUUUUAUUGUCCAAUAAAUAGAAUAGAUAUAAGAGUUGCAAACAGUACUCUACUGUCCUCGUCUACACUGCUAAGAACUAUAUAUCUUAAAAAACAAAAAAAAACAGACAAUAAUGCCAUGCAAGGCCUACACUUCUUUGGGUCUUGUCUAGUCCUAUCAUUAAUAUCUUCUAUUUUAAGGUAUAGUUACUUCUAUUUAAAGGUAUAUAUAGUUCGUUGUUUUCAAAUGUGUAAAAAUAAAAAGAAAAUUUUACUAUGAUUAGUUUUUUUUCUCUAUGCGAAAGCUAUAUAGAUAUAUACACACACACUAUCAUAAAGACUUUUUUUAACAAAGAGAAAGAUAGUAAAUUAUUCGUUUUAUUUUUUAAAAAAAAAUUAAAUUUGAAAUAUAAAAUAAUUAGGCUUGAAAUUUAGGACUUGAAUAUCAAUUAUUAAGGUCUUAGCUAAUUACGUCAGGGACAAUCAAUAUCAUAAAAAUUUGAUACAAUACAUGUCUUAACAACAGUAUCACUUAAAUGGUACUAUAUCAAACAUAAUCGUAUCCUUUACUGUACAUAUAGUAAAGUAACUUCUAAUUGAGCCAAAAAAUUAAAAAGAUAUACAUGAUAUUUGACAUUCUUAUAAUUAAAAGACCUGCCCCCCAGAUUGAUCACCUAAUCAUAGGUUUAAUUUUUCUUCUAUAUUCAGUCUUGGGCUAUAGAAGAAACAAGCAAAGAUAAAUCUAUUUAUUUAUCUAUCUAUCUAUCUAUCUACAUUCAUAUUUUGACUAAUAAGGAACUCUCAGGAUCUUUCUAAACACUAAUAAAAGGAGGAAUCUUUAACUCCUAGAUUAACAAAUGUAGAAAUUGGAUUGAAACAUUAUAAACAGUAGUGAUUAGGUGCAUACAUAAAUAUAUAUAUAAUUGGGCUUUGAUUCUUCUGCUUGAACAUGGAUAGCUUAUGUAGGUAUUUGUAAACCAUGUAUACGUCAUGAUUCCAGGGGUUGCCAUUCAUCAUCUUAAGCAUAAAAAAUAUGUAAAAAAAAACCAAAUAUAUACAAUUAUGGUAGCUGUGCGAACAACAAUAGGACAAGGACCUAAAAGUUUGUUACGUUUUUAAUGGCCUAAAAUUCUUGUUGUCUAACGAAUAUAUUUCUCUCUCAAAAUGUAUUAUAUAAAAAUUAACUGAGUCAAAGGAGUCGAAUUAAUAUGAUGAUGCCACGUACGUGGUGUGUCCAUUCCUCAAUUUUGUUGGGUUUGUUGAUGUUUUUUCGGUGUUUUAGUUAUCCAAAUUUAUCUACAAAAGGAAAAAAAAAGCUCACAUAAAAAUAGAGUAAAACUAUUCAUCCACCCCAUCUAGUGGUGAAUGAAUAGCAUAUUUAUAUAAUUUAUGUGACUAUAAAUUUAUUAAAAUAAAUAAUUAGUUUAAAUUUUAUAUCUAAAAUUUUUUUAAAUUAUUUAAAUUAAAUAAAUUAAAAGAUGGAAUCAAAAUUAUCUAUAAUUCAGAUAAGUUUUAUAUAUCGUUACAAAAAAAAUAUGUUGGAAAAAUAAAAGAAGAGAGAGAAGAAACAUCUUUUAUUAUUUUGCUCUUAACAAUUAUUGCUGCAAUGGGAGGAUUUUUGGACGGUCCUCACUUACUUUAACUUGUUUUGUUACAUUUUGGCAGGUUUUAGUUGAGAGUAUCCAUCGAUUUUUUUUUUUUUUAUUAUUUUUUUUUUGGGAGGCUUUGAUUCUCAAGAUUAAUUGCCUCGCUUCUGUAACUUAGAUCAUAUUCGUUAUAAAUAAAGCAAAUAAUAUGCCGUUUUUUCCUUAAAAAAAAUUAAUAAUAAUAAUUUUUGCUGCUGCAGGACGAUCAGCUCUCUUUUUGUUUUCAAAUGGUAUUUGCUGCAAAGACCAAAACAAACCUUAGUAUGAAGAAUAUAUACACAAUAAAAGAGAAAUAUGCUUAGGAUUUUGUGUGGGUAUGGGGGGGAGUCCCAAUAAUUGAGCCCUCUAGGGUCAUUCUCGAGCCCUGUGUCAGUACCCGAGUUGACUCUUCUUUCCCUCCUUUCAGUCUCUUCCUGUCUCCCUCCCCACCCUUUCUCUCUCAUGCUCUCUCUCUCUCUCUCUCUCUCUCUCUCCUUCUCUAUUUUUUUUCUCUCAAUAACUCAUGCAUUAUCAUAUUCUUUUUAAUUAAUUUUUUUUUACUAUUUGGCAAUAAAUAUUUUAAAACCUAGAUUCACUAUAAGGACACAUAUUUAGAAUAUUUUUGUGUAAGUGUCCUAUUUAUGCCAAAAUAUAAAAAAAAAUCUACUAAUACUUAAAUAUAAAGCCCAAUCAAACUAAAAAUAAAAUAUUACUCUACUCAACCCACCCCAUCCAGCCCAUUCGGCUCGAUUACAAAAAGAAAAGAAAGAAAAAGAAAAAUCGAUUACCGUCUCCCUUUCUCCUCUAACUCAAUCUACUGAAAUCCUAGACGAAGAGCCCUUCCCUCUCGUCCUCUUCUGCCACCGCAGCCAACGAAGUAGAGUUCCGACGGUUGCUAAAUGUUUAAAUAAGUGUUGGUAAAUUAGCAGCACUCUUUUUAGGUUAUAGCGACACUCUUUAACUGUCACCAUAUAUCCAGUGACCCCACAUAUAGCAAUACUUUUUAAAAGUGUCGGUAAUUUUGCCAGCAGCACUUCUUUUGACCUGUACCGACGUUUAAAAGUAUCGCUAUAGACCGUUUUUAUUGUAGUGAUUGAAUAGGACUUAUCGCACAAUGACCUAAUAUCAAAAGAUUUGUUUCAAUAAAUAAAGAUAGGACUGACUUUCUCUCACUUUUUCUCUCUAACUUAUGUAUUAUUAUAUUAUUUCUACGAGUUGAGCUGGAAUACUGUCGGUAACAAACGGACUUCAUUGCCACUCAUUUGUUUUCGAUAAUGGAGCCCCCAAAUCGACGAUCAGCACCGUUGAAAAUAAUCUAUACUAGAAAUCAAAUUUCAUAUUUUUUCGAUAUUGUUUUCUUGUCCAUCAAGUGGGCGUAAAAAUGAACGACUGAAAAUGAAUAUCCUCUAAAAAGUGAUGAUAGAAAUUUUAUAAUUAAGAUUAAGAGUAUAGAUCUUGUUCUGAAUAGUUUAAAGAAUUUUAUAAUGAAAAUUCAAUUGAUUUGGAUAGUUUUACACCGUUAAACGAAAAAAUGCCUCAUAUCUAUCAUUAAAAUUAUAAAUUUGGAACCCUUUGAUCAUUAACCUAAUGAUGUCGAAAAGAUUUGAAAUUUGAUUUCUAAACACUUUAAGUGGUACAGAUCAUGUUCAACGGUGUCGAUCGUCGAUUUGAAGGCUCCAUCAUCAAAAACAAAUGAGUCGCAACAGAGCCCAUUUGCUACUGAUAGCAUUCCAGCUCAACUCUUAUUUCUACUUAGAUUUUUAGUUAAUUUACAUAAAAAUUAUUAGUUUUUAGUUUUUACAAAAGUAUGCCAUUUUUUAAAUUAUGCAGUUUCUGACCGAAUUUUCAGAAAACUGAACAAAAUAUUAUUAUUCCCUUUUCUCUCUCUCUCUUUUUUUUUCUCUCGUUCUGUUUUUUCUUUCUCUCCGAAGAGGGCGACAGAGGCGGAGGCGUCCGCCUUGUCUUUGUCCCACGCGACCUCGUCCUCGCCCUCUCCCACGCACUCUCCUUCCGCCUUCUUCGCCUCCGAUCAGCUGAGGCCACACCGCAAGCCUCUUUUUUUUUUUUCCUUUCUGACCCAUCUCCACCAUCUUCCCGGCUCUUUACAAUAAUAAAAAGGGCAACGUCACGUCCUCUUUCUUUCAUUUUUUCUCUUGUUCUUUGUUUUUUCUCUUCGACCCUACUCUAUCGCUUCUACGACGCUCCACGACAAUACCAAGGACAGUGUCGUAUCCUUUUCCCCUCCUUCACCGGUGUAGGCAUUGACGCCGGUGCCGGAAAAGAAGAACUCGGAGAGAGUGCUAGUGAGAGCGAAGUCGAGAAAAAAAAAUAUGCAGAAAAUAAAAAAAUAAAAAGAAUAAAAUAUAAAAUAUAAAAAAAUACUUUUCUCUAUAAGAAAAAUGAAGAAUUAGAGAAAGAAGAACAUGAUAAAGUUACACUAUUUCAGGAGAAUGUUGAACUGUUUCAGGAGGACGUACGUUGCAAUAUUUUAGAGAAAAUUUAUACUCUUUGAGAGAAAAACUAUACUUUUUGGAUGAAAGUUGCACUCUUUAAACUAAAAUUGUACUAUUUGAGCAAAAAUUACAUUGUUUCUCCUCCUCCUCUUUCUUCUCCUUCCUUUUCAUCUUUGUGUGUUUCUUAUGUGCCUAUCUCUUCAUCGCCCUCCACCUCCGUCGGCAGAUCCUCCAUUCUCGCCUUUGCCCUGUGCGCCCUCGCCCGUGCCCGCGCACCCCUCGCCCUCGUCGCCUCCAAUCCCAUCUAGGCCGCACCGCAACCUUCUUUUUUUUUUCCUCUUCGACCUUCCUCCACUGCUGGAGAGGAAAAAAAAAAAAGAGAUGGUCAGAGAGAGAUUGGUAGAGGAUCUGCCGAUGAAGGUGGAGGGCAAAGAAGAGACAGGCGCAGAAGAAAUACACGAGAACAAAGAGGAAGAAGAAGAAAUAAGAGGAUGAGGGAAAAUAGUGUAAUUUUUGUCCAAAAAGUGCAAAUUUCGUUCAAACAGUGUAACUUUCAACCAAAAAAGUAUAAUUUUUCUCUCAAAAAGUGUAUGUUUUCUCUAAAACAGUGCAACGUUCUCCUGAAAUAGUGCAAUUUCAUCAUCUUCUUUUUCUCUCUCUGAUUCUUUAUUUUUUUGUAGAAAAACGUAUUUUUUAUGUUUUAUUCUUUAUUUUUUAUUUUUUAUGUUCUGUAUAUUUCUUUCUCGGCUCCACUCACCCAUUUUUAACUCACUUUGAGAGUCCUUCUUCUCCGGCGCCGACGUCAGUGCCUGCGCCAGCGAAAGCGAAGAAAGAGAAUGCGGCGAUGUCUUUGUUAUUGUCGUCGAGGAUCGUGGAGGAUCGCGGAGGCGGUGUAGGGGGGUUGAAGAGAGAAAAAAAAAACUACAGAAAAAAAGAGAAGAAGAUAUGUGACGCUGCUGGCCUCUUCACUGUUGUAAAGAGCCGAGGAGACGAUGGAUAAGGAUUGGAGAGAAAACAAAGGUCCUGGCGCAAUCUCGGCGGGGUCGGAGGUAAGAAAGGCGGGGGGAGGGUGCGCUGGUAAAGUUGAAGGCGAGGUCGUGCUGGAGAGAGGCGAGGCGGGCCACCUCCGCCUCCGCUGUCACCGCCCUCUUUGAAGAGAGAAAAAAAAAAGAAUGAGAAAAAAAAAGAGAGAGAAAAAAGAAGGAGGCCUCCGCCGCCCUCUUCGGAGAGAGAAAAAAAAAAGACGAGAAAAAAAAAGAAAGAAAAAAGAAUAAGAGUAUUUUGAUCAGUUUUCUGAAAAUCCGACCUGAUUAUGUAAAAUUCAGAAAGGUGGCCUAUUUUUACAAAAGCUUAAAAAUAAUAAAUUUUAUGCAAAUUGGCGUAGAUUUUUUUUAUUACUUGCCAAUUUUUUAAUACCUGGAUCGACUUUAUCAAUCCAAGUGAUCGGAUAGUGACCUAAUACUCAAAUCGAUUCAGUUCAAUCCAUAAGAUCGAACUAAUUUAAAAUCUACUUUGAAACGUUCAGAUCGAUAGUUCAAUUACUCAAAUUUUUUAUUUUAUAUUUCGAUAAUUAGUUAAAAAAAAUGCAUUGGUUUUAAAUAAUUUAUGCUUUGAUAUACAUUAAUUAUAUAUAAUAUAAUAAAUUUUAAAAAUAAUAUAGAAUACCAUACUUCGUAUAUGUUGAUACCAAAAUUAAGCCGACCUAACCCACGUACGAGCCAAUAAGGACACGUGGUACAUCAGGAGUCGGCAAUAAGGCGCCUGAAGGACAAAAAGGCGGGAACGGUUGAAGAUUGGGGCGUAACUUCCAUGAGGAGUUAGCGUAAUUUCCAUGAGGAGUUAGUAUAACUUCCACGAUCAUGGUUACAACCACUCCCCCCAACUACUUUCAACCAACUAAUAAUGUGGGCUAUAAAUAGUAACUUUGAAGCUUGCAAUAGGGGUCUUUGCCCUUGCGCACAAAAGACCACCAUUAUUUUCUCUGCAUUUUAUCGCUUUUCUAGGAGUAGUCUAAAUGUAAUCUUUUUCUUUUCCGCAUUUACUGCUUUCCUAGGAGUAGUUCUUGUAACUUAGAUCUUUGGAGUCUGUCUGCCCUAUGGGCAUCACUCCUUUAUAGAAUUGGAGUAUGUCUGCCCCAUGGGCAUCACUCCCUUAUAAAAUAUACUUGGAGUCUGUCUGCCCCACGGGCAUCACUCCCCUGUUCUUGUACUUUUUCAUUUUCUAUUCAAUAGAAAGUCACGUUCGGCUAUUCAGGCCGACCAGAUUUUGUGUUGUGCUAGCCAUUCAACUCAUCUCUCAGUCGAAUUCUGGGCUUCCCCUCUUCAUUCGGCUCAUCCUACCGAAGCGAAUUUACUGCGGAGGUUUUCGAACCCGGCUCAUUCGAUCCCUCAUCGGCCUAAUCGCUUGAUCCUCUGUGGGCGCAUACUGCGAGGGUCAUAAUCCGCAGCCGUCUCGUAGCCCGACGAUCUUCCCAAGGAGAAUUGUUGACUGGGUCAAGAGUCGGGUCGUUCGGCACGCAACAAUUUUUGGCACGCCCGGUAGGACACAUUUUUGGUAAAUUUAUAUUUUAUAUAAAUUAUGGCUGAUGAUCUACGUAAUAGGGUUGUUCCUAAAAAUUUUGGGAGUGAUCAACCUAGUGAUUCAGACAAUGCUGGCGAAUGUCAAGCAGUUUUGCCAGUUGAAGGAGAAACUAGUGGACAGUCGGCUCAUCAAGAGCCGAGUCUAACUCAGGCACUCGGCCAGAUGAGCCGAGUCCUGCAAACUUUAGAUUAAAAUAUCCAUCAAAGUACCGCUCGACUAGACGCGGUGCUGGCCGCUAUCACGGCCUAUAAUAAAAAUAUUGCACGAAUAGGGCAAUUAUUGACUCGAAAUGAGCAACCAAUGACAGGCUUACAAAGGCCUAUGAUGACACCAGUGUUGCAAAAUCCUGCGACACCAGUAAAUGGACAGCCCCAAUACCAGGGGGCACCAUUCCAAGCGGCUUACAGACCGGCCAUCGUCAAUACCGGUCAACAGCUGGAAAUUACAUGGGGAUUGCCACUACCUCCGUCGAUGGCAGCAUACCAGCCCCAAAAUGUAGGGGUUAGAGCUGGGGGGCAGGCCCCUAAUGAUAUGCAAGGAGCGAACCCUGCAAUACAGAAUUCUGGAGUUCCUCAAGGGCCAAAUUCGGCUCAAGCACAAGCUCCGCUGUAUGCUCAGAUUGAGGAAGUCAUUCGGAAUACCUUCGGAGUAGGGGCUAGGCCGGCUAUGCGGCCUAUUUUUUGAUCCCCGUAUCCAGCAAACAUAGAUACAGAGCAUCCGUAUCCGGCAAACUGGAAAAUGCCGAAGUUCGACAAGUUCUCGGGCGAUGAGACCGAGAAUACGGUCGAGCAUAUAGCCCGGUUCACGGCCCAAUGUAGAAAAGCGGCCGCUGACUCAUUUUUGAAACUUCGAUUAUUUAACACGUCGUUAAAUAAAACGGCGUUUACUUGGUAUACGAGUUUAUCAGCCAAUUCCGUCCAAGAUUGGGACGAAUUGGAAAGAAAAUUUCAUGAGCGAUUCUAUAGAUCGGAGCCACAAUUAUCGGUCGCCGACUUGGCUUUAUACCGACAAAUGUCAGGUGAAACGGUCGAAGAGUAUUUGGACCGUUUCAAAAUAGCCAAAACCCGGUGCUUUAUGAGAAUGCCGGAAUCAGAGUUCGCCAAAAUGGAAUUAAAUGGUCUGCAUUUUAAGAUAAAAGACCAUUUUGAAGAUAAGUAUUUUUCUAACCUAUUUGAUCUAGGUGUUCGAGUUGCCCAAUACGAGCAAUUUCAGAAGAAAAGUGAGGACGAUCGGCUGCAAUGGAGCCGAUAUAAAAAUCAAAGCAAAGGCAAAGAGAAAUCCUUGCUAGAAGAACAGUCGGUUCAAGAAGAGCCGAGCAAAUCGAGUGAAAGUAAAGAAUCGGCUGAUGAAGCCAAGAUAUAGCCACUUUCUUUAAGAAAAAUUUCUUGAUAGAAAAGCAUUCGGUUCAAGAAGAGCCGAACUAAUCGAAUAAAAGUAAAGAAUCGGCUGAUGAAGCAGAGAUAUAUGUGGCUGGGAUGAUAAAGCGUCGUUUUCCUAAAGCCGACUAUGACCAGCGAAACUAAAGCUUGGGUCUUGGCUGUGCUUUUGAACAGUCGAUUUGACACCAAUAGUCAUCCGAAUGUUCAUUUGAAAGACUAUUGGGGGGCAUUGUUGAUACCAAAAUUGAGCCGACCUAACCCACGUACGAGCCAAUAAGGACACGUGGUACACCAAGAGUCGGCAGUAAGGCGCCUGAAGGACAAGAAGGCGGGAACGGUUGAAGAUUGGGGCGUAACUUCCAUGAGGAGUUAGCGUAACUUCCAUGAGGAGUUAGUAUAACUUUCACGAUCAUGGUUACAACCACUCCCCCAACUACUUUCAACCAACUAAUAAUGUGGGCUAUAAAUAGUAACUUUGAAGCCUGCAAUUGGGGUCUUUGCCCCUGCGCACAAAAGACUACCCUUAUUUCCUCUGCAUUUUAUCGCUUUUCUAGGAGUAGUCUAAAUGUAAUCUUUUUCUUUUUCGCAUUUACUGCUCUCCUAGGAGUAGUUCUUGUAACUUAGAUCUUUGGAGUCUGUCUGCCCUAUGGGCAUCACUCCCUUACAGUAUUGGAGUCUGUCUGCCCCAUGGGCAUCACUCCCUUGUAGAAUAUACUUGGAGUCUGUCUGCCCCACGGGCAUCACUCCCCUAUUCUUGUACUUUUCCAUUUUCUAUUCAAUAGAAAGUCACGUUCGGCUAUUCAGGCCGACCAAAUUUUGUGUUGUGCUAGCCAUUCGGCUCAUCUCUCAGUCGAAUUCUGGGCUUUCCCUCUUCAUUCGGCUCAUCCUGCCGAAGCGAAUUUACUGCGGAGGUUUUCGAACCCGGCUGAUUCGAUCCCUCAUCGGCCUAAUCGCUUGAUCCUCUGUGGGCGCAUACUUUGAGGGUCAUAAUCCUCAGCCGUCUGGCAGCCCGACAACCUUCCCAAGGAGAAUUGUUGACCGGGUCAAGAGUCGGGUCGUUCGGCAUGCAACAGUAUAUAUAUAAUUUUUAUUAUACAAGCAUAAAAAGUAAUAGUUCUGGAGUUAUGACAUUAUACUGAUUUCAUUCAAUUCAGCGGUCGAACUGCUAGUUGAAUCAGUGAUCUGUAAUUCUGCAAUAUUUUUAUCUAGUAAAUGAUUUCAAAUUUUAAAAUAUUGGUGGACAUAAUAUAAUGAGAUUAGAACUUGUUUUAUGUAGCUAGGAACAAUUGCUUAUAUAUUUCUAAAAAGUUUCAGAUUUUCUUAUUUACUCCGUUUAGAAGGCUAAUAUAAAAGAGUAAUGCUUCUAUACUUUUUUUUUUUUUUUUGUUACCGUUCAUUCAUGCGUAUUCAACGGCUCAGAUUUAAUUUUUUUAAAAUUGUGACCUGCAAUACCAGGUCAUUUUGGGAGAGGUAUCGGUUACCAGGUAUCUCAAAAAAGGGCAUUUUUGGCUUUUAAUAUAUGGGCAAUUUAGUCAUUUUACCUUUACUAUAGUUUACCUCAAAUUUUUUAUUUUUUCUUUAUUUCCUUUUUCUCUCUUUAUCUUUCCUUUCAUAAUUUGGCAUUUCAUAUAAGAAAAUUUUCAAAUGAUUUGACAAUACGAUCUUUUAAUUUUUCUUUUCUCUUUGUUUAUUUGUUUAAUAUUGCAAAUCAAUUUAAUUUUAAGAAACUAUGCAUUAAAAUUUAUUUCCAUACCUAUUGCUUUCUAAAUUUUUUAAUAAAAUAAAAUGAAAUUUAGAUUAUUUUGUGAUUUAAUUUGUAGUUAAUUUUUUUCUAGUUCGAUCUGCGAAUUUUCAAAUUUUAUCAUAUUGUAGGAUAUUAAUUUUGUUUAGUUUGAUAGUAAUAACUUGUUGAAAUUUGCAUGGCUAAUGGAUCAGAAAACAAUAUUCCGAUGGAAAAGGUGGUGGCAUUAUAAACUUAAAAUUGAAUUAUAACAUAUAAAUUUAUUUAUUGAUAAGUUUAAACUGUACUACAUUAUUUAGAUUUAUUGAAGAUUUCUCUAUACUUUUUAGGUUCUAAACUUUAAAUUUAUUUUGUUUCGGCUUAUAUUUUAAAUUACAAUACAUGAUCUUAUUAUUUUUAAAAAUUAAUUUUUACGACCAAAAUUUAAUUAAUUUUGUCUAUACAAUUCUAUUAUAAAAAUAAAUUUAAAUUAUACCCUUACCCUAAUAUUCUAAUCAAUUAUCUGCAUAAAUUUUUUAAAUAGUGAUAAAGAUUACUAUCUAAUAAGAAAAAUUAUUAAAUUUUUUUAAACAUAUUAAUAUGCUGAAUUUAAAUAUUGCCCACAUUUAAUUUUUUAAAAUUAGUAUACAAAAUUAAUGAUUAAGAUGAAUUCCUAAUUUUGUUAAACGUAUUAAAUAUGUUAAAUUUAAUAAUUACCAACAUUACGAAUGUUUUUAAAUAGUCAUACAAAAUUAAUAUCUAAAGUAGAACAAUUCUAAAUUUUUUUUAACUUAUUAAAUACAUUUAAAUUAUAAAUAUUUUAACCUACAUUCAAAAUUUUUUAAAUAAAUGAUACAAAAUUAAUGUCUAAACUAUAGGAAUUUAAAAGUUCUUAAACAUAUUAAAUAUGUUGAAUUUAAAUAUUUACCAACAUUACAAUUUUUUAAAUAGUAAUAUAAAAUUCCUCUAAUUUUAAUUACACUUUAAAAUUUUAAAUAUUUAUAUAAAAAUUAAAUUCAUAGUAUUUAGAAAUAGAACUAUUUCUAAAAUUCCUAUAAUUUAAAUUAAUGCAUAAUUUUAGAAACACUAAAACAUUUAAAGUAGAUGCCUAAAUUAAUGCCUAAUUAAUGCAUAACUUUGGUUAAUCAAUUAAUUUUCUAAAUUAGUGCAAAUUAAUGCGUAAAUUUAGGACCUCAAUUAAAAGUUUCUUUAAAUGUUGUAUUGUUUAAUUACCAAACUAAUCUUGAAUAAAAUAAUCCUUUUACCUGCUAAGUAGUAAAAUUACAUUUUUACCCUCUAUUAAUCAAUGGUUAAGAUUUUUUUAAUUUUUUUUAAAAAAAGUACCGAAUCAUUUCUCAACAUAAAAAAAUACUCUUUUAACAUUCCAAGUUCUUUCAUAUAUAUCACUAGAGUUAAAUUUUGUUAGUGAACUGUUAAGAAUAGUCAUUAUUUAUAUAAAAUUACUAUUUUGCCAUUUUAAGUCACCGAUUUUUUUUAUUUGUUUUUAAGUAAGUGACAAAAGAGGCAUUUUUCCUUAUUUUUCUUUCAAAUAUAUUCUUCUACCGUCGCUAACUUUUUGUACUGUCCUUAAGUUAAAAGCAAAACAUAUAUUUUGACUUAUUUUAACUCGACUUAAAAUUUAACUUGUAUUUAGCUUGAGAUGACUGAAUCGAUAUUAACAACAAAUUAUUUAAUGAGAAAUAUACAAUGGGUAUGUAUAUUUGAAACGAAAGUAAAAAUAUAUAAAAUAUUUUAAAAUUUUUGGGAGGCAUAAUUAUUAUGCGUUAUAAACUUAUAUAAUGGUUUAAAAAGUUUUUUUUUUUUUUUUUGGCAAGAGAAACAAAGAAAUAGGAAAGAGAGAGAGAGAGAGAGGAUGAAGUAUUUUCAAUGGGUGGGACUUUCGAUGCUUAACGAACUGAGUCUGAGCACUUGCCCGCUUUAAAUUUCGGGUCACGAGCGCAACAUGUGAAGAGGAGACUAGUAAAAAGUAGUAGUAAUAGUAGUAAUAGUAGGCGCGCGUGGGGAGGCGCGCUUCGUUUGUUGUUUGGUGCUCGAUCCCCCGCACUGGGAAUUAGAUUAUGCUGUGCGGGGUGGGGGGUGAAAAUGUUACGUAUAAGUCCCUCUACUAUCCUGAUAUUGCCUCUCAGUACGUCUCUGCACUUUUUAUUCCAACAUUAUUAUUUUAAUUAGUCUUUGAACUUAAUUUCUAAUUUACCCCAUUAUAAUCUCUAAUAUAUAUAUAUAUAUUAAAAAAAAAAGGUAGAUUACACUAUAGUUGCUCAAACUAUGGGGCACGUGACACUUUGAUACUCAAAUUUUUAAUUUGUUGUAAUUUCUAACUUAGUUUUUUUUGAAUCAUUAUAAUAUAACUCAAUUUGUUUGACUAAGUAUAAAUAAAUUAUUGAUAUAAAAGUGAUCGAUAUAGUAUUUAAAUUGUUAUCGCAUCGUGAAUCACCAUACUUUCACAUUUCUUCUAUAUCAAUAAUUUGCCAAUAUAGGUCGUGAGACUUGAUUGCAAUAAUUUAUAAAUUUCGAAUAAAAAACUAUAACAAAUUAAAGUUUGGAGAUCAAAGUGUCACUUGCCUCACAGUAUGAGGAUCAAAAGUGUAAUUUAUCCCAAAAAAAACAUAAUAAGAAAUUGUUUCGCUUCUUCCUUUAUUAUAUCUCUCUUAGUUAAUUAGUUUGCCCAAAUGAGUGCCAAUUUAGUACCUCUUCUAAUUCUGAAGUCAGUAGUGUUGAACAUACAAUAUUUGACACCAUUCCUGGCAGCUUAAGCUUUUGGUGACCCUUUUUUUUUUUUUUUUUUUCAAACUAGUAUCAGAUCAUGCGGUCUUGAAUUCCAGUCUCACCAAACACCUUGCCUUGUUUAGUUUUUUUUAAUCUAAUUGAAGUCCAAGUUUUUAGCUUAUUAAACUAUCUUACGUCUAGGCGUGGUGAAAAAUAUAGAAUAAUAUAAUAUUAAAUACUAUUCUCUGUCCUGUUUGGUUGGGGAACAAUGGGAGAAUAAAGGGUUAUCUCCUUCUUGUUUUCCAAACACUAAUUUUUAAAGGUGAGAAUAGCUGUUUCCACCCCUGCAUGGAACAACACUAUAUCCACCCUCUUCCUCUCUCCCAUCUUUUAUAAUAAAUUUUACAUUUUAUAAUUUAUAAUUUAAAUUUUAAAUUUUAAAUUUUAAAUUUUAAAUUUUAAAUUUUAAAAAUUUAAAAAUUUAUAAUUUAUUAUUUUAAAACUAAAAAUUAUAAUUUUAAAUUUUAAAUUUUAAAUUUGAUAUUUUAAAUUUUAAAAUUUAAAUUUAGUCUUAAAUUUAAAAUUUAACAUUUUAAAUUUUAAAAUUUAAAAUUGGAGAUUUAAAAUAUAAAUUUUAAAAUUUAAAAUUUAAAAAUUCAAAUGUAAAAUUCAAAAUUCAAAAUUAAAAUUUAAUGAGAGGAAUAAUAUUGUUAUUUUAUAUUUAUAACUACCGCCUAUUUUUUUUAUUCCAUCUUAUCUUUUCAAACAUUAUUUUUUUUGUUCUUGAAAAUAAUCUAAUUUUUAUUCAGGCGUAAAAUUAAUCUAAUUCUUACUGAUACCUGAACUUAUAUUUAUUUCUGAAAUAAACAGUUCUAAUAUAUACCUGAGUUUACCAAAGCGAAGCCUAGUUUAAACUUUUGAAGACAACAACUGUCUCACAUCUUUUAUUGAGUAGUAGCUUGUCUAAUAAAAUACUGGUUAAACAAAGAGGUAUGGAGGUACGAAACUUCUAUUACCAUGAAAAUUAAUAAAUGUAUGCGUUACAAACUUAUGAGCAGAGCUUUAUUUUGAUGCUUCUAAUUUAUAGAAAGGAGUUGUACACAGAAAUGUCAAUGGGUAUGGAUACUCAAAAUUUUAUCAGAAUUUGAAUCCGAAUGAAACGGAUAUAUCCGAUGUUAAAUGGAUAUAGAUUAAUUUGGAUAUGGAUAUCAAAAAUAGAAAUCCGACGGAUAAGGAUUUGGAUAUGGAUUUUGACUGUACCGAACCCGAACCCGACCCGAACACGAAUUUAUUUUGUAUUAUAUAUAUAUAGUCCGGCUGCUAUGCUAUCGAUAGCACCAAGUACUUUGUGCUAUCAAGUUUUCCGCCGUUAGAUUAAUCCCUUUAAUUAUUUUUAUCCGUUAGAUUAUACUAUUCAACCAACCACCCAUUUAACUCAACUUUAGGGGGUCCGAAUCAUCCUAACCGUAUAUUUCUCAAUCCAAGGGCUAAAAAUUCAAUAGCACCAAUAACUUGGUAGUAUUGAUAGUAUUCCAGCCUAAUUUUAUAUAUAUAUAUAUAUAUAUAUAGAGUUGGAUUGGGCUACUAUUAGUAGCAAAAUUUUAUUGUUGCUACUAGUUUUUUAGCCUUUGGAUCAACUCUUUUUAUUAUUUCUAACCAUUGGAUUAAAUACUAUAACUCAGUGGGGACCACUCAACCCUAGAGGGACCACUCAACUCUAACCAACUAAUAUCAUCCUGAUCUUACAAUUUUUCAUCCAAAGGUUAAAAACUUGAUAGCAAAAAGAGUGUUUUACUAUUAAUAGUAUUCCAGCCUAAUUCUAUAUAUAUAUAUAUAUAUAUAUAUAUGAGUUGAGCUAUGAUACUUUUACAAGUAUCACCAUCAUGGUGCUAUUAGGUUUUAAGCCAUUGGAUCUACUUUUUGAUUAUUAAUAGCACNUAUAUAUAUAUAUAUAUUAGAUGUUAUAUUUGAAUUUGUAUUUUAAAAAUUUAGAUUUAAUAAAAUAUAUUUUGAAAUAUUUAAAAAAAAAUAAUUGUUUCGGGUUCAAAUUUUUGGGUUCGGAUUCGGGUUCGGGCUUCGAAUUUUUGGUCAGGUUCGGAUUUGGAUAUGGAUUUUUAAAAUCCGUCCGGUUUGGGUUCGGGUCUCGGGUUUGAAGUCGGGUUCGGGUUUGGGUUUGUAAAACUCCACCCCGAAUCCGACCCAUUGACAUCCCUAGUUGUACGAGGAAUAUAUGAAUAUUACGUUUUCUAAAUAUACCACCAGCACUAUAUUUAUAGCAGAGCUAAAUAUAUAGAUCUUAUUAUUAAAAAUAUUAUUAACAAUGAAUGUCAGCAAAUAUCAUUAUUGUUUUUUAAUAAUUAUGGACUGUUGAUAAGUAAUCUAAUAUUUUUGAUAAGUUUAUAUUUAUUUCUGUCAAGUUUAUCUCUUAAUAUUUUGUUGGUUAGACAUAAGAGAUAAGUUUAAAUCUAGUUCAAUUAUUAUUAUUAGGAUUUUGAUUUAUGUCUAUAUAUAAACUGCUGUAAAUAUGUGAAAAAUUAUCCACCAGCGAAAUUUAGUUUAAAAAUAUUUAAUAAAGUUUUAGUUUUAUACUCCUCUCCUUUCAACAAAUGGUAUCAGAGCAAGAAAAUACUAUGUGAUUUAUAAACCAGAUGACAACAUAUUCGAAAUGAACAUAGUCCUAAUAGACCGGAUAGCUACGUUAAAGUCAAGUGACUCGUAAUUGAUUAACGAAGGUGAAGUUCAGGUGAAACCAAAGCUACGAAAUCGUUUUGAAGAAAUUGGCCUCCGCACAAUAAACGACAGCAGGAGGUUGUGACACUUGACGAAAAGAGAGUAAGGAGAGCCCAUGAAGAGAUCCAAGAAGAUUUGACCAGAUAACCAAGAGGGCUAGGCAAGCAAGCCAAAAUACAAAAAAUUUGGCAAAAUCUCGAUGAACUAAGAACGUCAUCUAAACAGAAGGUACAAAUCUGAAAAUUUUUUUUCGGAUUUUCAAGUUUUGUUAUGGAUUUAGAUAAUUAGUUUAUUCAACCUGGCUUACCAAAGUUCGAUGGAACGAAGUUUAAACGAUGGAAAACUAUCAUUCGAUAUUUUUUUAAAAUCCCAAGAUUUGUGGGAUGUGGUGGAAAAUAAAAAUUAUGAAAAAGAAUUAUGUAAAGACGAAUUUAAAAAGAGAGAUAGAGAAGUUCUAUCAUAUAUUUUUUAAGCAGUGGAUUUAUUGUUGGUUGGAAAAAUUUCAAUGAUAAAGACGACACGAGAAGCGUGGAGAAUGCUAUCGAAAAUUGGAGAAGAUUUGUAGGGAGAGAAUGAAAUUCAAGAAGAAGAAAUUCAAUCCAACAGCGAAAAUACAGAAGGCCCAAUUUGGAAAGAAAAUUUUGAUCAAAAUCAUAAAGAAGAUCAGAUUCGUGAAGAAUAUGUUGAUCAGCAGAUAUAUGGAAAAGCCGACUCAGAUGCAUCUACAAGUAGUAAAGCGUAUUUUACGUUAUAUAAAAGGAACGGUCAACUAUGGUAUUUUUUACGCUUACGGUGGCAAAUCCGAACUCAUCGGAUUCACCGAUAGCGAUUGGGCCGGCGACGUAGAAGAACGGAAAAGCACAUCAGACAACCUAUUUUUUCUUGGAAGCGGCGCAUUCACAUGGUUGUCGAAGAAAUAGGAUAUCGUGGCUCUCUCGACAGCAGAAGCCGAAUACGUGGUGGCAUCAGCAAGCGCUACACAAACAAUUUGGCUUAGAAGAGUUUUUGAAGAAUUUGAUGAAAGUCAAAAGGCACCUGCAAAAAUAUUUUGUGAUAAUAGCUCGGCUACAGCAAUCGCAAAAAAUUUAAUUUUUCAUGAAAGGUGUAAAUAUAUUGAAGUCCGUUAUCAUUAUAUUCGAGAACUUGUGAAGAAGAACGAGAUCGCGCGAACUACACUUUUGCAGAAGCGAGAAUCAAAUCGCCGAUAUAUUUACGAAGCCGUUGACAUCGGAAAAUUUCGUGAAACUACGAAAGCUACUCGGAAUGCGAAAAAUUGGAUUAAGGAAGAAUGUUGAUAAGUAAACCAAUAUUUAUGAUAAAUUUAAAUUUAUUUCUAUCAAGUUUAUCUCUUAAUAUUUUGUUAGUUAGACAUAAGAGAUAAGUUUAAAUCUAGUUCAAUUCUUGUUAUUAGGAUUUUGAUUUAUAUUUAUAUAUAGACUGCUGUAUAUAAAUGUAUGAAAAAUUACCCAUCAUCAAAAUUUAGUUCAAGAAUAUUUAAUAAAAUUUUAGUUUUAUACCCCUCUCCUUUCAACAGGGACUAAAGUGUAUACAUAAGCAAUGGUUCAAGGACUACAGAGCCACGAAAUUGGAAUAGUACAAGGACUAUUCAUACAUUUUACCCAAUUAUAUUAUAGGGUGGUAAACUUGGGGUUCACCAGUAGAUUAAGAAUCCAAAUCUUACUUAUUAAUCACAGAGCGCCUCCACAAAUGCGGAGUAUUUUACUCGGAAUCCUCUUCAAUUAUUGGAUCACUCAUAGAUGUUAAGUAUUUUAUAGUCAACAUAAAUUAUUUCAGGUCAAUUAGAUAAAAUAUAUCUGUAACUUAAAACAAUUGAGAGAUUGCCCUCUCAGUGGCUCAUGGCUAUAUCAAUUAUCAACACUAAUUGGGUCGUGUUAAUAUAUAUUUUGAGGCAUGUUUUCAACUAGAUCGAAUCUUUAGAUAAUAUGGUAUCAGAGCUAAUUCUAAAUACUUUCAUUCUGUGAGAUUGUAAAUUUAAUCCUCACAUUUAUUAUUUUGCAGGUUAAAUUUCUGCAUUACGUAAUAGGUUAAAUCUCCCUCCUAUUCCGUACUAUAUAAUAAGUUAAAUUUUUUCUCUUACCUUGUCUUUCAUAUCUAUCAUACAUGGAAGUAGAGAUGUUAAUUAUAAAAAAUUGAGUUGAGCAGAGCUGAUAAGGUUAGAUUUAUUCUAGCUCUGUAAAAAUCCGUCUCUUAUCUUUUUCUUAUGUUGGUUUUUUUAAAAAAACUUAUUACCUUUUCUUUUGUUUCCUCAAUGAAUUUUGUAGGCUUCACAAUGUCCUCCUCUUAACUAGAUUUCUUGUUGAAUAAAAAUAGGUUAAAUUACAGAAAACUACCAGUAAAUACCUUUUUACUUAAUUUUUCUCUUUGGCUUUCAAAAACCUAUAUUUUGCUCCUCUUAAAAUUUCAGAAAUAUUUUCAGGAGGGUAUAACGUUAAUGAAGAAGGCAAAAUGAUCAAAUUAUCCUCAUUUCUUUUAUAAGAAAAAAAAUAUUUUUUUAAUAUAUUUCUAUCAUUUUGAAGGAUAUUUUCGAUAUAAAUUAUAAGAAAUGGAUGGAAUAAUAAUGAAACUCUAAUGAAGGAAUGCUAAAUGCAAUAAAUUAAAAUAUUGAGGGAGUAAAAUAUAAAUUUUUAAAAAUCAUGAAGGGAAAAUAAAAAAUACAAAUAUUUAUAAAACAUUUUCUAUAAUUUAGCUUUGAAAUUAAAAGUAGAUGUGCAAUAUCCAGCCUAGUUUUUCCAUGAUACUUAAAACCAAGUAGAGGGCACAAAAGGAAUUAUUGAGUACAUGCAUGGACCAACAGUUGGUAAUCACCUUUGAGUCUUGUCCUCAUCAUGCAUGUCUGCCCCAACUAUUCAAUAAUAAAUCACUGUACAUUCUCUACAGGAAAACCAUUAUAUAUAUAGAGAGAGAGAUGGUAAGCUCCAACAAUGAAAUAUUACUUAAAUUAUUUUAAAAAAAUUUUAAUGAUGUUAAGUCAAAAUUUUGAUUUAACUUUGGCUGUUAAAUAUAAAAAUAUUUAAAUACUGUUCUCUAACAGCUUAAACUUUUAGAGUACAACGGUUGUUUCACAUGGUAUCAGAGAACGGUGUUUAAAUAUUUUUAUAUUUAACACCCCCCCUCACGUCUGGGCUCGAAACUUUUUGCAAGAUCCCUAACAAGGACUUGAAUUAAAUGGUAGGAAAUUAAUUAUGCUAGGACCUGACAUGACUUGAACUCAAGAUCUCCUACUCUGAUAUCAUGUGAAACAACCGUUGUACUCUAAUAGCUUAAGCUAAGCUAUUAAAGUACAACGGUUGAGUACAACGGUUGUUUCACAUUGGCCAAUCAAUUAAUUAACUAUUAGCCGAUUAAUAUUGCUUUAGCUUUUAUUACUGCAUGCUAAGUGAUUAAAGUAUUAAAGUCUUAUAUAACAGAUAAAUUCAAUAAAACCUUCAAAUUAAUUAACUAAAAUCGCUCAAAAAAUUUUAGAAUAAGCUCUAUAUAUAUAUAUAUAUAUAUAUAUUAUUACCUUAUAUUUACUAGGAUAUCACAACUCACAAGCAAACUCUUUCUCUCGUAUUAUUCUACUCAAUCAGUGACAUCACUGCAACAUACAUUAUUCGUGACAAGAGAGAAUGGAAUAGGAGAGUUGAUAGGCUGGGCCAGCAUUCACGUGGCAUUUUCACCAACUUUUAAUUAACUCUUAAAUAAAUAAACAAAAGCUUUUCUCAACACGUAUUCACGUACGUAUCCAUGUCAAAAUCUAAUGGCCAUUCUAUAUGGUCGAUAGCUAGGUUGAUUUUUUUUCUUUUUGUUUUGUUUUUUUGUUUUUUUGGUUCUGUGUUGGUUUGGUUAGAGCCGCAACAAGAAAAGAAGGGUGAAGUCUUUACUCUCACUAUCAUUGUUAAUGAAGGCAUCGAAGUUAGGGCUGCCAAUGAGGUAGGUAACACAUGAGCUAGCUGGGGCGACUUGUGUUCGCCCAUAUGUUAAAUAAGUCAAAUAAAUAUGAGCUUAUUUGUUAAAAUAUUAAACUAAAUAAUUUAGCUCGUAUUUGACUUAUUUAUUAACAAGCCAAAUACGAACUUGCUUGUGAAUAACAAAUUAGAUUGCCAACGCUAUUACUGAAUGAAAAGUUUUUAAAAAAAUUACAAAAAAUUAAAAUUUUAAUCUAAUAAUUGAAAUCUACAAAAUAUAAGUCUCUUUGCAUUUGGAUUAGCCUAAAAUCCAAAUACUAAAAUUAUAUAUAUAUAUAUAUAUAUAUAUAUAUAUAGAGAGAGAGAGAGAGAGAGAGAGAGAGAGAGAGAGAGAGAGAGAGAGAGAGAGAGUUGGGCUGGAAUACUAUUGAUAGCAAAAUAUUCUUUUUACUAUCAAAUUUUUAACCCUUGGAUGAGAAAUUGUAGGGUUAUGAUGAUAUUAGUCAGUUAGGGUUGAGUGGUCCCCUAGGGUUGAGUGGUCUUCACUGGGUUAUAAUAUUUAAUCCAAUGGUUAGAAAUGAUAAAAGGAGUUGAUCAAAGCCUAAAAACUUGAUAGCAAAAAGGACAUUUUGCUUUUAAUAUUAUUCUAGCCCAACUCUCUCUCUCUCUCUAUAUAUAUAUAUAUAUAUAUAGUAUAGGGCUAUUAUACUCUUAUGAAUAUAAACUUCUUAAUUUAUACUCAUAAAUUUUUUGUCGUUGGAUGAAGGGAUGUAUGGCUAAGAUAAUAAUGAUUCCCGAGUAGAACGAUAGUAAUCCCCUAGGGUUGAGCGGGUGGUUGAUUGAAUAAUAUGAUCUAAUUGGUGGAAGCGAUCAAAAGGAUAAAUUUAACGGCCAAAAAUUUACGAGUACAAAGUAAUUUAUACUCAUAAAAGUAUAAUAGCUGGAUUAUAUAUUGAGCCGAACACGAGCAACUGAUCUUAACUCAUGUUCGGCUCAUUAAAAUUUCAAGCUAAAAAAUUCAGCUCGUUUAUUAAACGGGUGAUCAGUUCGAACUCAUUUCAAGUUGAACACGAGCUGGCUCGCAAAUAGCGAACUGGAUUGUUAGUCCUAAUUAAUUGUAGUGUUGAGCAUAAAUUUUAAAAAAAAUUUUCAUUCUCACUUUGAUAACUUAAACAUUUGGAAAACAACAAUUAUUUUAAAUUACUUUAACAUGAUAUAAGAGCAGCAUUUGCUGACUGAUUUGAAUGAAAAAGAUGUAAAGUUUACGCACUUUUGAGUGUACGUAUAAGUAGUAUUGCUCUGUAUUCAAAUUGUCCGAGAGAAAGAGAGGAAAUACAUUAAAUGGAAGGAAGGGUCAUAUAUAUGGUUAAUAAUUGAAACAAAUUAAACUAUUACCAAAUAUAGAACUAACAAUUUUAAUUGAAUUAGGAUAUGUGUUAUGAUAUAUCCUAUAACACUUAUCUUAUCCUCUACCAGCAUUUGCUCCAAAACUCUCUAUUUUGCAAAAUUCAAACUUUUGUACACACUUUUUACACUCACUCUUUUGUGAAUGGAAUUUAGAAGUACUUCAAAGGAUGUUUUUAUUUUCUUCUUUUCUUGUUUAAAAUAUUACUGUAAUUACCAAAACAGAGUGGUAUACAUUAAUUUUUAAACAUUAUAGAAUAAACUCUCUCUCUCUUUAUUUGCAUUACUAAUUUUCCAAUUUUAAUCUAGACUUGUCAGAGGGGAAUAAGUAAGAUCAUUAUUGUGUUGGCCAUCACACCUUUUCCCCUUUUUUCAAGCCAUAUGUAUAAAUAGUUCUUAUGUAUAAUUGGGUUUAAAAAAUUAUUGGUGUGGACCUUGUCCUACUCUUGAGCCUAAUGAUUAAAAUGGUGCCUCCUCUCAACCAGCAGUAGAAUCAUAACUCCUUGAUUUUGAUGAUCUGCUUAUAUUGUAUUGUUUCAAUAACAGUACAUCUUAUGUUUUGGUGCAUUCCCAUUUCUAAAUUAUUAUUAUUAUCAUCAUCAUUGUUAUUAUUCUGCCUACUCUAUGCCAGUGAUUGAGUCCUCUCAUACUAAAUAAAUGGCCAAUUACAUAAAGCACACGCCCUUAAGAUUAUGUGUCCGUUUUUCUCUGCUAAAAAAUAUAGAAGUUUCUAGAAACCAAACGGUUGGGGGAAAACAAGUUCAGAGUUAAGAUUUUUUGUGUUUGAAAAACUGUUACUAUUUUUUUUAAAUAACUCUAUCAAACAACACUUCUACAUAAACAUGCUGGUCAACUAGUCUCUAUAUACACAUAAAUCAAUACAAGUUUCAAAAAAACAUUUAGUGAGGGUGUCAUGGGGAAAACAAAGGCCACUAUUCUAGAUGUAUGGACCCCCAAAAAAAAAAGGCUAGGGUUCAUAUGAAUCUCUUAAAAUCCAAAUGGUGAAGAACAUGUGAGUCCCUCGCACAAGAAUAUGUCCCAGUUGUUGGAAUCAACUGGGACCAUCUUUACUUUCAACCCCUUUCUCUCUUUUAUAUUUCUCUAUUAGUUUCCAACUGUGAAGCCUAUGAACUGUGAAGCAUAUGCUCUCUCUCUCUCUCUCUCUCUCUCUCUCUCUCUCUCUCUCUCUCUCUCUCUGCCCCUCUUAACUGGAACAUGGCAGCAUCCUAGGUAACCUACCAUAACUAGAACAAGUUGGAAUCCUAGAUUAGGGUUGUGAAAGCAUGCAUUAGUUUACCAUAAAGUAGUUUUUUUUUUUUAAUCUUUACCCUCCUUUUCUUCUGCUUUAUUGGAUUCUGGUGACAAGCCUUGUGUCUAAACUAAUCAAAGGUUUCAUAAAUAACUCUGAUAUGUUUUAAGUUGAUGAUUCUUCACUUACUAUAAUUGUUACCACUAUUCUAUUUUGCAACAAAUCAGUUUUUUUAAGGUUGUCCUAAACCUUGGUUCCAGGAGGAAGAGGUUGUUAUCUCCCUGCGGUAAGAAGCAACGAACUGAUUCAACUUCUAAGUAAAUAGCAUGUUUGGAUCUUAGGGGCUGUUGGUUGAUGUAGUUGCGACCGUACUACAGUCGCAACUACAAAGAGAUUCAAAUUUGAAAGUGUAUGAAACUAUAUUAAUAGGCUUAACUAUCAAAGUUGAAACUACUCCCAAAUCACCCAUAGUUCCAACUACAUCAGUUUGAACCAAAAAAUAAAACUUACCUCCCUAGUAACUUGUGAAAAAAAAAAAAAAAAAAAAAAAAAAAAAAACUACAAUGAAGGUAAUCUCACUAGUACAGAUAUAAAGUAAUAAAAUUUUAAAAAUGCAAUUCUUAAUAGAAUACAACCAAACAAAUUAUUUAUUAUUACAACACUUUCUACUACAUCCAACCAAAUAAGAUACAUAUAGUUACAACUACCGUACGCUAAGUGCAUGCAUAUCUAACUAUAUUGUAUUUGUAAUUACAUCCAUUCAAACGACCUCUUGGAGUUGGAUCAAGUAGCUAAUUGGAUUGGAUUAAGCAAAGAGCUUUAGAUUGUACAACAAUUUAUUUAUCCAAAAUAGAAAUAGUAUCAUAAAUAUGAUGAGCACCAAAUAGAUUAUCAUGGUUGUAUUUAUGCCUUAGUAAUGCCCACUAGCACUCCUACUAUAAUAAGGCUUUCAACUGGGAUGUCAAGAAGAAUGCAAUUUCAGAAGUACAAAACCACAUUUACUGACUGCCAUAUAUACAAAACAGACUCAUCGAUACUAUUUUGAGGUAUAUUGAAUCGACAAAGCAUUACUCUACUUCUUAUGUUUUCGUUAGUUCAAAAGAUGGGACCACGAGUUACAAACUCAGAUUGUAUUAAUAUCGAAAGCGAGCCUGCGGAGGUUCUUCAGAAGAGUUACCACCGCUUCCUGCUCCAUUCAUCAGGGAAAUGAGUAAGCGAAGAACAAGUGAGAUAGCUGGACCUCAAAAACAAAAAGUUACAAAGACCAAAAGGAGCAGCAAUAAUAGGAAAAGAAAACAAGAAGUCCAAAAGUCGCAAGAACAGGGGCAAAAAACCAUCAAUCCCCAGCCAUCAAUUGUAGGUUUAAGUCGCAGCUUGUAUCAUGGCACAACUCUUUUUGAACUGCUGUGUUUCAUAUUCGGAUUUUGUCUCGCUCCACUCGAUCCGAGAUUGAGAAGUCAUCACUACCAGAAUCACUCUUGUCAUGCAUCUACAGCCUUCAUGCUUGUUGCUGCUAAGGGCACGGACCCAAAAAGAGAAAUCAAGUCACUGAGACAUUUAUUCCUACCCUGUUCACGAAUCUUAAAGGCUGUCAUGUCGUAUCUGCCGAUCUCAUUCAUCUUGCCUGUUAGAAGUUGGAAAGACAAAUACAAUAUCAUACCACUGACAAAAUGUGAUCCGAUUUCAUUGUUUUCAAAUUGCAGCUCUAAAGUAGAUCCAAAUAAGUAAACAUAUAAAUCUAAAGUAAGAUGCAACUAAAGGUAAGGUCUUUUACAACCACGAAAAUCUAAAGCAAUAAACACCAGGAAGUGUAGAAUUGAUAACAUGUGAAUUGCCUUUUCACUUGGAUUGGGAAGCCCAAAAACUUUUGAGAAAAAAGGCAGUACUUCAAAAAAAUUAGGCCUUUGAUCUCUGCUAACCCUUCGGACAAUCAAUAUCUGUUUACCUUUCGGUACAAUGUGUACAUAACUUACAUCAACUAAAUAUCAAUUCCAAAAAUCUGGACAUAAAUAGCAGUCAUUAUCUGUUCCGGUUAAAUAUUAUAAAAGUAUGUCUACAUAUAUAUGGACCAAUUAAAUUCUUGCGUUAUGUAAUAUGCAUGAUGCAACUAUAUAUAAAACCUAUUUCAACUAAAAAGAUUAAAAAGAUAUACUACCUUGAAGCUAUUUAAAUUAUAGUGAUGAUUCUUUGAUAUAAUUAUGCUUAUGUAGGGAAGCAUAGUCAACCCAGAAAUGACAGUUGAUUUGCUUUGUUAGUCCUUCAAAAGUGAAUCAUCCAAAGUUCAUCAAAGAGUUGGUAUAACCAUAAGAUUAACUUUUUAUUUGAGUAGAAAAGUAGCUUCUCGGUUUGCCUUAGAAGGUACUAGAGAAAUUCACAAACCAAGUUCUCAGAAAUUGAACGUCAGUAUUAUCUUCAGGGCCAUGGAUAGUUUUCUAAUGCCAAAUGCAAGGCUAUGAGUAAGCUUCUAGUAUUAUCAAAAUGUUGAAGAACGCAAAAUGGAUAGAUUUGAUUUUCUGCCCUUCAGCAACAGAUUGUGUUCCUCAUGUGUAAAUGAUUUGUGGCACUUCUUUGGGAAAAACAAAUGAAAAGAAAAUAACCAACAUAAACGAAUCAGCUAAUCAAAAUGAGCCUAACAAUUCAGAAUUAAUGCUAAAUCUCAACAGUAUCAGUUAGUGUGACACCAUCAGAGUUUAAAAUAUUCGAAUAUAUAAGGUAUAGGAGGACUAAACCUCUUAACCUGGCUAUAAUAUUUUGGACAGUGGUUAGGCCUAAAAAGUUAAGAGGAUUACGCGAGCCUAGGACUAGAGUAGUUCUAGGUUGGGUGACUCCCUGUGAGGCAGAGCAUCACAGUAAGCGGCUGCAGUGUCAUUUUCAUGCUUCACUAUGUAAAUCAACAGCAAUAUCUGAAUGAUUAAGACAACAUAACUGCAGGUUAUUUUAAUAGUUAACUGUGAUUUGCUUUUCACCAGAAGAAAGAAACAGCUGAUCCAGACUUCAUCAAAUUUCAGUGCUGUUGACAAUGGCUUCUUCAGAUGCCCCGGAUACUACUAAAAAAUUCCAUAGAUACUACCUGAAGGGAAUGGAAUUUUUGGCAAAUGGAGUCAGGAUCCACUAAAGGACUAGCUAGUAAACAAUCGUCAGCAUAACACAAUAUGCCAGGCAAUAAUAUAGGAAACACAAAAAGGCAAUAUUUGCAGUCUGAAAGCCACCAUAGAGAAUUAAUCAGUAAAUUCGAGUCACCAGUGUAUCAUGCUAAAAGAGGGCAAUAGCUUAAUAGCUGCACCUGAGUGCAGCAACAAAUGUUGUCACAAUAAGAUAUUACACCCUCAAUCUUGAUAAGAUGACAUUAUCAAUCUGCUUAAUAUUCACGCAGUAGGUUCAGCAUAUAAUAUAGAUUCAUCGAACAGUGCAUACAGCCAUCUGAAGCUAUAAAAAUGUGUCAUGCAGACUUAGCCAUUUAUCUUUGAUCCAGAUUGGAGGAGCUCCUGUAGCAUUAGCACUGAGGAACGACAUUGCAAGGUCUUCACAAUUCCGACAACAAGAAAAUACUUGAGCAAAUGACAGCAAGACCAAAGAAAUGUGCUUAGAAUUCCAAACAGAAUGUCACAAACCUUUCCUGGGCAACAGAGUCAUGAAUAGAUGAUGGCAUAUGUAUAUUGCUCCAAAUACUUUUUGUAGAAAAAUGCUUCUUUUGGUAGAACCAUACUAUAGGGUAUGCAUCCACCAAACUGACCACCACCCUCCAUAUUUAUAUUGUUGCAAACCAUUCUCCUGUUAUGGGCAAAAUUAUGCAACUCUUAGAAACAGUAUUCUAGUACCAAAACAAACAACAUAUAGAGAUUAGAAGACUAUACUGUGUUGUUGCAAAAUGCAUGCCUACUGAUAGGGCAUUUGCAUCACUUUGCAUCAUUUGGAUAUAGAAGUAUUUGAAUUCUCUAAGUAUAGAAGCAACAGAUAUAGCAAAGAAAUAUACAACUGAAGCAGUCGUGACAACUGAUACAUAAUUUUAGUAAGGGCAUCGUUGUCCCGCUAACAAAUUUUCAAAUAGAACAGGAUCAAAAGCUUCCCGCUAUAGCAGAAGCAGAAGCAGAAGCUUCUACUAGGUUUCUACCUUUAAAAUCCAAAAGCACAUUUUGGGUUUCCGCAGCAAAAAGGCUCCAGAUUCUUUAUUUGCUAUAUGCUUGGUUUUGCCAAGCAAGAAUAGGUCACAAAAUGAACAGUUAUCUUUCAGUACUUACCCUAUCACUAUAGCAUGCAUGGUAAACAGAAAGGGGGAAAAAAAAUAUUUGGUUCCAAUAAAAUAUAAAUAAAUGUACAUUAUCAGAGAAGAGUCUUAUCACAUGAUCUGGCCAAUGCACGCGGGGAACAAACCCCACUACAAUCUCCGGUGCACUUGCCAUACUGCGAAUGCAAAAUCCAAGGCAGCACAAGGGACAAUUACAUCAUCAUCAACUGAAAAGAUUGUGCCGCUAUUAAGGUCCUCGAUUGGCUUGAAUCUAUUAUUCAAAAUCUAUUAUUCAAAUUAUCUUCCGCAUUCAACCCAAAUCUGAAUUCAGUGUUACAUUGAGACCAUGAGAAUACAAUGUCUCGAAUAUAUUCAAUAAGACUAGCUGGCGUUGGGUUCUUUGCAUCGCAAACUACAUGUAUUAGAUUAGCGUGAGUACAAGAUGCAUAAUCAGUGGCAUGUUACGGACAAAAUGUUUUCCGCUGACUUCUCCUUGAUAGUAGCCCAAUCUCCAAAAGAGCGUUCUGUCAGAGGUUCUGCUGGGGUGUUCUAGAAGCUUCUACGUGGAUCUCAAGACUGAUGGUGCGGAUGCUGAAAGGUCAAGAGUCCCUUAGAGCUUCUAGGUGGGAAAUAAUUGUAGUCUCUUAGGAGCUUGUAGCCUCCCUCUUUGUCUUGUAAUUAUGCGCCACUUGUCGCCUUUUCAUUUGUAGCCUGGGUGACGAGUGGCCUAUAUAAGGUUGUGGCCUCCACCCCCUCUCUUAGGAAAUCAGUUGCACUCUCAACUUUUAUCAAUACACAACAUUCCUCAAACUCUCUCUCUCUUGUACUUAGUCUAGGGCGAGUAGGUCCUAACUUAGCAAGUAGAAAGGUAGACUUGCUCAUUUCGCAAAGGAAGGCGAGUGUCGCAUGGGCUAAACAAACGAUUUAGCUUAUGUCCGUGACAGUUGGUAUCAGAGCGAGUUCAUUGCUGAAAAGCCAUGUCUUCGUCGGAAGCUACCGUCGGUGACGUUGUGCCUAACGACCAAGCGCGGCAAAAGCAAGAAGCCACGGACUCUGGCUAGAGAGUCCGCCUCGCUCGAGGACCGCAUGAGCAUGCUAGAGGACUCUGCUGCAAAAACAGAGGAGCACUACUCCGUCCUAUCCCAACAUGUGAGGAUAAUGGAGGAUGGACUGAAUGCUAUGAAGGAUAACGUUGCGGCUGCCAUGGCAACUUUCCGCCAUUAGCUCGAGGAAUUCCACAGGGACCUCGCCCGUCGCGAGGACGAGCGGAAGAUGCUGGUGGAGGACUUUGCCACCAGGGUCGACGAGGUCGAGGACCUUAAGAUACGGGUGACCAUAAUUAAGAAGGCGGUGGCUCGUGGCAUCGAUAUGCAAAACGAGGACACCCCAAAGAUCCGCGUCCCUAAACCCCAAUGCUUCAAGGGCAUGCGCGAUGAGAAGGAGAUAGACAAUUUCCUAUGGCACAGGGAACGCUACCUCAAGGUGCUGCGGUUGGAGGACGAGGGCGAUAAGGUCCAAACAACUUCCAUGUACCUCGCCGACGACGCAAUGUUAUGGUGGCGACGGCAUUCGGCAAAGACCACGAAGGGCCAAUGCGAGCUAAAGACUUGAGAAGACUUCAUGCGCGAGUUGAAGGCACAGUUCUACCCUGAACAUGUCACAUAUCUUGCACGGAGGCAACUUCGAUGACUCAAACAUCGAGGCACACUCAAGGAGUAUGUCCAAGAGUACUCAAAACUCAUGUUGGCGAUCUCCAACAUGGCCGAUGAGGAUCGGCUAUUGUUCUUCCUAGAUGGCCUUCAGUCGUGGGUGAACAAGGAGCUCAUGGCGCGAGACGUGAAGGACUUAAACUCCGCGAUCGCUUUGGCGGAGAAGUUGCCUGAGCAGGAGCGAACCGAGGGCGAUCGAAGUAAACCACCAAAGGCGAGGAAGGCCAAAGGUAGGGGAGGGCACCGCGAUCCAGGGGGCGCGAAGGGGCACAAGCUAAACCGUGAUGCGAGGAGGCAGCAAUAGAAUCCCGCCCUGCCACCUACAAAGAUCUCUUGCUAUGUUUGUGGCGAGAACCAUUGGGCGCGGGACUUCCCAAAGAGGGGCAACCACAAAAGAAAGCAGGUUACUGCGGUCCAAGAUGAGCAGGGCGUGGUCGAGUUGUCGAGGAUGGGCGCGCUAAGGCUCGUCAACGCAGUCCGCAGUCAGCCAAGCGGCAACAAGCUCCGAGAAGGGAGCUCAUGUUCGUCGAUGUGAUCCUCAAUGGAAGGACCAUGCGAGGCGAUGAUCAACAUCGGCGCGAAGCACAACUUUGUCACGAAGGCGGAGGCCAAGCAGUUAGACCUCACACUCAAAAAGGAUGCGAGCCGCAUCAAGACGGUCAACUGUGAACCGCAGCCAAUCGCAGGAGUUGCCAAAGGCAUGGAGAUAGCCAUCGGCCCAUGGAGGGGCAAGGUUAAUCUUAUUGUUGGGCCGCUCGACGACUUUGGAGUAAUCCUUGGGAUGGACUUCCUUAUUUCGUCCAAAGCGGCACCAAUGCCACACUUGUGGGUGCUGAGCUUCCUGGACGAGUCAGCACCGUGCAUGGUUUCGAUGUGUUGGGGCGAGUCGACGAAGGACCAAACUCUGAUAGCCCUGCAACUUUACGAGGAAGUGAAGUGCAGGAAAGCUAAGGAACUCGCAGAGGAAGACCUGAGCAGCGGCGAGACUGUCAAGUCUCAUGAGGUGCUGAAGCAGUAGCGCCCAAUCAAGGUGCAAGUCAUUCUAUCAAGGAACCCGCGGGGACCAAGGGGCGUUCUGCGGCUUGGCGGAGUGCGCGUGCGUGUCACGAAGGACAUGCACACUUGGCGGAUUCUUUGCAUAGCGGGCUCACUGGUGCACAUGCUCAGAGGGGCAAGGCACUAGGAGCUGGUGCGGGGGCAAAGGCGAACUGUGGUAGCAAGGCAUGAGGCCGAUCGAGCGCGAAGGCAUGACAGACUGUGCGGAAGGCUACGCGGACCAGGAGCAGCUCAGCGCAUGACGAGGGCAUCUGUUCGUUAGGUGGGGGAGGUUGUCACGGACAAAAUGUUUUCCGCUGACUUCUCCUUGAUAAUAGCCCAAUCUCCAAAAGAGCGUUCUGUUGGAAGUUUUGCUGGGGCAUUCUAGAAGCUUCUACAUGAAUCUCAAGACUGAUGGUGCGGAUGCCGAAGGAUCAAAAGUCCCUUAGAAUUUCUAGGUGGGCAAUAAUUGUAGUCUCUUGGGAGUUUGUAGCCUCCCUCUUUGCCUUGUAAUUAUGUGCCACUUGGCGCUUUUUCAUUUAUAGCCUGGAUAGUGAGUGACCUAUAUACGGUUGUAGCCUCCACCCCUCUUCUUAGGAAAUCAAUUGUACUCUCAACUUUUAACAAUACACAACAUUCCUCAAACUCUCUCUCUUGUACUUAGUCUAGGGUGAAUAGGUUCUAACUUAGCAAGUAGAGAGGUAGGCUUGCUCACUUCACGAAGAAAGACGAGCGCCGCAUGGGCUAAACAAAUGAUUUAGCUUAAGUCCGUGACAGACAGCUCUCUUGAGAAGAGAAUGGUACUUCCGAGAGUUAAUCAACACCGUGUAGCCAUUCCUAGAAGCAUAGGUGAAAGUUUUAAACAGUAUAAUAAUAAGAUGUAGAUAGAAAAGAAAAGCUACAAUAUGAUAAUACGACAUAAGAUCUACUUUACAGCCACUUUGGACUAUUGGGAAAGACAUCAUCCCCAUAAUGAGGUAUCAAAAAUCAACUUAUAUUUCAUAACAAAAUCUAUUAGGUGAGGAACAACCACAAGUUUAAGUGAUCCUUAAAAAUCUAUCAAUUAACUAAAAGUUGAUUCAUAUCACUCUAACAAUUCACUGUCAAGUUGACCAAUAUAUCUGCAUCAAAGAUGGCAAAGAGGAUUAAAAAACUUAUGUCAGCAGAAUGAACCUAUGCAAUACUCAGAUUUGAAAUAUCAUGUCAACAUAAGUUUCAACGUCUUUAAAGCCUGCAAAACGGAGAUGAGCAAAUUAGUAUAACUGAGGUAUGUCACAUCUCAUAGCCCAAGAAUUUCUAGAGAGGUAUAUCUCAUGUGUCAUGUAUCAUUCCUUACCAACUCUGUUUUCGGAUCAACUAAAUGCGCCAAAGGCACUGCAAUACGCAGGGAGGACUGAAGAAUGCAAGGUAAACUCAUGUAUUACUCCUUUACCAAUUCAUAUAUCAUUGCAUAUCCCAAGUGUUCGUAGAAAGCUAAACCGUUUAACUAAGGAAGUUCCAGAUUUGAACUUCUAAAAUUGCUUGGAAAGUCUUCUUUCAACACAAGAAACUGAAGAAUUCGAUUGAACCACAAACUGUGUAAUCAAGCGCAUCAGUAGAGGAGUAGAAGUACAUGGAAGAAAACCCUAAUGGAGGCACGCGAACCAUUCUGCAAAUGGACAAAAAAGUCCUAGUUAUACGUAGUCACGUUUCCUAGAAAGAUUUCAAAGGUCAUAUAUUUGCCUAAGCCUCCAUGGUUUGAAAGAUUCCGAAGAUCAUAUAUAUGCCUAAGCCUCCUUUGUUUGAAAAUUGAGAUGUUCGAUGGUUAUAUGAACUAUCAACAGCAAGAAUAACCUUCAUAGAUCUAAAAAGAACUCGUGAAUUUCUAUCUCAAGGCCCCUCUUCUGAGCAUUCAACAAGAAUAACCUUCAUAGAUAAUAACAUUAUUUAAUUCUGAUAGUAUAAACACCUUCGAACCAAAAACAAACCCAUAAAUGUUCCAAAAGAUAAAACCUGCUCCAUCAUCCCCUUUAAUUAGUUCAAAAAUCUGUAAAUGCAUACUUUGAUCCAGUCCAUGUGAGGCAAUUUCUAACUGCAUAUGUUGAAAAAUAUCUUUACAUAUCUCCUCUAAAGGAUACUACUGAUUCAACUCCAUUGAAAAAUAUGGCCUCCGAAUAGCCUUCAGUUAAUUACUCCUCUUUGUUUCCUUUGGCCACAAAACACCCUCUAGUUAGCUAACAAACAGAGAGAUGGCCACCUUCGAAGCAACUACACCCAAUCAUAAAAGCAGAGUUGACUACAUUGUACCUCUCACAGAGUUGGGGCUAAAACAAAGAUCAAAAUUAAGAGAAACUGAAUUAGGAUUUUGAUAAGAACAACACUUGAAUAGUAACAUAACAAACAUAAGACAAAAAUUAUAAAAAAUAUCUUUAUGCUUGAGCCGUCGUAUCAUUGAAAAUGCUGUACAAAAAGAAAUAUCACAAUAUUUUUCUCAUUUACCCCUUAUAUACAAGAUCUUUGAAUAGUAAUAUGACAAACAUAAGACAAAAUUACAAAAAAGAAGUCCUUCACACUUUAGCUCAUGGCCUUGAAUAUGCAGCUCGAAAUGAAAUGUUACAAUAUCUGUUCUCAUUAACCUAUACAAACAAGAUUUCAUCAAUUUCAACCUUGACUCAAGAAAAUUUAGAAAUGGUUUAAUCCGAAUGCACGACUUCACAGUAAUGAGUUGGUCGAUGGCUAGCGUUAUUUAAUCAAGUAGCAUCAGAUAAAUAUAAAUAAAUUUUCCAACCAACUGCCGAUUCUGGCAACUCAAGUGAGGUCAAAGAUCUCUUUUAUCUGGUUUUAGAUCUCCUGUUCAACUUGCAAGUUAGAUAGAUGUUCAGAUAUAGAACAAACUUAAUAGGUCAACUUAUUUCAGUCUAGUUUUGCAUCCAAAUUCAAAUAUCAUCCUAAAUGCUGGGGUUUAAAUGAGGCAAGGUGAAAUGCAGAGUUGAAAUUAAUAAGAGCUUUUAUUAUAGACACAUACAAAAGUGCAGAGGUUUCUAAUUGAAUAAUAUUGCGCUUAUAUAUAUCACACUUCCAUUGGUGGCAGUGGAGAUGGCGAACUAGUCCUGAAUGUCAUCCUACUAUAAAAUUAGGAAAAUGCUUUUGUCCACUUAGUUUUACAACUUUUUACUCAAAACUCACGUGGCAGUUUCCUGAUAGUUCUCUUUCUUAUUAUAAUUACCAUUCUGCCUAUAAAUUAAACCACUUUUCUCGUGAAUCGUAGCAGCCAUCCAAGUGAAGUUCUCCAAGACAGCAUAUCAGUCAAAUGUUGUAAAAUGUGUAUGUACAAAAUUAUAUCGACUCCUAAAUGACAUAGUUCAUCUGCUUUUUGAAUUCGUAGGCCUUGUUAGGAUGUCAAUAUAAGUUAUUCGCCGAUAACUUACUCAGCAUGAAGAUUUCUUAUGUAAUUGGAAGGUAGGAGUCAGAUUUUUGAUCCGUGAAAGCUUCGGCGUCCAUGAUUUGGUAUGAUAGUAUAUUUCACCUACGAUAAAAUUUAUCUUUUUUCCAAACAAAAAGAUAAAACUUGAAGGUCAAACAUACUAUUUUAUUUUAGAUAUUUGACCACACUCCUAACUUCUAAUCAUGCUAAAAAUUCUCAUACUCAGUAGGAUAUCAUUGGAUAACUUAACUUAUUUUGAUGUCCAAAUAGGGACAAGUUAUUCUUAGUCAUUAAAAUUGAUAAAAACAUACAAAACUUACCUGAACUAUGGACCAUUUUGAGUUAGCUACCCAACCUAUCAAAAUUUUAAAUUUACUAUCCAACAUUUGACUUUAUUUGAUUUGAGUCGUCGAACGGUACUUUGACUUCAAAUUUUGAAUACAUUAUUUAUCUUUACAGGUUUAGCCGGUAUACUGCAUACAAUUCUCACAAGUAUAAAUUUAUUAAAGUAAGUAAUUAGUUUAAAUUAAUUAGAGAUAAGUUUAAAUCUUUUAUUUGAUUAUGAUUAGGAUAUGUAAUUAUUCAAAGUAAAAUUGGAUUUAUCAUCUGUUAUGAUUUGAUGGUUAUAUAUAGUUAGGCAUGGGUUAAUUAGAUGAAUAAGGCAUAGUAGACAUGGCUGCAUAGGUGUUGCCCACAAUGUAAUCAAUUGCUUUUUAUUAAUAAAGCAUUAAUUUAGUUAUCUUCUUCCCCCUCCAAUAUCUCUUCUCCAUAUUAUUUUGUUCUAUUUUAGAUCUCGGGUUAUAUAAUCAACAUCAGCACAAAUACUGAUUCCAACAAUUGGAAUUAGAGAAAAUCACACUUCCAAUAAGUGAUCAGAGCAAAUCACGCUCCCAACAAGUGGUAUCAAAGCCGGAAAGUAUCAUAUGACUUAUAAACCAUAUGAUAGCAUAUUCGAAAAGAACAUAGAUCCAAUGUACCGGAUAGCUCCAUCAAAGUCAAACAACUCGUAGCUGAUCGACGAAGGUGACGUUCAGGUGAAACCAAAGCGAAGGAAUCGCUUUGAAGAAGUUGCCCUCCGCACAACAAACGACAGCAGGUGGUUGUGACGCUUGAAGAAAAGAGAGCGAGGAGAGACCCUGAAGAGAUCCAAGAAGACUUGACCAAAUAGCCAGGAGGGCUAGGCAAGCAAGUCGAAGUACAGAAAAUUUGGCGAGAUCUCGAUGAACUAAGGACGUCAUCCAAACAGAAAGGUACAAAUCUGAAACUUAUUUUUCAGAUUAUCAAGUUUUUGUUAUGGAUUUAGAUAAUUGGUUUAUUCAAUCUUGCUUACCAAAAUUUGAUGGAACGAACAUUAAACGAUGGAAAAUCAUCAUUCGAUGUUUUUUAGAAUCCCAAGAUUUGUGGAAUGUAGUGGAGAAUAGAAAUUAUUAAAAAGAAUUUGAUAAAGAAUUUAGAAAAAGAGAUAGAGAAGUUCUAUCAUAUAUUUUUCAAGUAGUGGAUCUAUCGUUGGUUGAAAAAAUUUCAAUGAUAAAGACGGCACCAGAAGCGUGGAGAAUGCUAUCGAAAAUUGGAAGAGAAGAUUUGCAGGAAGAGAAUGAAAUUCAAGAAGAAAAAAAAAAAAUUCAACCCAACAACGAAAAUACAAAAGUCCCACUUUGAAAAGAAAAAUCUGAGCGAAAUCAUGAAGAAGAUCAUAUUCGUGAAGAGUAUAUUGAUGAUCAAAACGGUGCAACUCAAAUCGACGAGAAAGUUUACAAUAAUGAUGUAAUUAAAGAAUUUUCUACCGAUGAAGUAGUUAUGCAUAAGUCAAAGAGGAAGUUGAGUAUUUUUCUAAUGUUAGUGAAGAAAUUUUCAUAUAUCAGAAUGUGGAUGAAGAAAAGAAAAAGGCACACAAAAACAUAGAUUUAAAAAUACAGACUUUUGACAUAGUACAAAACGUACACAUUGAAACCAAGGAAUCCAAAAUAUCAAAUUCAGAUAUUUGUAGGAACCCGCAGAUCUUUAAGGAUGAUGUGGAUAACCACAACUACAGGCGGCAAAGAUUUUGUGCAUGGCAACAUCAUUGGACAGGCGUCAUGCUGCACAAUUCGAACACGACGACAACGACAGCAACGGAGAUUGCAAAAUCAAAGUGCACGUUUCAUGAAGUUCACAGCUUGAAGAUAAAGUUUGAAUUAAGGGAGGAUGUUGGAAUAAUAAUUCAAACUUAAUUAAAAUAUAAUUAGAGAUUAAUUUAAAUCUUUUAUUUGAUUAUGAUUAGAAUAUAUAAUUAUCCAAAGUAAAAUUAAAUUUAUCAUAUGGCUAUUUAUAGUUAGGCAUGGGUUAAUUAGAUGAAUAAGACAUAGUAGACAUGGCUACAUAGGUGUUUCCCAGAAUAUAAUUAAUUGCUUCUUAUUAAUAAAGUAUUAGUUUAGUUAUCUUCUUCCUCCUCCAAUAUCUAUUCUCCAUAUUAUUUUGUACUAUUUUAGAUAUUGGGUUAUAUAAUCGAUAUUAGCACAAAUACCGCUUCCAAUAAAUGGUACCAGAGCAAAUCACGCUUCCAACAACCGAUUCAAAAUAGUUCAUAGUUCAGGUGAGUUAUGCAUGUUCUUACCAUUAAAAUUUAACCCCAAAACCUAGAAGGGGACCGAGGAGGAGGGGCAGGGAAUUUGCGGUCCCACCGGAUCAACGGCCCGACGCGGCCGGAGAUGAUGACGAGGAGGAAGAGAGCGAUGGCGGCGGCGGAGACGACGAUCCAGGCCUUCGCGGGCCCGGCAAGCUGUCGGAGGCAGAGGGGGAGGAAAGACGGCGGGCCAGAACGAAGGGCGUUUAUUUUUGUAAAACAUUAGUAUUUGGUUUUUUUUUUUGAAUAUUUUAAAAAGAUAAAAAAUUGAUUUUUUUUUUUUUUUUUUUGAGAGAGAGAGAGAAAGGAAGGACACGACCUCAUACUAUUUGCUUUAUUUCUUAGAUGAAUAAAUUUAGCCAUAUAAUAAAGUAAAACAGUAAAAACCUCAAAAAGACAAAAAAUCGAAGGAAAAAAAAACUGAAAAGAAAACAGAGUUGAAGCGGAAACAAAGAGAGUAACAAACCCCGAUGUCAUUCAACUCUACAAAAGUCGGCUCAUUCCUCGCCAGCAAACCAAUAUGAUGAACAUUUCAGAUAGCGUUAGUAGGGAAGUUUUUAUAAAUAUUGUUACCUCUUUCGUUCAGAUCAUUCACCACAUGACCGCCGCAAGUAUUUGAGUCUUCAAAAAAUCAGGCUGUGAUCCCUUUCCAGCAAUCUCUUUCGGACGAUAUUGACGUAUGGAGUUCAUCGAGGUGCAAAAUAAAAAGUAAUUUAAUUUUUCUAUUUAUAUUCCAUAGCAUUUAAAGAAAGAAAAUUGACGGCCCUGUAAAAUUUUUACAUAGGCUUUUUUUUGCAAAUGGCCCCUUGAAAAAAUUUUAUUUUAAAAAUAGUCCUGUCAAAAUUUAAUUUGCAAAAAUGACCCUAGUCCUGCCACGCAGGCGUCACGUCAGCGCCACGCGGGCAGGACUGGAGCCAGUGUGUUAAGUUGAACACGAUAAAUCAUUCACCGUGUUUCGCACGGUGUAUUUAUAUUUUUUUUCUUCUCUUUUAGGAAUGCCAACGGGUCGGGUUUGGAUCGGGUUUUAAAAAACCCGAAUCCGAAUCCGAAAAUCAAAUUAAAAUGCGAAUCCGAAUCCGAAUCCGAACCCGGCGGGUUUCAAAAAUUCAUAUCCAUAUAACUUUAACAUAUGGAUAUAGGUAUGAAUUUUUAAAACCCGCCGGACUCGGAUUCGUGUUCGGGUUUUAAUUUGAUUUUCGAAUUCGAUUUCGGAUUUUUAAAAAUCCGAUCCAAACCUGACCCAAACCCGAUCCGUUGACAUCCCUAAAAGAGAAGAAAAGAAAUAUAAAUAUACCGUGUGAAACACGGUGAAUCAUUCACCAUGUUUGAACACGGUGAAUGGUUCACCGUGUUCAACUUUUCUGCCCGCGUGGCGCUAACGUGACGUUUGCGUGGCAGAACCAUUUUUGCAAAUUAAAUUUUGACAGGAUUAUUUUUAAAAUAAAAAUUUGCCCGAGAGCUAAAUUGAAAAAAAGCUCUUUUUACAUCUAAAGUUUAUAUAAAAAAAAAAAAAAAACUUAAUCCAUUAAAUUACCAAACUAAUAUAAUUAUGUACUAUUUUAUACUAAUAAAUUUUUGUAUAACAAGGUAUCAAAAUGAGUUAUAAAUCAUUUUUGUUUAAAUGACUGUACCCUUCCAGUCUUCCGCAUCUGCUAUUUUAUAUAUUGAGAAUAAUUAUGAUUUUCAAUAAAUUCAUAAUUCCAAUAAUUCCUUUUUUUGUGUUUGUGUGUGUGUACUAUAUACAUGACGUUUAUAAUUGCAACAAUAAUUCCGAUAGUUGUUUCAAUAAACCAUUAUGAAACCUGAGAACAUAUCACAUGGCAAUAUUGCUCUUCAAUCAAUCCACCACAUAAACAAACCACACACACUUCACAUUUGAAGUAUAUGAUUCCUCAAGAAGCCUCCGAUUCCACCACACCUCCGCCGCCGACGGUGGCGAGCGCGGCGUCGCCGUAAAUGAAUUCACGGAUCUCGGCAAACAGGGCCUCGGCCUUGGCCGGGACGAAGAGCUCGAUCGCAUGGAACCCUUCGUCGUCGAGAUUCGCCACCACCUCGACGCCUUCGCCUUCCAGAAACUGGGCGAACUCCCGCUGCCUAUCGAUCAACGGGUCCCCCUUGCACCCUUUCACAAAGCACCUGCCGAAUAUAGACAUUAUCUAGAAUCACCGUUCGCUAGUAACUUAAACAUAUUCAAACAAAAUAACUUCUCACAUAGUAGUUAAUUCAAAUCCAGUCCAGGCAUUUUGGACAGGGUUCUAGUUUAAAAAUAUCACUAACAUUCCUCUAAAUCACUAAUUUGGAUGAAAUUGUAAUUAGAACUCUAUAAAUUCUGCGUCCGGAAAUAUUAACGGAUAUUAAUUGAGUUAAUUUGUCGUAAUUUGAGAUGAUUUCAGAAAACGUAAGCUAAUAAAAUGGUUUAAAGUUGGACUUGUCAUAAUUUGUUUCUCACUAUAAGAACAAAAUGUCCAUCCACCAAUGCACUUCCUAAUUUCUUACAAAGUCAUGUUGAGUACAGAUAAAACAGAAAAAAUAGAUAAUUAAAUUUAAUUCAAUUUUUAUUAUUCCAAACAAAAAAAAAAUCAGCUUCAAAAUUAAUUCACUUGAAUUAAUGAAAUUAUCAAGCAUUUCAAUUCUAAGGUGAUUUGAUAUUAAAAAAACAGAAAAAAAAAAAUACAAAACGCGCAAAGUUUAUCUGGUCCAAAAUCAGCAUAUCCUAGAUCAGGCACACCUUAAGGCGUGUUUUGUUCUCCGAAAAAUAUUUUAGAAAAUAGUUUUCUACCUGGAAACAGAUUUUUCGUCCGUUUUGGUUUGCAUAAAGAGUAAUUUUUCUGAAAUUUUUUUUCUCAAAUUUCAUAAAGUCUUCUUUUCAUGGAAAUUAUUUUUGCUGAAAACUACAAAAAAAAUUAUAUUUCAUGAAAUUUUUUUUUUGAAAAAUAAUUUUUAAUAAUUUUUUGAGAAUCUAUACAUCGCGGCCUCAUGGUCAGGUCAAGUGAGAAAAAGUGUUGAAUACAAAGAUACUAAAAAAGCCUAUCUAAUCAUGCGUUCGCUUUAAACACAACUGCUUGUAAUAAAGCAGUGACAACCAGAAAAUUAUCAAACUUUUGUAGUAGAAAGAGACAUAACUAAGAUUCAGUCCCAAAAGCACAAGAUCCAAUUUUAACCUAUAAUUUCAUUACAAUCGAAAAAAAAAAGUUUUGUUGAAAAAUUUUAAUAUAAUACCUUUUAAAUAUCAUUUCCUAAGCAGUAAUUUAGGGGUUCUUUGGUUUCUCGAAACAGCGUGAAAAAAAAAAUCUAAAAAAAUAUUUUAUGAAAACUCGUUUUCUAAUUUUUUGUCCGUUUGAUUUGCAGAAAAACAAGUAUUUUUUAAAUUUUUUUUCAUAUUUCAAAAAAAAAUUAGCUUUUUGUUUUACGGAUAUAUUUUUAGAAAAACGAAAAUACUAAUUUUUCGUAAAAUAUGAAAAAUAAUUUUUCAUAAAAGCUUAUUUUACUUAAGACCCUACAGACAAAAUACUGAAAAUACAAUUUUUCAUGAAAAAAUUUGUUCUUGAAAAUAAUAAACAGUACAGUGCUCUCCUGUAAAAUUAAUCAAACAAGCUCCAAAGCCCUGUUCUCCGAAAUCUUAAGCAUUUUAGGCCCUGCUUGGAUAUUGGGCAUGAAAUUUUUUUUUAUAUGAUUGAAGGGAACAAGUUUAUUAUUAUUAUUAUUAUUUUUUCUUAAUCCUUGAAUGAUCAUAGAUAGUAUGAUUUAGCAGAAUAAUAUAUUCCAGCAAUAAUUUAUCUCACUCCAAAAAAUUCACUAAAACAUAAACUACGUUGUUAUUCGAUUCUAAAUGUUUGAUCGCAACCGACUGUCCCUCGCGCAAGUGACAGAGAAUUUGGUGAUUGAUAUCCGAGGUCCCAAGCUCGAAUCAUAAUUGAUUCAUAUUUUUAGCUAAAUUUAUUUCUAACAACUAAAUUUAUUUUUUAAAAAAAAUAGUAGAAGCGAUAGCAUACUACCUUUCUCUUAAAAAAAUGAAAAAAAAAAAAA
rnacentral:lncRNA from 1 species